rnacentral:lncRNA from 1 species
AAAGAGAUAUAGUCUAUUAGGUUGGUAAAUCUACUGAAACAAUAUUGUUUCCAAUCAACUCCGAGAUACAAACAAUUGAACAACGUUCAGAAAUCGAAAAUCAUUUAUUACCAGCAAGAUUUAUUAUUAUACGCUAGACAUAUGGCUUUAACAGUCACAUUACCAAUGCAUUUUUAAUCAUGGUAGGUAGGUGCUGGAAUGUAUACAAUAUUAUCAGCCUGGAAGAAAUGGCAGACGUGGGAGCUCCCUGGCUCGAUCCCAAGCACACGAAACGAUGCAUGAUCUCGACUCCAAUGAGACGUAUCCAUGUGGCAAACUGCUACAGCAUCCACUCUAUCUCCAUUAUCACCACCUAAUGAAACACCGAAUAACUUGUUCUCAGUCAUUUGGCUGUGGCAGUAGAAGAUUGCAUAAGGGUAAGGCAUGAUAUGACAUGCCACCAUCUUGGGAGCAAACAUUGGUUUAGGCACUUGUAAAAUAGUGUAAUUUUGGAAAAUGGUAGUUGAUUUUGUGAGAAAUUUUGUGCUUAGAACUUGGAAUUUGGUCUCCAAUCCGAAAGUUCCGUGUACAAAAUCAAGCAUGGAUUCCAAAGAGGUAGCACAAAUUUUGGUUUCUCCUUCGAUGGGAGGAACUUCGCAAUGAUUCAGGGUCCCUUCCAUGGCUUUGGCUAGGGGUGAGUCAUCUGAGAACGAGAAGAAUUGAAGAAGGUAAGGCAGUUGUUUCAAUGAAAAUGGAAUGGAAUCUGCUUCUUCUCUAGGCAAAGCCUGAGGAUAAGCUGAAGGAUCUCUCUUGCGAAAAUAAAUCGGCAUCGUUUCGCCAAUCUUUAGAUCCUUCAAGGUGAAGAACACCAUCGUUGAAGGGUCCAUGUGAUUCAUGUGGGAUGGUAUUGAAUGAGAAUCAUGAAGAUUCUCCGAAAGCACUGGAGCACACUGUAAAACAGUUCAGAAAUUCAAUAUCACAACUUAGAUGAAAAAUCAACAACACAAGUUCUAUAAAGUGUAAAAAUGAAGAAACAAAAUAUAUCUUUUUGAGUUGUUGCUUUAAGACGUACAACACUUAUGUACAUGUAUUGCACAGUAAGCCACUUAAUUAGCACACAUUGAGGAUUAUUACCAGAAAGAGUAGAGAAAGGAGGUUCCAAGCUGAAAAUCUUAACCCCAUCUCUUUUCUAUUAUCGAAGUUUCUUAUGUAUUUUAGUAAUGUUUUUUUUUUUCAGGGAGAGGAAACACAGAUAACAAGUAAAGCAGAAAGAGAAGAGAUUGUGUAACUAUAUAUGUCAACAACGAUAUGAUGUAUGUUAAUUUUCAAGUGGAAAUUUAUAGCCUGCAUAAGCUGAACUUGUUCUUCUGUGCUGAUUAAUUGAACCACAACACAGUUUGAAUAAUGACCUUAAUAGUCCAAUCCAGCAGAGAAUUCUGCACUCCAAUCAUAUGGGGACACACGUAUUGCACCUUCAUCAUGUCUGGGGAUUUUAAUAGUUUUGACUGAGUGAAUGAUUACUUCAAUAAAUAACAUUGCAUAUUAGAUUACUAGACCUAAAAUUGAUUUCUUAUUAAAAAAUUUACUUGCAAUUUGGAAACUCUCUUUGACACAUUAAUUACAGACUCGAAAUCUGUAUCAAUAUUCCCCAUACAUAGACAGAACUGAGAAGAAAAAGUGGGAAGGCAGAUCGUAAACAAAUUCAACAUGGCAAUUUCCAAGGAUGAAUAGCAUUUUUUUCAUUUGAAAAUGGGAUAAUAUAUCAUUGAGUCACGUAAUGUAUACUAAUGGUGCUUUUACUUCAUGGAAUGAGAAUAUGGUAGAAUCGGAAUGGGCUGAGAAUGAGCUGGAAUGGAAAUGAGGAAUGGGAAUGAGAUUUCAAUAUUUACUGGACAAAAAUAAAUAAAAAUGAAAAUAAGAAUCAAUUCACUAAAAUAUACAUAAUAUUAAAUAAUGUAAUUUUCAUUAACUAGAUACAUAUAUAAAUAUUAUUAUAAAAAUGAUAUUAAUUAAAAAAUAAAAUUAAUAAUAAUAAUAAUAAAUGUUCAAAAUGAUAAUAUUAAUAAAAAUAAUAAUAACAAUAAUUAAUAAUAAUUAAAAUAAUAAAGUUAAUAAUUUUUUUAAUAAUAAUAAUAAUGACAUUUAAAAUAAUAAAAUUAAUUUUGAUUUGAACGACGGUAAUUCAGAAAAUAUGAAAAAAUUAUAGAGAUACAAAAGUAAACAAAGAUUUCAUUCACAUUCCUUCAUUCUCAUUCCCAACUCCCCACGGGAAUGAGAUUUUCAUUCCUUAUUCUCAAAUUGUAUGGGACCCACAUAUUUUACUCACAUUCCCAAAUUAUAUUUGACCAAGUAAACAUAAAUUUCAUUCUCAUUCCCUAAACUCUCAAGUAAACAUACCAUAAAGCUCUUCUCAACCUAGUGUGCGUCGAAUAUGUGAACUUAGGGCUCCAGUCUCCCGUACAAUCUUUAAAAUUUUUUUCGGUCAAACUAACAGGCUGCACUCACUGUAUUUCCAUGGAUCACACUACUUCAACUAAAAGAUAAGAUAAUAUCUUUAGGAUUUUACUGAAUGAUUUUUAAGUAGUUUUUAUUAAUUAAUUAUUCAAAUUCAAAUUUAAAAAAAGACUAAAAAAUUAAUCUGAAUUUUUCUCACUCCCAAUCUUUAAAAAUAUAACAAAUAAUAAGUCAUAUAAAAAAUGUUUUAAACGCAAUUUUCACUUCUCACAUCUUUCAUUUGAAGUUUAAUUGUAUUCUCCCGUGGGACCUGGAUAAGUUGAAACAAAAUUUUAUUAAAAAGAAAUGUACAUUUAAUUGUCUUACACUGGAUCAAGAACAAAAUGUUAAAGGAUAAUAUACGCGGACAUGAUAAUGCAGUAACCGAAAAUCAAAAUAGCACAGGUUUCAAAUGCCAGACAAAGGAAAGAGACAUGUGAGCUGGUCGAUUUUCUUCUCAUCACUAGCCACAUGCACAUUGGUAGUGGUUGAACUUCUAUUAUUUAAUUAUGUUGUCAUUUUCCAUCACCACAACAACAGAUGAUUCAUGUAGGAUCGGUCAAUAAUUGUCGCCCAAUGUGUGUCUUCUUUAAUAAUUUAGUUAUUUUUGUUCAUAAGUCUGAUGAAGAAGUUCUAAUUUUGCAAGUGGAAUUCAAGUUGAUAAGACCUUGUCGACUUGUCUUCUGCUGAAGAAUCUUAAAUAAUCAUGCAAAAUUCAAAAAGUGGCAAAAGCAAAAGGCUAACUUCUUAAUGAAUUCAAUAUUACUAUGAAUUUGGUGCUAGCUUAAUCUUGAAAAUGAUCCAAAAAUUAAAAAGUAAACAUAUAUAAUCACAUCUACAUAUGUACAUUAGUAAGUCAUUGAUGAUAUAUCACGAAUAUCAUUAGUUGAUUAAUUAAACAUACCAUGAAUAUAUUAAAUCACUUUGAUCAUCACCUCACCUGUCACCAACUUUUUCAUAAACUUCAGCCGGAAAUUAAAAAAAAAAAUGAACCAAUAAUUGUAUGAAUUGGCUGGCUUCUUCUCCUCUUCACAAAAGAUUAAGUUCUCUUUGAAAAGGUUUGUUACUGAAGUACAUAUCCUAUUAGACCAAUAAUCUCUAUUACCAUAUGAAUUUAGAUCUUCUCCUAACUUAAUCUUUCAUAUACUAUUGUACCAAUAAUUUUUCUCCCCACAGAGAUUAGGAUCUUCUCCUAACUUAAUAUUUUGUAAGUGUUGUAUGUGAUUAUUUAACACGUCAUUUAAAUUUUUUCACAGCUAUGAUUUAGCAUACUUUAAACUUACCUUAUUAAACAUUAAAACCCAUAAUUUUCUAGGCUAAAACUCUGAAUUCAAGUGUGCCGCCUUCAAACCAAACUGUUGCUUCUUUCUGUACCUUUUUCUUUUUUUAAUUCACAAACUUUAAACUUUGGAAUAAACUUGAGCAAAGAAGAAUUACUGGCAAUUAAUUCUUUUAAGAAUUGUUUAUGUCAUGAAAUCAGACUGGAACAGAAAUAUCCGUAGUCUACAAUAAUAACAAUUGAGGACACCGGAAGACAAUAUCAAUUAAAGACAAUUGUCAUUGCAAUAUGGCAAUUCAACGCAUUAUUGUUAUCGCUCGUCUGCAACUAAUUUAACAUAAAUUAAGUUGAUAUACCUCAUUUCAGUUGAACGUUGAUGCAGCCACUGAUAUUUCCCGGAACACAGCAUUUUUAGGAGCCAUUAUUCGUACUGUGAGAGGGAAGAUUAAUUAUGGCAGUAGCUAUCUAAAGUUUUUUUAAAAAAAAAAUUGAGAUGUUGAAUUCGCUGAAGCAGAAGCAAUUAGAUUUCGGAUCGAAAUAUGCAAAUGAUACAGGUCUAUUUCCAUUAAUUAUUGAGUCAGAUAGCCGCAGAACUUGAAAGUACGAGAAAGAGAUCCUUUGAGUGGUCUCUGAUAUUUAAUUGUUGGAUAGACAACUGGCAGUUUCAAAUUUGUGUUCAUUCCUAUAAUAUGUAAUGUGAGAGUUCAUAGAUUAGCUAAACUUAGCAGUUAGCAAUCAGAAAACCGUAUUGUUUGGAUUGAGAAUAUUCCUAUAGAUGUAAAAUCUUAUCAUUUUUGAAGAACUUUUUACUUUGAAAAUAAAAUAAUAAAGGGCCAUCUGUAUCGUUGCGAAUUAUAAUUCUCAUAGACUUUGUGGUCCACAUUAUGAAUUUAAAAUUCUUGCAUGAUUAAUCACCCACAUGAGCAUGCUGCACCAACCUGCCACAUCAUGUUAACACUUCUUCCAAUCUGUGUCUAUACACACACACACACACCAGUAUGGCCUCCGUUCAAAUUACAAACGCAGUAUCUAGUAUUGUUUGUCACUGGCCAGAAACAUGAAUAUUAAAGCCUUCUUUGUUCUCUCUACAGUGCUCUCAUUGCUUCUCUUGGUAUGUAUCAUUUGAUCAGUAAUAAUGUUAGGUUAAUCACAAAUUCAUUAUAUAAAAUAUUUUGUACAAAAUUGAUAACACAUAAUGUACAGUAUCACGAUGUGAUGAACACCACACAACCCGAUCAUUAUUUUGUAUUUUCAUUCAACCAAUAUUAUUUUUUCACAUCAGUUUUAAGAGUAGCUUAAUUAUAGCUAGCUCUAGCAUUACUCAUUUUGAUUCAAAUGAUUUUCGAAUUUUAAUCGUUUGCAUGGUCAAUUUAUAGUUCCUCUCUUUUUUUUUUUAAUUAAUUGUUUUCCUUGUGUGCAGUUUGCCAACAUUGUAGAUGCAAGAAAAGACCUGAGAGACGAUCGGAGUAUUGUCGUAAAAAAUCAAGACAUGCCUGGGGAAUCAACUCAAGGUCUCAUUCCCGAAGAUCAAGGCUCGACCAUCUCUAAAACCAAAGCCUAUUGCCAUACACAUGAUGAUUCUGAGUACACCAUGGAGAAGCCUUUUGUCAAUAAGAACUUGGAGCUGAUGCCUGAUGUUUCAAUGUAUGACAACGGCAUUAAGCCGACAAAACAAAAGGCUUUUGUCAAGGACCUCGAGCUAAUGCCUGAUGUUUCAAUCUAUGACAACGGUAUUAAGCCAAAGGAUCAGCAGAGAUCAUUUCCCAAUAACUUCGAGCUGAUGCCUGAUCUUUCAAUUUACGACAACGGUAUUAAGCCAACCAAACAAAAGGCUUUUGCCAAGCACUUCGAGUUCUUGCCUCAUGUUUCAAUUUACGACAACGGCAUUAAGCCAACCAAACAAAAGUUCUUCGCCAAGAACUUCGAGCUCAUGCCUGAUGUUUCUAUUUAUGACAAUGGUGUAAAGCUAGCCAAACAAAGGUUCUCUGCCAAGGACUUCGAAUUCAUGCCUGAUGUUUCAAUUUAUAACAAUGGUGUAAAGCUAGCCAAACAGAAGGCAUUCACCAAAGACUUCGAGCUCAUGCCUGAUGUUUCAAUUUAUGACAAUGAUAUUAAACCAACGAAGAGGAGUUCAUAUGCCAAGGACUUUGAGCUGAAGGCUGAUAUUUCAAUUCAUGAACCGACCGAACAAAAAUCGGUUGUUAGCAGUACGGAUCCGCAGCCAGAUGCUACAAUUUAUCAUAAGAGGAUAAAAAAUAUAUUAGCCGUUUUGAUUUUUACGAUUUUACAAUUGAGACUUAUCUUAUUCUUAUUAUUAUUUAUGUGGGUUGGGUUGGGUUACAUGAGUUCAUAAUAAUUAACCAAAUCCAACCUAAUUGUUGAUUGGGUUUGAAAAAAUUGACCCAAUUAACCCAUAAUAAUCCACUCAACCCGUCAAAAUUUAAUUGGGUUAGAUUGAGUUGGGUUGGAUUGGAUUUGCCCACCCCUAAUUGAUAGUGUGUGGUAAAUAUGAUUUAUAAAUAAUAGUUUUGACAAAAUUGCAAAGAGGCCUUUAUUUCCCAAAUAUUAUUUAAAUUAUUAAACCAACCAAACAAAAAUUGUUUUUUCUAUUAUACAAAUACGAGAUCAAAUCAGGUUAGUUUCUGAGUUGCAAUAGGUAGUACUUACUAAACACUUUAAUGUCAAUACCAAAUAGGCCUCUUUUUUCCUCUCCCUCUCCAAUUUGUAAGACUACCCAACCAUAUUUUAUAUAAUAUUCAAUUAUUAUAUUAGCUAGUUUUAUUUUCUUAUGAUCACGUGAUAUGUUUUUUUUUUUUUUUAAAGAAUUUGAGUAGGUAAUGGUGUUAAAGCUCAUAAGUAGAUCUAAUUCUAAAUAUUUGGAAAAUGGAAAAAAGAAAAUGAUUAACAUUUACAGAAGAAGGUAUAUACUUGAACGCCAUGAUGGUAUAUAGUUAAAUUUAACUAUUUAACUAUUUUUAUUUAUUAAUUACUAAUUAUCCACAGUGAAUUUUAUUUGAAUAAGUUCAGACCAUAGUAGGACCUUAAUUCACAUACAUAUGAAAAAAAAAAUCUAUGACCGCACUAAUAAGAUAUUCCAUUUAAUCAUGUGAUAUUAGAAUGAAAAUUAUGAUAGACAAACUUAAAUUUUCCAUUUUUCCCCCUUUAUCAUCUCAAACCGGCCACUUCAAUUCGUUGAAAUCCUGAUGAUUCGGCCUUCAGAUGUAAAAUAACAAAUGAGUCACAUAUAUUAUUGGUAGAUGCAUGAGCGGAUCACAUCUAACUCAACCAACAAAUUGCAUGCCAUCUGGAAAAUGAUUUAAAUAAAUGAAUAAACACUCAUUUAGCCUUCUAUUUUAAUUUAAGUAUUCGUUUAUUUCUUAUAUUUUGAAAAUUUUCUAAAAUACAUUGUAGUUAAAUAUAUUAAAUUAUUAAUCUUGCUGUUUUUUUGCUUUUAUAAUAAUGCCCUUAUAAUAAUAUUCUUGACAUUAAUUAAUUUAUCUAUAAAAUUUUAAUUAGAAAAUUAACCAAUAAUUAUUUAGGAAUAAAUUAACCAAUAAAUAUUAGUAGAAAAGAAGUAGUAUUUUCUGUACCAGUGAGACAAUCAUGCUAAUAAUUUGUUUAUAAAUAAAAAUUAAUAUAAGCCAAGUUAAAGCAAUAUUUAUCAUCCUUACAAUAAUUUUAUUAAUAUUUAUUUUAUAAAAAAUUAAUCUUAAAAGUAAAAUAAUAGUAUAAAAAAAUUUUACUGUAAAAAUGUUUAUACUACUUUUAAAGCUAAUUUGAUAAAAAAAAAUGGAACUACUAGCACUCCUUCAAAAUCCUUUUAAGACCCCUUCUUAAAUACACCCAAUCAAAAAUAGGAAAAAUUAUAUCACUUCUAAAAACACCCAUCUUUAUUCCACGAUUACCCUUCAAUCUUAUCUCUCAUAAAAUGAUAAAAUUACCCAAAAAAAAAUCUUUUUGUUGAUACUAUUGAAAUAAUUAUUAGCAAUCUUCUCAAAUUUGAUUAACAAGUAUGGAAUGGUGUGUAACUUUAGGGCAUGUUCGGUAUUGUUUCUGAAUUUGUAUUUUUUUAGAAUAAAAAUGAGAAUGAAAAUAGUAUUUUGCAGAACUGUAUUUCGAAUUUAAAUAUAAGUUUGGUAUCAUUUUCUGCAUCCUGUAUUUUAAAACUGAAAAUAAUAAUAUAUGUUCGGUAGACACAAUUGAAAAUGAAAAAAAUAAUGAAUAUGUGUUCGAUAGUAUCAUUUUCAAAAACAGUUUUUACUAAACAUUUAAUUCAUACUUAUAGUUAAGAAAAUAAUUGUUUAACUAAUACAUAGACAAACAAACCAUAAAUAAUUUAAACAAAAUAAUUAUAAAAAAUACAUUAUCAUAAAAUUUUAGUAUUAGUAUUAAUAAAAAAUUGUAUUAAUUUUUAGUUAUACUAUGUUUGGUCUUUCACUGCAUAACACUGUAUUAAAUAUUUUUGGUGAUUAAUUUAAAUUAUAUAUUAGAAAAUAAUUUAUUAGUAUUUAAAAAAAAGAUAUGGAAGAAUUUAAGAAUUUUUACAUUAAUUUAUUUACUAAAAAUGUGAAAUAAAAUUAUCAUUAUUCUUCAUUGAAUACACGUAAAUUAAGCAAAUUUUAAAAUUUUUGUAGCAAUUUUCCCCUGUAAAAUAAAAAUCCAAGCAAAUAAUUUAUCCAAAUAACCUCCUAAAAAAUAUCACGACAUAAAUAAAUAGUUCAAACGUACAAACUUCAUUGAAAGUCAUCUUCGGAUAAUAGCAUAAAAGUGUACACAUUUCUAUUUGCUACAACAUAGUUACAAAAUAAUAAAGUGAUCUAAUAGUUGCAAUAUAAUCACAUAAAAUAUGGAUUGUGUUAAAUAAUCCAAGUAUAUACAUCCACAUGCCCAAAUACUAUUGCAAAAUAUCAUUGUUAAGUUAUAAAUGCAUGCUCCCCAAUCAAAAGGCUAGCUAAAUAACAGAGAGUAAAUUCUUAACACCAUUUACAUCCUUCAAUGCAGCAAAUUUUUCAAGUUGAUUUGUUGGAGAUGAAAGAACUAACAUGUCAAUUCCUUGAUCAAUGCCACCAGCUUUUACUUUCCAUGAAACCAAUGUCAUAGGCUUUGGACCAUCAGCUUUUACAAAUGUCACGUCUGGUUCCUUAUAGCAAGUUUCAUCUAACUUGGUUUCCCAAUCCAAAGGACUUUGGAUUUGUAAUUAACUAUUUAGAGACUGAACUAUUCAAAUCAACUAUUUCAAGCAAAUUGUUAGCUUGUUAAUUACAAAUGUCAGAAGCAUCAGCUUUUACAAAUCUUUGAUUUGAAUAGUUCAGUCUCUUCAAUUUGCUUCAAUACUUGUUUCUGAAAAACCAAACACGAAGCCUAAAUAUUAGAAAAUAGAGAUUUAAUUAUAUAAAUCUUGAUAAUUAACCAGCUUUAAUUACUUUCUCUAUUUUAUUUAAGAAAACACUGGCAUAUUCUUGUCUCCAAAAAUAACAACACACUUGACCAAGUCUUUUAAAUCAAAGGACACUGAUUUAAGUAGAACAGAGUACAAAAUUUCAGUACCCUUUACAUCCUUCAAUUUUACAGCAGGACAUUAUAAAUGCAAAGAAAACAUGAAGUUUAGACAAUCUGUGUGCAGUCAAAAGGCUAGUUAACAGUUAAAAAUAAACCAAGAAUGCCACCAAAAUUCAAUAACGCAUUUGCAUAGCUUUCUCUUCUGAUAGAAUAAUUGAAAAUUUCCAACAUAUAUGAUGAUGAUAUAGGUCCAACGAGAUGAAAGCUAUCAUGUAAAUUAGGUAAACCCAACCCAAAUGAGAUAUAAAAUAAUCCAAAACCCAAAUCACCAUGACUAAAAUAAUUCAAAAUCUAAUUAAAAUUUUUAAUAAUUUACCUUGAUACUCUGCUACAAUUGUGUGAUGAAGCUCCAGUGAAGGAUUCAUCAAUGGAGUCCGGAGGCUACAGCCUAGAUUUAUACGGCAAAGUUGAACAAGUUCAGGGUGCAGGCAGCAAAGAUGAAGUGCGGCGACGGCUUUAUGUGGGCAUUUACUCAAAUAAAAAAAACAGCAACUCACAAUAAUAGAGACAGCCAACAGAGCAGUAGCAGUCGAGACGGAGCAGCAGUGGAGACAGCAGCGACGGUGGCGGAGAUGGAGCAACAGCAGUGGCCCAAUGAAGCGGCGGCGGCAGCGGCGGAGACAGAGUACAGCAGCCGAUUUGGGCACAUUGAGAGAGAGUAAGCGCUGUGAGUAGAUCGCGAGACAGAGUCGAAGAGAUAAAGCACACCAAGAGAGUAAACGUUGUGAGUAGAUCAGGAGAGAGAGUUGAAGAGAUCAGCCCGAAGAGAUAAGGAUGAAGAGAGUGAAGAGAGAGUCACUAGAGUUUGUUUUUUGAUCUAUUUUUUAGUUUAGUUUUGGAAUAUGUCGAGAACAUGUUAAACACGUUAUCACUUUGAUAGAUAUAAAAGUGAAUCCCAAAUUAUUUGUUUUAUAAUUUGUUUUUUGAAAUCAAGCCACCGAACACGUACUAACUUAAAUUUAAAAAAGGAUAUAAAAACAGGGCCACUAAAAUGAUACUGAACGGGCCCUUAGAUUUCUAACUUUUAACUUAUUUUUCUGUUUUGCAAUAAAUAUACCUUCUAUUUGAAUAUAUGAUGCCUAUUAAUUUUAUUUUUUUUCAAAUAUCAAAACUCACUUGUUCAAACAAACAAUGAGACCAAGAAAAGUGAUAUAGAGGAAGUUUAAAGUUCGAAAUAUUCUAUUGAUUCUAGAAAAUAUUGGAAUAUAAGAAUAAUUAAAUUCAUGUUGAUUUAAAAAAAUACUACAAAUUUAGCAGUUAAGACUCGUUGAUUCCGUAGAAUAUCGAGAAUUAACUAUUCAAAUACUCACAAAAAGACUUGAAAAUUGAAAAUAUUAUUGAAAUCGAAUCUCUGUUUAUAAAAACUACAAAAGACACUUAUUUAUACUAAUAAUGACUUAUCCUAAUUUGAUUAGAAAACUUAUUUUAAUAAGAUUUAUACCUAAAUUAGGAAUAUUAUUCAAAUAAGUAAUGCCUAAACAAUAAGACUCUAAAUAGGAAAUCAAUUUAAACUAGAAUACAAAUUAAUAAAAAUAUUCCUAAAUAUUAUAAAUUUAAAUCUAAUUAGGAUUUCUUCAAUUUCAUGCUCUGCAUCAUUCCUGCCGGGGUGGAAAAAAAUUCGUCUUCGAAAUUUGUAUUUUGUAGUCUUUAAGAACAUCUUUAUAUGUAUAAGGAUUAAUUUUCAAAAUAUGGCUUUGACAUACUCAACGAACUUUAAGUUUUCCAACUUUUGUAAUAAUGUCCAUCCAAUCACUCCAACAGCGUAAAAUAAAUUCUUCUAUCAACAAUUUCUCUAAUAAUGCCUCGUAUUGUUCACAUCAAACUUCAAUAUAGUUAAGGAAAAACAAUUUCUUCUCAUAAUCCACUAACUGUUGAAAAAUAUCAUAACUGUUUUUGUCUUCUUUUGGCAAAUCAAGAGAACAAUAAGAGAUUGUAUCAACAACUACAUCUCUUUACUCCACAAGACCAAAAGAUGUAUGAAAAAUUACCUCUUCUCGUCCCACAAUGUCAAGACACUCAUUAAAUUUCAGUAGUUAUCCAAAUCAAUGUCUGUGUGUAGAGAAUUUACUGCAUAUAUGAAUUUUCAAUUAAUAUUCUCCUCGGAAGGAAUGAUAUUGUUGAGUGAAACAAAGUUAUUGUUUUCCUCAUUCUCCUCAUAACAUAUAUCAUCAUAAACAAUUUCGUCAAAUCCAUAUGUCUGCUUUAUAUGUAAAGAUUUUGUAUUUCGAAGUUUCUCUAAAUCUUUAUAAUUCGUUCUAGGAUUAUCUAUCAAAAUCUUGAAAAAAAAUUCUAUGAAGAAUAUAAUUCUUGUUAUAUUUUUGUAAUGAAAUUUACAGAGUUAUUUACACAAAAUAAAGACAAACUAGCCGUUGAAAGGCUUAAAAACAUUAAAGGAGAUUAAGUGAAUACUUCCUAAACUAUUGCACAAUAUCUUUAUAAAAUAGGAAUGAAAUAUUCCUAGGUGAUAUUGGCAUUCAAGUGCAAAAUCAUGCUGGAGAUAUUCCUUGACAAAUAGCUUUGACUUGAGCAAGUUUUGUGGAGUGAUAAACCCGUUAUUGACUUGACCGUUGAUGACUUUCCUUUCGGUAAUCUUGGUAAGCUUGCUUAACAUGCCCUUUCAAGUUGGCAAGUGACAUUUAAUGAAUGCCAAGCUUGUAUAUGAAAUCGCCUUAAUGAAAACAUCUGCAGUUUGUAAUGAAGAAGGGACAAACUUCGUAACCAAGGCACCAUCAACAACCGUUUCUCUAAUGAAGUGAUAAUCUAAUUCAAUAUGCUUCGAUCGAGCAUGGAAAACUAGGUUAAUAGUCAUAUGUAGGGCACUUAAAUUAUCACUUAAAAGUUAUGGAGGUUAAGCAUAAGGAAUGCCAAUUUCUCAAUACAUAUAUGUGAUCCAUGUGAGUUCUGCUACUGUGGAUGCAAGGGCUCCAUACUCAGCCUCAGUAGUGGAUCUAGAGACAGUUGGUUAUCGUUUUGAAGACCACGAGAUGUAAUUUGCACCCAUGUAGACACAAUAUCUCGUGGUGCUUCUCUAAGUGUCUGGACAACCUCCCCAAUUAGCAUCAUAAAAGGCAAUAAUAUUAAGAGAGCUUUGUUGAAGAAAUCUGAUCCCAUAAUCCAAGCUCAUUUUUAAGUACUUGAGAAUACAUUUAAUAGCAUGUAAAUUAGCCUUAGUGGAUGUUUGAAAAUGUUGGCAUACCUUAUUGACUGCGUGAACGAUGUCCAGCCUUAUUAAAGUGAGAUAUUGGAGCCCUCCAACUAAUCUUCUAUAUUCGAUUGCAUUGACAGGCUUGUGAGCAAUGGGGUUGGCUUGUUUUUUUAUGGCCAUAAAAGUUGACAAACUAGUGCUUUCUAGCAUCUUUUCUUUGGUCAGCAAGUCUUUGGUGUAUUUGGUUUGAGAAACAUAAAUACCUUCAGAGAAAUAUUGAAUCUCAAGUCAUAAGAAGAAAUGGAGUUGUCCCAAAUCCUUUAAACCAAACUCAGUGCUUAGUCAAUGAACAAGUUAGUCAAUUAGAAAAUUAUUGUUACCUGUCACCACUAUAUCAUGAACAUAAAUUAGCAUUAGGAUUAAUGAGUAAUCGUUAUGAAAUAUAAAUAAGGAAAAGUCAACUUUAGUGCAUAUGAAACCCAAUUGAAGUAAGUAAUGAGAAAGCCUAUCAAACCAAGCACAGGGUGCUUGUUUAAGACCAUACAAUGACUUGUUAAGCUUACACACAUAAUCAAGAUAUAAAGGAUUAGAGAAACCAUGAGGUUGUUCCAUAAAAAUAGUUUCUUUUAAAAAACCAAGUAAAAGCAUUUUUAACAUCAGGUUGUCGUAUUGUCCAAUUUGAUGUUUUAAUAAAAGAAAAAAAUUACUCGAAUUAUAGUAGUUUUAAUCACCGAACCAAAGGUUUCUUCGAUAUCCAAACCUGGAAUUUGUGUGUAUCCUUGUGCUACAAGAUGCCCUUGUAUUUGUCUAUGGACCCAUCUUCCUUAAACUUAGUUCGAUACACCCAUUUUGAUCCCACUAUGUUUGUAUUACUGACCUUGGUACCAAACUCCAUGUAUUAUUCUGUUGGAGAGUAUCAAGCUCUUCUAACAUAGUCGUGUGCCAAUGAGGUUGUCGAAUGGUGGUUUUGAAGUGUUUUGGCUCUAUUGUUGUAGUAAGAGCCAUCUUAUCAACUAACUCUGGGUGAUGAUUCAACUUGUGUCUAGUUAUCAUUUGAUGAGUGUUGCUCGUUUCCGACUCUUUUGGAAUGCAAAGGUCUACAAAUAUAUCAAUGCAUUUAGUUGACGAUGGAGCAUUAUUUUCUAACUCUAAAUGAGUGCUUUCAGUUCCUAUAUUGUUCUCUAAUUCUUGCUCAAUUAUUGUGUUUAAAGUGAUAUCAACUUCUCCAGGUUGUGCUGAGCUAGAGCUUAAACUGGUUUCGCUAUUUGUAGAGUUUGAAUCGGUGUGGAUGACUAUAUCAUGAAUUUGAUGUGGAACUUGUUGGCUUGUGUCCGAAUCUUACAUGUUUAAGUUCAUUGUGUUUUGAAGACCUAUAAAGUUUGGAUUCGCAUGGGCAACUUGUUGCUGAUUUACAUGAAAUUCAUGUUGGUCUUGUUGAAUUGGGGAUCUAUUUUCAAUUGAAUCAAGUACAUCAUGGCAACAAUGUGUAGGAUUCUAUAUGUUUGUUGCUUUCUCUUUUUUAGUCCAGAUCUCAACAUCAGGAAAUGUGAUGAUUUCUUAGCUAAUCUGUAUAGGUAAACUUGGCAGACUAUUACUUUUAAAGGAAAACAAAUUCUUAUAGAAAAUUACAUGAUGUGAUAUAUACACCUUGUUUGUUAGUGGAUACAAACAUCCAUACCCCGUAUGUGAAGGGUUGUAUCCAAUAAACACACGAGCAUUUUUUGUGAGAAUUUGUUCUUUUUAUAAAUAGAUAGACAUGGAAAGCAUCGGCACCCAAAGCUUUUAAGCCCUCUGUAAUCAAAAUUUGUACCGAAAAGUUUGUAAAAAGGAGUUUUCAUAUUUAAAGUGGAUGAAGGCAGCUUAUUAAUAGCAUAAACAGCAGUAGAAAAAGCAUCAACCUAAUAUUGUAAUGGUAUAUUUGCAUGAAAGAGUAUUGUCAAAACUGUUUCUACAAUAUGCAGGUGUUUUCUUUCGGCAACAACAUUUUGUUCAAGAGUUGCAGGACAUGACAAUUGAUGUUGUAUUCCACAUUGGUUGAGAUGACUUUGAAAUUCAUUUGAUAUGAAUUCACCUCCUUCAUCACUUUGAAAUAUUUUUAUCCUCGUAUCGAAUCGAUUUUCAACCUGUUUUUGAAACUUGAUAAAAACAUCAAAUAAAUCUAAUUUAUUUUUCAAAGAGUAUAGCCAUGUAUAGCAUGUGCAGUCAUCAACAAAGAUAACAUAAUAGCUAAAAUUUUGAAAGAAAGAAAUAUGAGCAAGACCCUACAACUCACAGUGAAUUUUAUGUAAAGGAACGCUGGAAAUUUUAUUGGAAAAAUUACAAGGAAGUUUGCAGUUCUUUCCCAUUUGACAACUGGAACAUACAUAAUCUUUUGUUAUCCAAUUUGAAACAUCAAUAAGAUUGUUUUUAUUAAAAAAUUUAAUGGACUUGAUUUGGGAGUGUCCCAUUCUUUGGUGCCAUAUGUUGUAAGGUGCUUUGCUACCUUUAGAUAAGUAUAGGGCUGCAUGAUAUCCUUCAUCUAAGGCAUAAAACCAUUUUGUCUUAGUUCCCUUUGCCAAGAUGUUUCCUUGAUAAUCCUUAAAAAUAAAUUUGCUAGAUGAAAACUCAAUAAUACGUGAAUUAUCAUGUGUAAGCUACCCUAUCGAAAGCAAAUUCUUUUUCAAGCCUAGAAUGACAAGCACAUUUUUUAAAUAUAAUUUACUAAUGCCAGUAUCUAUGGAGGUAUUUCCUAUAUGUGAAAUAUUAAGACAAUCACCAUGUCCAACAACAAUGGCAUCAUUCCUUUCAUAAGGUUUAAGUUCAGAAAUUUUACUUGGAAUAUUAACCAUAUGGGCAGUUGCUCCUGAGUCAGCAUAUAAUUUGGCAUCAUUUGCAUCCAGGUUCAUUGUAGCUAAGGCUUGUGGAAUUUCCUCAGUAAGAUGUGAGUAGUCAUACCUACGUUGACAUUCAAUGGUUGUAUGUUUCAGUAAAUGACAAAUUUGGCAUAUGACAGUUUCUUCUUUGGCUUCUUUAGCUUGUUUGGAUUGAUUCUGAAUUUUGUGCCAAUGUUGUCCAGGAUUAUUUUGCUAAGAGUUGCUGCCACUAUUGUCCCAAAUUUCCUUGCCAUGACUGUUGCCUUUGUUGACUUGGAUUAUUGUUUAACUUUUGCCAUGGCUAACUUGCAUUAUUAUUCCAACUUUUUCCACCAUUAUAGUUGGAUUUUUGGCCACUCGAAUCAGCCAAAUUUUGUCCUCCUGCUGGUGUAAAACCACAACCUUUUUCUUGCCUCAUUGGCUAAAAAAGGCUUGAGCUAGAUUGAUUGUAUUUUUCUUUUCUUCUUCAAAAUUAAUAAGAGUUUGUUCAUGAUUUUCAAGGACCAUGACAAACUGCUUAAAUGAAGGAUAAGGUAGUUUUGAAAAUUGAGCAAGUUUAAAGUCUUGAUACCUAUAGCUGAGACCUCUUGCAAGACCAAAGACUUUAUCUAAGUCAUUCACUAGUUUAUUUAUCGUAGCCAAACAAUCACAAAUAUGCUUGUAUUUGUGCACAUACUCUUCAACUGAUUGAGAACCCUUUUUUAGGAUUGCCAAUUUGUCCAUGAGAUGUACCUAUUUUUCUAUAGUCACUGGAAGUAAUUGAUCCUCCAAAGAUGACCAAAUUUGUUGAGCAUUUUCCACUCCAACGAUUCCACUCAUUACCUCUUAUGUCGUCAGGCUUAACAACCAAGAUGUUAACAGCCCAUCAUUGUUGAUCCACAUUGUGACAUCUUCGUUGCCAGCCUUUUCCUCAUCGGACAACAAUAUUUCUUUUGCGGGUCUCUCAACAUCUAUAAUAUGGUGCAGAAUGCCAAGGCUUCUGACCAAAAGGAGAACUUGUGAGCGCCACAACAAGAAGUUCAUGUUGUCUAGUUUAAUUGACACAAGACUUGAGCAUUGAUGGAAAGACUGAAUAUUUAGACUUGGCUCUUUGAUAAAUGAUGAAGAGGUUUUAUUGCUAGUACUCAUGGUUGGCUCUGAUACCAUGAAAAAAAAAAUCUAUAAAGAAUAUAAUUCUUAUAUUUUUCUAAUGAAAUUUAUGGAAUUAUUUACACAAAAUAAAGACAAAGUAGCUGUUGAAAGGCUUAAAAACAUUAAAGGAGAAUAAGUGAAUACUUUCUAAGGUAUUGCACAACAUCUUUAUAAAAUAGGACUGAAAUAUUUCUACAUGAUAUUGGCAUUCAAGUGCAAGUGGAGAUAUUCCUUGAAAAAUUGCUUUGACUUAAGCAAGUUGUGUGGAGUGAUAAACCCAUGGUUGACUUGAUCGUUGAUGACUUUCCUUUUGGUAAUCUUGGUCAACUUGCUUAACAAAUCUCUCUUGUAGAGUUGUUUAGAUUACAGUGUCAUCUAAUCUCGCUUCAUGUGUUAUUAAAAAUCUCAUUGAGUCAUUUGGAUUAGAACACGAUCCAAUCAUUCUUUGAUUAAAGUGUAAGCUAAUCGCAGUGGCUUGGUUCGGUACUAGAACGAUAUCUAGUGUUUCCUACCCUAACAAUUUCGCUUCUACUACUCACUCCAUCAAUCUGGUAACAAAUUCCGUUCAAGUGAUGCCAACAUUAGCCGCACUGUCGCGUCGUACGGUGACGGAAAUUUUACAUUCAUUUCUGGCUCUAGUUGCAAUUUUAUGUAAUUUUUGUGCGGAUGUGUGUUACAUUUAAAGAAUGGUUCAGUCCCUUCAAUUGAAUGUGUUUGGAAAGUCCCAUGAUGCUUCAAUGACCCUUGGAUCAUGGGCGAGUUAAUCCUCACCCUUGAUCAGUUCUUAUGGUUUUUAUAAGAUUAAUAACAACACUUUGGUCAUGACUUAUCAAGUAACGAUAUAGGCUUUUCAAAGAUAAUGAUAUCACAUAGUAAUCAUAUUCCAUUAAUCCUCAAACCACUAUUUGGUCAAUUGGCUGAGGUGAAUAAUUAUUGAUUCUUAAUGAAUCAAAUGUUUAAUUAAAAGUUUCUUAGAUAGUUCAUAAUGACAUCCCAUAGUAAUCAUAGUCCAUUACUCCACAAGCCAUAUCCUUUUCCUUUUCUUUUUCCUGAUUAAGAUAAAUGGCGAAUCGUGUGUGAGAUUUGAUUUUCCGCUAGUUCAGUAGUUCAUAAGAUAAGAUAGUGGAAGUCCACUAGUACAUAAAUUUGGCUAAUAUCAUAUAGAACUAACUCAAGAUGUAAUUGAGAAUUCUUAAUUUUCUAUUCUUAGUCCAUGAACUAUUCUCAACUGAGCUAUGGAAUAUUAUCAAUAAAUAAAAAGAUAUUUAUGUAUGCUAACAGAAACAACUGUGAGAUCAAGAAAUGAAAGCAAAGAAGCAUGGAUAUACUUUUUUUAUCUUAAUUAAUGAAAUGCAAGAAGUGACGAUUUCAAUGAAAAUCACAGUUAAUUUACAAACAUCAAACUUAUUUAUGAGGAUGAAAAACUAUUUUUAGUGACGAAACAAAUUUCUAAAACUAUUCAUCGCCAACACUUUUUUUACCGAUUGAUUUUUUGGCGACUAAUCUAAUUUUUUGUCGCAAUAUGUCCUCUUUACAGAUAAAUCUUUUGUCGUUAAAAGUGAUAAUUAAAUAUUAUUUUUUCUUGACAAAAGUUUUUUUCGUCACUAAAAGUUUCAUUGCUAAACACCAUAUUCUUGUAGUGUGAAGAUAUAGGAAAAAACUAAAAGCAAAAUUGAUUUAAUUAAUUUCUUGGUACCCAACAAAUUGAGAAUCUCAAAGAUAGAGAUAUCAGAUUUAUAUGAGUAUUGAAUCUACAGAUCGACAAAUGAGACCAAACUAAACAGAAAGCCAUAAGUUUUAAAAGUGAAACAAGUUAGUUUAUCUAGCAUUAGCAGCUCCAUUAUUGCAAUACCAACUCCAAGUUCCAGCUAUGACUCGAUAGCCACGUUUGUGUUAUUAGAAGCAUAUGUGUCAACUGUUGAAUGGUACCAACGUUCUUUACCACUUAGUUCCCUAAUUUAUUUAUUAAUUAACUCAUAAUAUAAAUUUUUACCACUUACUCAAUAGAAACCGAGAAAGCCACUUCGAUUCUUAAUAUUUAUCAUUUUUACCAACUAGGUUCAGAAUUUAUUUUUAAUUAUUUAUUACAUCUCUAAUAUACAACAAUAUAAUUUUAUUGUUCAAUUUUUUUGUUGAAAGUUAAAUGUGACUUUUUAAAACGAGAUAACCAGAUCUUUUCCCUUUUGACAAACAUUACAUUGGAUUGACAACAAAAGUAUUAAAAAAAAUAAAAAUGGAUUUGUUUGUUUUGUUACUAUUUUAACGUCAAAGGAUGUGAAAAAAGGUUAACUAUUUGGGACCUAAGUGUUCAAAAUAAAUAAAUAGUAGGGACCAAAAUUUAACACAAUCCUUGUCUGUUCUCUGACUUGGAACCACAAACCUAGCUCACUAAUUGUUGAUUUUCUAGGCAACUAGGGCUUCGUUUGUUUUGCCAAAAAAUGGAAAAGGAUGAGCUAAAGCUGAAAAAGAAAGUUAACAGCUGCUAUUUUUCAAGUAUUUUCUAAUGUGGAAUUUGAUUUGUGUGACUCUGUUGUAUUAAGUACAGUGUAACAGCUACAACAAUCUUUCAUCAAUUAGAUAAUAGCACGAAAGCAAAGUUGAAAGUGUACCAAAGCUUUUUAUGUAUUUCAAAACCAAUAAUUAUUUGUUGGAUGCAUUUUUGUAUUUGUCAGAUAGUACAUGAAUGAUCAGUUUUUAGUGAAUUUGAAAAUGCAUUUGGUUAUUUAUUUUUAAAACAAUGUUUGAAAAUGAAAAGAUGGUAAUGUGCAUGUAUUGGUUAUUUGUCUGCAAAAAUAAGGAAAACGAAAGAGAUGAAGAAAAAAAUAUAAUAAUAAAAGAGUUUAAUUUGUGUCUAUUAAAUUUUAAAAUAUUUUGAUACAUUCAAAAAAAUUACAAGUUAAAUAAAAUCCAGUGAUAUUGUUUAUCUUAAUUUAUGAAUAAUUUGCUAGUUUUGAAAUGUAUGCAAUUUUUUAAAAAUAAACAUAUUUUUUAUAAAACCAGAUAAUAAUAACUAAAUAUUAGUUUGACUGGCUUAAAAAGGUUUAUAAAUUUUUCAAAAACAGUUGAAUUAAAUAGAAAGAGGUGUCCCUAAGGACAUGGCCAAGUGGUUUUUAAAUAGGUUUAUUUAGUUAACCACUUGGGUAUGCUGAAUCUUGGAGGAGAUAAGGGAUUGAAAAAAAAAAAAAAUUGUCUUUGCCAACACCUUUUGAAAUAUAGAAAAGACGUUAAAUCGUACUAAUUAUGUUUGGUACUUUAUAUUAUUGCAAAAUGAAGAAUGAUGAGUGUAAAACAAUAGCAAACGCCCCUUUAGCUUCUAUCACGUUAAAUUAUAAUUUCAAAGGAAUGAAUCAAUGAGAUUCCACAUUUACUUCCUUUUAUUCAUGUUAAACAACUGUUAACACCUCUUUUGGUUUGUUAAGGCUGAUAACAACGAGAACCGAGAGUACUGACUUUAAUUUCAUCUUUCUUAGAAUUUGUUUUUACAAUCACUCACGUCCCUAACAAAUGUUUAAUACUUUAUAGUGUUAGAAUAGACAAAAAAAUCACAGUUGAAGCGUAAACACUUUUAUUCCUAGAGGUAUGACUUCUGCUAGUAAUUAAACGGAAACAUAAUAAUUGACAUGAAUUUAUUAUUACCACUUAUGUCCCUAAUACAUAUUUAGUACUUUAUAUAUUCUUUAUCAUUUUAUCUUUCGUUAUUAAUUUCAUUUUAUUUUAGAUGAAUAUUCGUGAUAAAUAAUGCAUUGUUACUCGUCACACAUAUAAAGAACGGUUAUCCAGUCCUUAUCUUAUUUUUCGUAUGUCCAUAUAUAUAGGGCAAGCAAUGGAAGGCUUUCGCACCAACUAAAUAUCAUAGCUAGAGGUGAUUUAUUUUGAGGAUUAUUGAAAGCAUGAAGCCUCUCUUUUUUCCCUGCACGCUCUCUUUACUUAUCUCGGUAUGCUUUCUGAGUUAGAAUGUUAUUACAACUAACUCUACAUUUCUGAAAAGUUUUGAAUCAUUAAUUUGCGUGCUCUAAUUGCUGUGUUUCUGUUAAUUAUUCUCUUGUUGCCCUGUUAUUUCAGAGUGCUAGCACAAUUGAUGCAAGGAAGGACCUGAAGGAAUAUACGAGAAUUGUCAUGAAAGGGCAGUCCAUGCCUGAAUCAAUCCAACGCCUACUUCCCGUGGAUCCUGCCACUUCUAGCACCAAUGACAUAGCUGAUCAAAAGCCAAAUCCAUCAACUUUAUCCAGUAAUGUUCAACUGUCCAAGAUGAAAUCUUUUUCCAAGAAUUUUACCCCAAGGCCAAAUGUUUUUACCUACCCGUCCUACCAAAGGCAGAUUUUUCUUCACCAUACAUCUUACAACAGCCAUAACAAUAACCCGUCUAUGGUGAAAUCCUUUUCCAAGAAUUUGAACCCACGAAAGAUUAUAUUUUUUUUUACGAUGUUAAUCAACCAUCUAAAGUGAAAUCUUUUGCCAAUAUUUUUGACUCAAGGUUGAAUACAUCUUUGUACGGCGGCAGUAAUCAACCAUCUGAAGUAAAAUUAUUUGCCUAAGAAUUUUGAUCCAGGGGUUAGAAGCGGAAGUUUAUGACAUCGAUAAUUAACCAUUUUCCAAGUGAAAUCCUUUGGUAUAAUGACAAGUUGAAACCUAAUAAUAAGAUAAAUUGAGGCUGAUGGUCAAAGGAAACUCAUGUUUUCAUUAACGGAGGGCAUUAAGCCCAUAUCAUUGUCCCAUAAUUACAAGACUCAUCUUUUGAUCUGCUUCUUUGAUCUUUCCUAAUAAUAAGCUAUAAAUUGUGUUUAAAAAAAAAAAUUAAAUGAGUGGCGGGGGCUUAGCGUUCUACCUUUGGAGAAAUUCUAGAAUAUACAGAGGUACCAUAUCAACCAUAUAGUAAGCAAGUGAUGCUAUGACAUGUGUGUAUUUGUUUUGAAAAAUUAUUAUGCAAGUGGUGGUUAUAUUAAAUUCAACUACACAUGUCAUUCAAACAUCAAUUAGAUGUAAUACAUUAGAGGUAUUCUAAAAUUUCUUCUACCUUUCAUGUGUAAAAGAUGAUUGACUUAAAUAAAUGGCUACGUGUAACAUUUUCUUUUAUCUUUUCUCAACCUAUUAAUUUUUGUCUAAAUAUUAUAUUUCUAAAGAAUUCAAUUUGUUAAAGUUUUUAGUGUAUAGACGAUGAUGGGCCUGUGUUAAUGAGUUUGAAGUUCAUUUCUUGAAAAUAAAUUUAUAAAAGAAAAGGGUUUGAAACCGGAUGAGAGGAGGAAUUCUAGCUCUGAAGUAGUUAUAUUAAAUUUAAUUAUAUAUAUCAAACAUACAUUAAUUAAUUAUAAUAUUUCUAAUGUAUCUUAGAAUUUCUCAUUAUAGAGAAGAUCCAAAAUCGGUUGCCUAACUCACCCGAGAGGAGCCGGCUGCACAAAAAAUUUUACUAUUAUUUAAAGAUAAUUCUAACAAUGCUAAAAGCAUUUCCGUCCCCAUAAAAUUAUUCUAUAUAUCCACUUAUUUCAAUUUCUACUUGUUUUGAUCUGGGAGUUGUUUGUUUAAAGAAAAUUACUCCAACGCAAGAGGUGAGUCCGAGUCCACUAGUCAGUAAGUGCCUACAUAUAAUUAGCCUUUCUUGAAACUUACUUUUGUGAUUAGUUUCACAUAUUUUCCUCUGACAAGAUUAUAAUUCAAUUCUCUUUGAUUGCAUAUUUGUUACUCUACUCAGAAUUUAUUGAGCUUCUUUCAAAGGAUUGCAAAGAAGGGGCUGCUUUGCUUCUUUGUAUGAUACAAACUUUAUGUGUCAAAAACAAGGACACGGUUGUUAAUUCUCACAAUCAUGCGAAUGAAAGUGCGUAAAAGACUAUUUUUUCUCCAAGUGAAUCUUUGGAUGAUCAGAAUUUUUCCCAGGUGAAUCUGUAUAUGAAUAUAAUGCUGGAUUAUUGUCACUUGAUCAGUACAUAUUGUCCAUAGAAAUUAGCUUAGAGACUAAUGUUUAAAAGACACAUUAUUUAAGUCUUCCGUAGUUAAGUUCUUAUUUUUAUUUAAUUUCUUUAUCAAAUUAUUUGCUAAAGGAGUUACCAUACCAAGGACAUUUUAAUCCAUAUUUUAGUCCAUUAGUUUACAUAGUUUUUGAUUAUUUACAUCCCAUGGGGGACAAUAAUUAUAAUAAUGUAACUCUUAGGCCCUUCAAUCUUUCAGAAGCAGAGGAUUUCUUGUCGUGGGCAAGAGAUUAUAGAGUGAUUCAGGCUUUCAUUAAUGUAAAUUUAAGAUCAGAAGAUGGCAUCAAAUUCUUCAAAAGCAAAUUUGUAAGGCACACAGGGUUCAAAGCAAUAUGCCUCAACAAGCAGCCAAUAGGUGUUGUGCGCAGAACGUGGAAUCAAGCAUACCAAAUAAUUACAAAAAAAUAAAGGACACAAGAAUUACAUGGUUUGGCAAUAUGCCUACGUCCACGGGAGCAAGAGAAAAAUAAUUGUAUUAUUAACAAUUAUUUGAGUACAAAUUUGAGUAAAGAAAUCUCACUUUCCUAGAACCCAAAUACACCCAGUACUCUCACACACACUCUCCAAUUGCUCACACUCUCAGAACUCUCAAAAGUUUAAAAACUAAUAAGCUUAACAAAUUUUUUGGGAUGAUUUAGAAUUAAGAAAUGGCUUCAAUUUAUAGGAUUCAAGCUUGUACUAUUCCACCUAACCCAAACACUAUUCCAUCUAGCCCAUACAAAUAUGUCAAGGAGUUUGGUAUUUCUUUGGCCAAUCUUGAAAAAUUCUCCAAAUUUGAAUCCAACAUUUUGGCUAACCUUGACAUUUGUUAGCAAAAUGCAAGUGGUUUUCUUAUUUUUCAACAAUUCUCCACCUCGGCAAAGAUUUGUCCAAAUCUGAGCCGACUACCAACGGCUCAUCAUCCCCAAAGUGGCUGCAUCUUUGUGACUGCCUACGUACCCAAAAUUUGAGAUCAAGCCAAUCGUAGUUCAAAAUUCCCGAAGGACAUAUCUUAACACAAUCGAAGGAUUUGAAUUAGUUUCAAGCAAUGUUGAAACUUAACUCCAGAAACUACAUUCGUCAACAUAUCUGAUGGAUUAUCUUUGGUAUCAAUCUUUCUCAACAACACAACACCGCUCUCGAUAAUCUCUCUCACAUAAUGAUAUUUCACAUCUAUGUGCUUCGUCCGAGCAUGAUAUGUUUGAUUCUUCGCAAGAAAUAUUGCACUUUGAUUAUCACAGAAGACCGCAAUGUUCUCCUGAAUUACUCCUAAAUCACCUAACAAGCCCUUCAACCAGAUAGUUUCUUUUACAACUUCAGUUGUUGCCAUAUACUCUGCUUCCGUAAUGGACAGAGUAAUUGUCGAUUGCAAAAUCAACCUCCAGCUAACCGGACCUCCACCCAAUGUGAAUACGUAACCCGUUGUUGAUCUUCGCUUGUCAAGGUCUCCAGCGAAAUCAGAAUCACAAUACCCAACACAUUGUUGACCACAAUCCUUCUUGAAUAAUAACCCAACAUCAACUGUCCCAUACAGAUAUCGGAGAAUCCACUUUACUACAAGCCAUUGAUUUUUACCCGGAUUGUGCAUGUAUCUACUAACCAUGCUCACUGUUUGAGAUAUAUCGGGCCUUGUGCAAACCAUAGCAUAGAUAAGACUACCCACAGCACUAGCAUAUGGAACACGAGUCAUGUAAUCGCGCUCCUCUUGAGAUCUGGGACAUGAAGAAGAGCUUAAUUUGAAAUGAAGAGCUAAAGAUGUACAUACCGGUUUAGUUUUGUCAUCUAUGCCGAAUCUUUCUAGCACUUUCUUCAAAUAAGACUCUUGAGUCAACCAUACGCUCCCAUUCUUCUUGUCUCUACGAAUCUCCAUCCCAAGUAUUCUCUGUGCAUCACCCAAAUCUUUCAUCUCGAACUCAGAAGCCAGCUACUUCUUUAAUCUUUCGAUCUCAUCUCUAAUCUUCGAAGUUAUAAGCAUAUCGUCGACAUAAAGUAACAAAUAGAUUAAAGCUCCAUCUAGUAGUCUUCUAAAGUAUACACAAUGAUCGUGUUCACUUCUGGUGAAUUUCUGCCCUUGUAUAAAUUGAUCAAAUCUUUUGUACCACUGCCUUGGCGAUUGCUUCAGUCCGUACAAAGAUUUAAUCAACCUACACAUAUGAUUCUCCUUUCCAGUAACUAUGAAACUAUAAGGCUGAAUCAUAUAGAUUUCUUCCUCCAAAUUUCCAUGUAAGAACGCCGUCUUAACAUCCAAUUGAGCCAACUCUAACUCAUAUUCUGCAACUAAGGCAAGUAGGAUACGAAUGGAAGUAUGUUUUACAACUGGAGAGAAAACUUCAUUGUAGUCAAUACCUUCAUUUUGAGCAAAACCUUUUGCCACAAGCCUUGCCUUGUAUCGAGGAGUUGUUUGAUUCGCAGAUCCUUUCUUUUUGGUGUAGACCCAUUUAUUGCCAAUAGCCCUUUUUCCCUUUGGUAACUUUACAAGUUCCCAAGUCUGGUUUUGAUGGAGAGAUUUCAUCUCUUCCUCCAUGGCUAACUUCCACUGAUCACUUUCACUGCUGUGUAAUGCUUCACCGAAAGUAUUAGAGAUGUCAUCAUCAAUAACUGGAAGUGCAUAAGCUACCACCAUAUCUUUAUUAAGCCAUUCGGGUUUCUUUAUCUCUCUUCUUGGCCUCCUUGUUGCUAUAAAAUCAUCAUUAUCUACAUCAUCAAUUGUUUCUUCAUUUUGUGGGACAUCAGAAGAAACAACCUCUUCUUCAACUUUAGGUGUCACCUCCAUAGUUGAACCCUUCUUUGAUGUAGAACUAACUGGUAUAUAUGGAGUUGCAUCAAACUCCACCCGCUGCAAUACCUCUUUGGUCUUGUUCUCCACCUGCUGCGAACUUGAAGCUUUCAUCAUUGAAGCUUCAUCAAAUGUGACAUCUCUGCUACACACAAACUUUUUAUUUUCGAGAUCUCAAAGCUUGAAACCCUUUACUCCACUUUUGAAUCCCACAAAGAUAGCUUUUUUAGCACGAGGAUCCAGUUUACCAUCUUUGACAUGAUAAUAAGCUGGACACCCGAAUAUACGAAGGAAAUCAUAGUCUUGUGCAUGCUUUCCAGACCAAAUUUCCAUAGGAGUUUUACCUCCAAUUGCAGCAGAAGGGAACCGGUUUACCAAGUGACUUGCGUAGCUCACAGCUUCAGCCCAAAACUUUUUAUCUAAACCAGCAUUAGAUAACAUACAUCGUACCUUCUCCAGUAAAGUACGAUUCAUACGCUCAGCCACACCGUUCUGUUGCGGAGUAUGUCUCACCGUGAAAUAUUUUUUAAUACCCUCGUUCUGUCAUACUUGCAAGAAUUGAUCAGAAGUAUAUUCACCCCCAUUAUCAUAUCGUAAUACUUUGAUCUUUCUGCCAGUUUGAGUCACCACCAAUUUCUUCCAUUUCACGAAAAUCUCGAGAACCUCAUCUUUUGCUCGCAUGGUGUACAGCCACACACGUCUAGAGAAAUCAUCAAUAAAUGUAACAAAAUAAUGGCUUCCACCAAUUGAUGCAGUCUUGAUUAACUGUGAACAUAUUCAAGGAUCUUAUAAGUAUCGUGAUUAGCUGUACCAAACUUGACCCUUGUUUUCUUGCCUACUACACAAUGCUCACAGAAAUUUAAUUUACAGGUUUUGGUACCUUUUAAGAGUCCAUGCCUCAUCAGAGUUUGUAAAAACUUCUCGCCAGCAUGUCCUAAUCGUACAUGCCAUAACUUGGUGGUGUCACUGUGCACCUUAACAACAUUUGUUUCAUCAGUUGUGCCUCUCUUCAAAUAGUAUAGAUUGUGACACCGAACCCUUUGCAGAAUCACCAUAGCCCCAUGUGUAAACUUCAUUGUGCCAUCUCUAAUGGUAACCUUGUAGCUUUUAGCUUCCAAAGCACCCACAGAAAUUAGAUUUUUCUUUAAAGCUGGAACAAAUCUGACUUCUUUGAGUUCUCUGAUUAUUCCAUUAAACAUUUUGAGUUGAAUUGUUCCUAUCCCCAUUAAACGACAAGGUUGAUCAUUCCCCAUCAUAAUUGCACCAGAUUCCAAUUCGCUGGAAUUCGUAAACCAUUCCUUAAUGGGACACAAAUGAUAGGUUGCUCCAGUAUCAAGUAUCCACUUGCUCGAACUAGCUACGUAUGCUGCAUGAGUAAUACUUAGUGAAUAAUCAGAGUCUUCAUCUUUUCGUGCCAUGUUUGCUGCUGUUGGUUUCUUCUCAUCUCUCUUUUGAGCUUUUUGACAAUCUUUCCUCCAAUGACCCUUUUCAUGACAAAAGGCACACUCGUCUCGAGCUAUAUUUUUGCUUCUCGAUUUGGAUCGAGAAUUCUUUCCACCACGCUUUCUCUUUUUCUCCAUCGCCCAAUCUCUGCUUACCAAAGUUUCAGACGAUGCUCGUUCAGAAUUUUUAUUAUUAUUUCAAAUCUCUAAGUUAGUCAAUGCUGUGCAAACAUCUUUGAAGAUGAUCACACUUUUUCCAUAUAUUAAGGUAGUCACAAAAUGACUAUAUUCCUCUGGUAGUGAGUGUAACAGAAUCAUAACCUUGACUUCAUCCUUAAUAUCUUCAUCAAGAUUCUUCAAAUCAGCAAGUAACUUUUCAAAUCUUGAGACAUGAUCUUGCAUUGACACCCUAGGCUUCAUUCGAAAACCAUAUACUUGGCUCAUUGCAUGAAGGCGAUUUUCAGGACUUUUUAGCAAGUACUUCUCCUCUAAUGUAUGCCACAAAGUCAUCGCACACUCCUCAUCCUUCACCAAUAUUUCACCUCCUUGGUCAAACACGAUUUGAUCUGACCACAAGCUUUUUCAUUCAUACGAUCCCAAAUUUCUUCAUCAUACAAGUGUCUUUUAUUUUUCAGAACAACAUCGAGAUCGAUUUGAAUAAGGGCAUCCAUAACUUCGCGCCUCCACAUGCCGAAGUUGAUUUUCCCAUCAAACUUUUGAACAUCGAUCUUCUGGCCUCCUAUAACAGGUGCUGAAUAGCGAUUUGACAAAUCUCACCUCCCACCUGAAGUGUCUCCUAAAAUAGUCUCGGUAGAUCUCUCCCCAAUUCUGGAAGUUUCACCUUUUACCAUUUUUUUAACGAACUAUUUCCACUUGAAAAACAAUCUCUAUGAUGUUAAUUUCAUGUGAAUAAAUGCACCAGGAAAGUUCCCAGGAGACUGGAUGGGAACUCGGUCCUAAUUAAAAACCAGAAUCUUUAGACUCUUAUCGCCUUUGUUGACAGAACUUUCCUAAACAUACAAAAAUACACACCACUUACAAUAGACUGUCUCCCAAGUACAAAUGGUUAUCUCCACUGUAUUCGUGAACAGUACUGUAUACGGGAAUAGUACCGUAUACGUGAACAGUAUCGUAUCCCCCUAAGUACAAACUGUCGGCUCUGAUACCACUUGUUGUGCACGGAAUGUGGAAUUAAGCGCACCAAAUAAUUACAGAAAAAUAAAGGACACAAGAAUUACGUGGUUCGGCAAUAUGCCUACGUCCAUAGGAGCAAGAGAAAAAUAAUUGUAUUAUUAACAAUUAUUUGAGUACAAAUUUGAGUAAAGAAAUCUCACUUUCCCAGAACCCAAAUACACCCAGUACUCUCACACACACUCUCCAAUUGCUCACACUCUCAGAACUCUCAAAAACUUAAAAACUAAUAAGCUUAACAAAUUUUUUGGGAUGAUUUAGAAUGAAGAAAUGGCUUCAAUUUAUAGGAUUCAAGCUUGUACUAUUCCACCUAACCCAAACACUAUUUCAUCUAACCCAUGCAAAUAUGUCAAGGAAUUUGGUAUUUCUUUGUCCAAUCUUAAAAAAUUCUCCAAAUUUGAAUCCAACAUUUUGGCUAACCUUGACAUUUGUUAGCAAAAUGCAAGUGGUUUUCUUAUUUUUCAGCAAUAGGUGCCAUUGCAGUAACACCUUAUCCUGGAGAAUCAAAUAGGUGCAGGGCUGCAAUCAGCUGUGCUAUACACCCAAACUACUGGAGCAAAAGGAUUGGAGAAAGAGCUGCGAGAAUGGCGGCUUGUGCUAUAUUUGAAGAGUGGCCACAUUUGGAGAGACUCGAGGGUUUGACGGAAGUUGAUAACUUUGCCAUACAGAAAGCGGCUCACAAGGUUGGAUUCAAGAGAGAAGGUGUCCUGCGGACGUACUGUAUUUUCCAGGGAAAAGCUACCGACAUUGUCAUGCUCAGUCUUCUCUCUACUGAUGUCAUUCCGAGGCGGAUCCGGGCUAAAUUAUAAUUUUGUAGCAACAUCUCGCGUCUUUGUUGUAUCAGGCAAUUCUCUUUGUAAUGUAAAUUAAAUGUCUUUCAUUGCAACAGUACUCAAGUUUAGUUGAAAAGCAGACCUUAUUUCCUCUUCCAAAACGAAAAACAUACAAUUGUUUGGCCACGGCUAUAACGCAUCUGAUGCAUUGAUAGAUCGGUCUAACUAAAUGUGGAAUAGUUAGUCCCAGUUCCUACGUGUAGCACCAGCUAUGAUAGAUGAUGGUUCAGCUUGCUGUAAAAGCCAUUAAAGGUGGUUUUUUGAUAGGUCCCAAUCAAAGUUAAAAAUUUUUUUUAAUGAAUUUAGUAUUUUACUUAGGCUGAGAAUAGACCAUAAUAAUUUUAAUUAAAAUAAACUUGCUUCAUUAAUGACUAUAAAGGAAUUUAAAUACAAAAAAGAAAUUAACAACUAUUUCUAAUUAUCAGAUCACAUCUCUAAGAAAUAGGCACUAACGGCUAAUGACACAAGGCAGCAGAAAAUUAUUAAAUGCAACAACUACUGGACCUAUUCUUAAGCAAACAAGCUUGUGGACAUGAGCAACAACUUAGACCAAGUCUUUAGAAAUCAAGAAUCUCUUUGAAUGGCUCCAUCCCAACAUCCCAUUUCUUUCCGUGGCUUAUGCAAUUUACGUCCCAUGCAUCACGGCUCUUAGUCAAAAUACUUUGGGUUCUUUAUUGGCACUCUUGGGAUCUUCUUGGCAUAUCAAUACCCCCUCCUUUGGCCGAAAUUCCUCAACUUUCAUAUCGAGGAACUUGUCAUUCACCUCUUGAGUGUUCUCCCAUGUAGCAUCAUCUAGUGGAAGUCUUUUCCAUUUGAUCAAACUUUCUUCGACAAAUUUGGACCCUUUUUUAUCCAACGGGUGUCCAAUAUUUGCUUCUGCUUCCAUAAUUAAAUCACUAUCUUCAGCCAUUGGAGGUAACUCAGUACUAGUAGCAAUUGUUUCUCCUAACUUUUUCUUCAAAAGAGACACAUGAAAGACCGGGUGAAUGCGAAAGCCUUGUGGAAGCUUGAGCUUGUAGGCCACCAUUCCAAUUUUUUCUUCAAUCUGAUAUGGCCCAUAAAACUUGCUUGCAAGCUUUUGAUAGGCUCUUUUAAACACAUAUUGCUAGCGAUAGGGAUGAAGCUUCAAAAACACAAAUUCGCCCACUUGAUACUCAAUGUCCCGACGUUUUGAAUCUACUUGCUGCUUCAUUCGGUUGUUUGCUGCAUGUAAAUUAUCUUUAAGCUGUUGUAGCAAGGCAUCUCGAGAAGCUAAGCUUUGGUCAACUUCAUUCACUGGAUAGGAACCUUCGUGGUAAGGUGGAAUUAUUGGUGGGGCCUUCCAUGUAGAGCUUGGAAGGGAGUCAUCCUUGUACAUGCAUGAUAGGUAGUAUUGUACCAAAACUUAGCCCAUGGAAGGAAAGAAUGCCACUUACGAGGCCGUCGGUAAGCAACGCAUUGAAGAUACUGUUCAGUACAACAUUUUACAACUUUCAUUUGACCAUCUAUUUGUGGAUGGUAGGCGGAACUCAUCUUCAACUGUGUGCCCGACAUUUUGAAGAACUCUCGUAAAAAAUGACUAGUGAACACCAGGUCGCAAUCACUUAUGAUGGACUGAGGCAUGCCAUGAAGCUUCACUACUCCUUCAAUAGAUUUUUCAGCCACCACUUUUUUUGUAUACAGAUGGGAAAAAGCUAAGAAAUGGGCUGAUUUACUGAACCUGUCAACCACAACAAAAAUUGAAUUUUUAUUGUUUGAGGGUGGAAGGCCCUCGAUGAAGUCCAUAGUAACAUCUCCCAAAUGUGACAAGGAAUUGGAAGUGGGUGUAAAAGUCCAGCUGGUGAUAAAGUCUCAGUUUUAGUUCGUUGGCACACUUCACAAGAGGCAAUAUAAUUCUUCACUGCUUGGUGCAUGGAUGGCCAAUAAAAUUGUUGUUCUAGUCUUUUGUAUGUUCUCAAUAUACCCGAAUGCCCACUCAAUAUACCCGAAUGCCCACCUAUUGGAGAAUCAUGAAAUUCUUACAAGAGUUGCUAGAUGAUGUUACAAUGAAGAGGCACCACCACUCGAUUUUUGUAACAAACCAGCCAGUUUCGCCUACUGUAAGGAAAGCCUGGGUUUUUAGUUGCUUGUUUGCUACAUGUAAGGAUUGUCACUAGCUUCAGCUUUGAUUGUAUCCCAUAAUUGAGUUUGAGACACAAACAAGGCACUAAGACUAGGACUACCUGCCACCCGUGAUAAUGCAUCAGCUGCAUUGUUCUCUAGGCCUGGUUUAUAUUUGAUUUCAUAAUCAUAUCCAAGCAAUUUAGUCACCCAUUUUUGUUGCUCAGGUGUUGCUAUGCGUUGCUCCAACAAGUACUUAAGGCUGUGUUGAUCAGUUUGGAUAUAAAACCUCCGGGCCAGCAAAUAUGGUCUCCAUGUUUGAAUUGCAUGAAUAAUUACCAACAUUUAUUUGGCAUAAACAGACCAUGAACGCUUGGUGGUGCCUGAGGCCCGACUCAUAAAUGUAAUAGGCUUCCCUUGUUGAGUCAGAUCCGCCUCGAUGCCGUCCCCUGAAGCAUCUGAUUCAAUGAUAAAUGGUUCACUGAAGUUUGGCAUUGUAUGUGUUGGUGUAGUAGUGAUGGUCUUCUUGAGUUCUUGAAAGCAUUUUCAGCUUCAUCUGACCAUCCAAAAUGUCCCCUUUUUUACGAGGUUGGUGAGGAGGGAUGUUAUGAUGCCAUAGUUGCGGACGAAUUUUGGAUAAUAACCUGAAAUUCCUAAAAAUCCACACAGCUCAGAGACAUUAGUAGGCCUAGGCCAAUUCAACAUAGUUUUAAUUUUUUCUUGAUCCGCCUUGACUCCUUGUGGUGUUACAAUAUGCCCUAAUUAGUAUUCGAAUUCUUGUAGAUCGAAGGCACAUUUAUUCAAUUUGACAAAAAAUUGGUGUUGCCUUAAUAUUUCAAAAGCUUUUCCAACAUGCUCAAGACGCAUGGUCCAAUUGGGGCUAUAAAUUAAAAUGUCAUCAAAUAAAACUGGUGCAAAUUUUUGGAGGUAAAAGCAAAAUAUUGAAUUCAUAAUUGCUUGAAAAGCAGAUGAAGCAUUAUAAAGACCAAAUGACAUAAAUUAGUAUUCACCAUGACCAUUAUGAGUACAAAAGGCAGUUUUAUAAAUGUCCCUAAUUUUAACAUGUCCUUAACUUGUUUUUCAAUUUUAGCUUCAAAAUAGGCAUACCUGUAUGGUUUCACAUUAAUGGGCUCGGUUCCCCUUUUCAAAUUAAUGUGAUGAUCCACUUCUCUUGAAAGAGGGUGUUGCGUCGGCUCUUGGAACGAGUCUUCAAAUUCCUCCAAUAAUUUUUUCACCUCAGGAUUGACAUCUUGUGACGGAAGAGUGGCUAUGGAUUGAAGACAAAUACCAAGCAUGGAGUUCCCUUAUCGUAUAUCUUUGGAAAUGGCUUUCAUUGAUGAGGGUUGAAUUGAUUGCAUAUCAAUCCCUUGUAAUUUUUGAGUUUGGUUGUUCCACUAGAAUUCCAUUGUUAAUUGCUUUUAAUUAUAUGCUACCGUUCCCAAUUGCUCUAACCAAUAAACACCUAAGGCCAAGUCCAACCCAAUUAAAGGUAAAGCAUACGAUCUUGGUUAGUAAACUUACAUAUCCCAAUACAACGGCCACGGCAGUAUUGAUUAAUAACUCUCAAUACCGAUGCUGGAGCAAAGCUUGCAGGGUAAUCGUUACUGAUAUGAAGCUCUUUAUUGUUUUCUAGGUCUUGAUAUACUUAUUUAUUUAUUUUUUCACAUAAAACUAUGGGGGACUGUCACUAAAAUAAUUAUGCUGAUGAGGAAAGAAGAACAAUAUCAGCGAAUAAAUGAAGGAUGACAGAUCAAAUGAAAUACUCACUUUUAUCGACGGCAUCUAAGAAAUUCUAUAUAUUGUUAUACAUGUUGCCCAUCAUUUUAAACCAACAUAAUAGGAUAGAUUAGAUAUAAAAUUAAAUUAUAAUUUUAAAGUCGGGUGGAUUAUUUGAACCUAUUUUUUUACUGCAUUUUCCUUUAUGGUGGACCAUCAUUAAAAUUGAAAAUAUCUUAUUCUACUUAACAAACCCUUAUAUUUUCCAAAAGUAACCCCUUCUUCUCUCAUUCACGCUUUUGUUUGUAUGUGAAAUAUAACACUCAAAUUUCAUCAGGUAAGAAUUUUGCCCAACUUUGAAAGGAAAAAAUAAGAAAAAGGGCUUAUCCUUCAAUCAAACCCACCAAAGAGUAAUAAAUAUAGAAAGUUAUUUUCUCAAAAUGCUACAAUGCUACGGGGCUGACUAUGUUGUAACAGUGGUAUGAUACCAUAUUUUUUGUCUUUUUGUAAUCUAACCAUUGGAUCCAAGGUAAGAAUGGCAAAAACAAAUGCAACGGCAAGGAUGUAUUUAUUAGGUUGUUUUCAUUACAAUCCCUCUUGUUUUUUGAAAUGUCAAGAAAAAAUAUAAUAAUUAUUAUUUUAUUUAUUGGCUUAGUUGUUAAAUGAUAUGAAUAAGGAAGAAGUAGGAAAUUUUAAGAGGACUUUUAUUAUUGAUAUUAGGCAAUUACAAUGCAUGAUUCAAUACUCGUUUAUAAGAGCCACAGCCCAUUAAAUAUAAAAUAAAGCCAAUGUUUACUUCCCAACUUCAAAAAGAUAAAUCUUUUUAUUUAUUCCACAAAUUCAUAAAUAUUUCAUAAUUAUCUAAUUAUUACUAUCAUUUCUAGAUCUACUCUCAUUAUUUAAAUUUAUUAUUAAUUAUAUUUAAUUAUUAUUUAUAUAUUAAUUAUUAAUAUAUAAAUAUAAUAUGAUAUAAUAAAAUAAUAUUAUAAUAUAAUUUAUUUUUAAUAUUAUAAUUAUUAUAGUAAAAAUAAAAAUAUAAUUUAGAUAUAUUUAAUGUUUCAAUUAAGGAAAAAGUUAGUACAUUGUAGUGAAUUAUAUAAUUGACCACAAUCUAGCUUUCAAAACUUCCAAACAUAGGUAAGCAAUAAAUUAAUGUGAACAAUAUUAUAACAAUAUACAAUACUCUGUUCCAAACACAUUCUAAUGGUGCAUUUAUUAAAUAAGAAUUGAAAUGAACUGGAAUUGUAAUAAGAGAUUUGAAUCAGAAUAAGUUGUUUAUUUGAGCUGUAGGAAUUGGAAUUGAAAUGAACAACAUUCCCAUUGAUGUGUUUACUUUAUUUUAGAAUUGGAAUAGACUAUUAUAAGUUACUAAAAUGCCAUUUGUUAAUUGUGUCCCUAAUAUUAUUUGUAUAUAUUAUAAUUAAAACAAUAAAGAUAAUAAUAAUAAUAAUAAUAAUAAUAAUAAUAAUAAAAACUAAAAAUAAUAAUGAUGAAAAUAAUGUUAAUUAAAAAAUAAUAAAAUUUAACAACAAUAAUAAUAAUAAUAAUAACAAAAACAACAAAAUUAACUGAAAUAAUAAUAUUAAUAAUUAAAAUAAUUAAAAUUAUUAAUAAGUUUUAAUAAUUAUAAUAUUAAUAAAAAUAAUAACAACAAUAAUUAAUAAUAAUUAAACUAAUAGAGUUAAUAUAUUUUAAUAAAAACAAUAAUUUUAAUCAUAACAAGAUAAAUAUUAAUAAUAAUGAAUUACUUACGGUAUGAUAACAAUUAAAAUAAUAAAAGUAAUAAUUUUAAUAAUAAUAAUAAUAAUGACAGUAAUAAUCAUAAAUAAUAAUAAUUAUUAAAAUAAAUAAAAAUAAUAAAAUUUAAUGGUAAUAAUCUUAUAUAAUAAUAAUGAUAAUAAUAAUAAUAAUAAUAAUAACAACAACAAUAAUUAAAAUUCUUUUCAAAUGCCAUUUUAUCCCAAAAAAUGACUUAUAUGUAAAAGCUUUUAACUUCUUGUGCCUAUUGAAUUUUACAAAAAAUAUAAGGUGGUGUAGUGUAAUCAAACACAAAAGGACAAAAGUAGUGGUAUGUUGCAACUGUUGCAACAUAGGCCUACCCCCAAUGCUACGAGAAUUCUUAUGAAGGCAAUGAAUUGAUUUUAUUUUAUUUUUUCGGAUGCAAAAGCUAAUGAAUUGAUUAAUAAUAAUUAAUAUAUAUUUGAAAAAUAACAUAAAGUGGCUAUUUUGAAGCCAAUUUUGAGCAAGAUGAAUAUUGGAAAUAUAUACUUACAUAGAUGGUUCAUAGUCUCCUUUAUUAGCUCUUUGGAACAAACCAUAUCGAACUGGUGCGUGACUAAAUAAGAAAUUGGAUCCUAAAGAGCACUCAUUGGUGUGAAAAAAAUGAAGAAAAAAUCUCACAUGGAAUUUUAACUAACUGAUGCCCUCUCUUGAAACAUAUAUAUAUUGGUUUCCAUGUUCAUUUGCAAAAGACACCAAUAUCCAAGCGAUUUUUGCUAUUCUCUUUUAAGUAAAUACCUUUAGUUUUAGGCUUUAAUGUGAUAGAAUUUAAACGUCUGUUUGAAAUUCUCUCGAAUAGAGAGGUUGUGCUGCCAUCACUAUUUAAGCACCAUGGUAAAAGUGGCGUAUAUGUUUUAAGGACAUUUUAUAUUUACAAGUCUCGAGUGAGUGGUUUUUGUAUUAUUAUAUAUUGUUAAUUUAUCUAUUAUAUUUUUGCUAUUUCAAUUUAUUUUUAUUAUUAUUAUGAACUUGUGAUAAGUGUGUAAGAGAUUUAUUAGUAAGUUGAAGUACACUAAAAAGAUUUUGUCACUAAGUAGAGCUUUUAGUAGUAGAACUUUUAUAAAUAGAGUUUUUACCCCAAAAAAUUUAUUUGUUUGGUUGUCAAUAAGAGUUUUUAUUAAAAAUCCAUGAAAUUACUUUAAGAGGCAAGUUUUUUUAAGUUACGUUAUGAAAAGAAUAAAAUAAGAUUGUUAAAUAAGUAGAGGAUAUUUUAGAUAUUUUAACAUUUAAAAAAAGCUUUUCAACCUCUACUCCCAAAAGCCCAAAAUUUGAGUUUUUACUAGUAGAGGCAAAGUAGUUUAUUUAAGCUCUAAAAGUUCUACUAAAAAAACAACCAAACAACAAUAAAAAUUAUGAUAAGAGCUUAUGAGAUUAAAUAAUCACUUAUGGCCAUUAGAUUAAUCAUUCUAAACAGGCACUAAGACUAUAAAUAUAUUGUUUAAGAAGUCUGAGUUUCAAACAAGACCAUUAUAAACCUUUCGAUCUUUCUUGGAAAUCUAACUAGUGUGUUUUUACAUAAAAAGUGUGUAGUCUUAUAUCACUUGCUAAUUAAUGAUAAUAUACCCAAGAAUAUAAAAUAUGAACUUGGGCUUUUGAAAAAAAAAAAAAUUAGUUCACGUGCAAAUAUUUGGAGCUUAUUACCGAAAAGAUCUACAGCAGUUUAUGAUUGUCUUUUAGAAAACAAAUUAUCUUUUAAUCAAUGAUAAAUAAGAGACCAUUCAACUUGUGUAAACAUAGUUGAAUUAGCUAUUGAUAGAUUGUAUAAUUUCACUGAAUAAUUUCCUUCUAUCUUAAAAAAUUAAGUUAAGAAAAUAAAUAAAUGAAAAAUAGAUAUUUGAUUUGUGGAUUAGUAAUUUCGGAAUAUAGAUAUAAAAGAGGGAGAGAACAUGAGAGGUCAAAGGAUAAAAGAGAAUGAUUUUGUAAUUUUAUAUAAAAAUAGUUUUAUGAUAUAAAUUUUUAAUAAAAAUAAGUGCAAAGAGUAUUAAGUCGGGUUAAAUAGCCCGACCCUUUAAGGAAAGACCCAUCUCAUCAGUAGACUCAUCAUAUACCCAAAACACAACUCUGUAGCAACAAAUUAGGAAAAUAGCAUUCAACAAAUUAGGAAAAUGGCAAAAUGCUAUGUUACAUUAAUGUAACAUAGCAAGAUCCUAAUGUAAUAUACACACUCUACAACUAUCACAUAAAUUGUGUGUGCCUAUCAUUUGACUAAGAAAAUUACUUUAUACAACAGUCAACAGAGAUAAACGUGUCAACAUACGACUUGUUAAAUUGUUUAUUGUCUGUAAGUUGCAAAGUUGCAAAAUGGAAACGGCUUUUUCGGCUUCCAUGGGAACCGAAGUGGAAGUAUCGGAGCCGUUGAUUGAGAAAAUCACGGCGGAGGAGGAUCAGCUGAUUCCGGAAUGGAAGGAUCAGAUAACAAUCAGAGGACUGGCGGUGAGCGCGAUAAUGGGGACGCUCUUCUGCAUCAUCACGCACAGGCUCAAUCUGACGGUCGGAAUCAUUCCGUCUCUCAACAUUGCGGCGGGACUCUUAGGGUUCUUAUCCGUGAAGUCGUGGACAAGCUUCUUGUCGAAGCUCGGGUUCUCGACUAAGCCUUUUACAAGACAAGAAAACACCGUCAUUCAAACCUGUGUUGUGGCUUGUUAUGGCCUCGCUGCUAGCGGUGAUGAUUAAUUAUUGAGUCUUUUUCUAUGUUCAUUUCUUUUAGGUAAUAAAUUUUCUUGUAAGUGUUUGGUUAAAUUUGAAGCUAGGGAAAAAAAAGAAACAAAAAACUUGAAGAGUGUUUGUUUGUAGUUGUGUUUUUGUUGUUCGUAAAUUUGUUUACUUCUUCAGUUUGAUGUUAUUAUUAAUAUGCAACUCUCGACAGGGGGAUUUGGUUCGUCCUUCCUUGCAAUGGACGAGAGGACAUAUAAACUAAUUGGUACCGAGUACCUUGGUAAUCGGGCAGAAGAUGUCAAGAACCCUGGAUUGGGGUGGAUGAUUGUUUUCAUGUUUGUUGUCAGUUUCGUUGGUCUCUUCAGUCUUGUUGCGCUUCGGAAGGUAGCUUUUACUGUCUUUGUUUAUAAAAAUGCAUUUUUAUACAUGCUAAGAUAAAUUUCAAUUUAAGUUGAGUCCAUUAUUGGAUAAUUUUUCAAUCAUUUAAUUGUUGUGUUUGACUUAAUACAGUUUAUUUUCUUGUUUUUUGUUGUGUGUGCUGAUAGUAGUCGCAUUUCUAAUCCUUUCCCUCUGUGUUGUAUCAGGUUAUGAUCUUGGAUGGUAAACUUACAUAUCCCAGUGGAACAGCCACGGCAGUGUUGAUUAAUGGCUUUCAUACCAAUGCUGGCGCAGAGCUUGCAGGGUAAUUGUUACUAAUAUGAAUCUCUUUAUUUUUUUGUACGUCCUGAUGUACUUUUUUUUUUUUACAUAAAACCAUGGAGGAAGGUAGCUAACAUAAUUAUGUCGAUGAGGAAAGAUGAACAAAUUCAGAGAGUGAACGAAGAAUGUGGGCUCUGUCUAUCUGCAUGUAUUGUUGACUGAGCUUGUAGGUUUUAGUUAAGAAGAAUAUUUUUAAUGUGUCAUAAUCCUUGCUUACAUGAAGUCUGUGAUAUUUAUCAAUUUUCACAGUUGUGCCCUUGUACUUAUUGGAUGGUUUUCACUUUCCCCUGAAUUGUAUUUAUUAUAUUCUUUAAUAAUGUUAAUUAGAAAAUUCGUUAAUGAUUGUUUAAGAAAGCAGAGCUCGAGCAUUCCAGGGCCACCUACCACCCUUCCACCUGAAAAGAAAGCAAAAAAAAAAAAAAAAAAAAAAAAGAGAGAUAGAUUUCUUGCUAAUUACUAAUCUGUUGUUAUUGCAGGAUGCAAGUGAGGUGCAUUGGAAAAUAUUUGAGUAUAAGUUUUUUAUGUAGCAGCUUUAAGUGGUUCUUCAGUGGCGUUGGGGAUUCAUGUGGAUUUGAUAAUUUUCCCAGCUUUGGUUUGAUUCUAUUUAAAAACACGUAAGGCUCUUUUCGAUUUACUAUUCGUAUGUCUCUUUGUCUCUCUGUUUUAUUUGUGCCAUUAUCAUAUUUUCAUAUUAUCUGUGUUUCUUCCUUCUUUGGCCUUUUCCCUGAAGUUUUACUCCAUUAUGUUUUAUUAGAGCAAAGUAACCCGGCCUAAAUGUCCAUUUGUUGUCAUAUGGAAUAUCUGUUUUCCUAUAUGGGGUAGCAUAAUAAUUAGAAAGCGUUCUUUUGUAGAAUAAAAUAAGAGAGAGUGAGUGUAUGUGCACUCUAUCCUAAAGUGUUGUUUGUAUUUUCUUUCAAAUUUCACCACAUUGGUUUGUUUGCCAGAAUUGGUGUAUUCAUUAUUUACUUACAUUGGUGGUGUCCCUGGAAUUCUAAUUGUCUUUCUUUUUUUGGUAAUACUUUCUACAGAUUUUAUUUUGAUUUCAGUCCAACUUAUGUGGGAUGCGGUCUUAUUUGUCCUCGCAUUGUCAACUGUUCUGUUCUUCUUGGCGCUAUUGUAUCAUGGGGUUUUCUCUGGCCCUAUAUCUCCCAACAUGCUGGUGACUGGUAUCCAGCUGACCUUGGUAAUAGUGAUUUUAAAGGUCUUUAUGGAUAUAAGGUAUGGUGAAUCACACUCAUACGAUGCCUCUAAGACAAUUCCAUUACAGUUUACGUGUUUCGGACUUUUUCCUAUCUUACGUGUUGAGGCAUGCAAAUGAGCUAGACAUUUACUCUGUUUCUGAUCUCUCUUUUUCUUGCACUUCUGAAUUGGUGAAGCUGUCUCCUCUUGUUUCUCUGCUGUGAAUCGACUGUUCCCCCAAUUGCUUUUUGCAGGUCUUCAUAGCUAUUUCCCUUAUCCUUGGGGAUGGUCUUUACAAUCUGAUAAAGAUAAUCUCUGUAACUUUCAAGGAAUUGUGCAACAAAAGAACCAAAGUUAGCAAACUUCCAAUUGAUAAUGAGAUUCAAGGUGCAAAUGAAUGUUCCUCUGUUGCCUAUGAAAACUUGACCAAAUUAUUUUGUCUGGAAUAUUGAUUGAAAGUUCUGCUCAUCAUGUGCCCUCAGUAUAGUUGCUUGUGAUAGCCAGUUUGUUAUUUUUUUGGCACAAAAUUUCUACUUGAUUCGACCUAUUUGAUUGUUUUAAUUGGGAAACACUUCUGUUGCUGGUAUGUCUUCAGAAGCUAAUACAGUCAAUAAUCAUGCUCACAUGUACUUUUGCAGAUACUGAGAGUUCCAGAUUGCUAAUAGAGCAGAAAAAACGAGAGAAUGUAUUUCUAAAAGAUGGGAUACCCACCUGGUUUGCUGCUUCUGGAUAUGUGGGCCUGGCAGCUAUAUCAACAGCAACAAUUCCCACCAUCUUUCCACCUCUCAAGUGGUACUUAGUUCUCUUGUUAUACCUUAUUGCCCCAGCCCUAGCCUUCUGCAACUCUUAUGGGGCGGGACUUACAGACUGCAGCUUAUCUUUAACCUAUGCAAAAAUUGGGCUUUUCAUCAUUGCUUCUUUGGUUGGACCCAAUGGUGGGGUUAUUGCUGGGUUAGCAGCUUGUGGGGUUAUGAUGUCCAUUGUCUCUACUGCAGCUGAUCUCAUGCAGGAUUUUAAGACAGGUUACCUCACUCUAUCAUCAGCCAAGUCUAUGUUUGUAAGCCAGUUACUUGGAACAGCCAUGGGUUGUGUCUUUGCCCCACUCACUUUCUGGAUGUAUUGGACCGCUUUUGACAUUGGGUCACCUGAUGGUCCGUACAAAGCACCAUAUGCAGUGAUAUUAAGAGAGAUGGCCAUUUUAGGGAUCGAAGGCUUUUCGGAGCUUCCCAAGCACUGCCUGGCCUUAUGUUGUGGGUUUUUUGUGGCUGCUCUGGUUAUAAACCUUCUAAGGGAUGUGAUUCCAGAGAAAAUCUCAAAGUUCAUUCCUGUUCCCAUGGCUAUGGCAAUUCCAUUUUUUGUUGGAGCAUACUUAGCAAUUGACAUGUUUGUUGGGACCGUGAUAUUAUUCAUAUGGGAGCGAAUCAAUCGAAAGGAUUCGGAGGAUUAUGCAGGGGCAGUUGCAUCCGGUCUAAUUUGUGGGGAUGGAAUUUGGACUAUGCCAUCUGCAGUCCUCUCUAUUUUUAGUAUCAAUCCACCCAUUUGCAUGUAUUUUGGGCCUACUGUGAGUAGCUGAGCAGGAAAACUGGGAAACUCUCUGGCUGUGUUGUACUUGUCCCAUAGGUUGUAUGAACUGGAUUAUUUUUGUAAAUUUGUUUGUUAUAUAUGUUGAGGAUGGAUUUUUAGAAUAUCUUUUAUUUCUUCAUCAUACUUGCGCACAUAUUUGCACGAUGGCAAGAUUGAAUAAUAGGCGUAGAGCAACAUCAGUUAUAGAUGAACUUGGCUUAGAUGGAUGGGAUCAAUAUCUGCAGAUUUCCAUCAAAUUAUUGGCUAACUUCAUAAUUGAUAGGUGAUUAUUGCUGCAGAUUGUGAAGACCUUUGAAGAUUUGAAAGGAUCCACAUACAAGGUAACGUACAUCCCAAUUUCACUGAUGAAACCACAGCAGUGAAACUAAAGGCGAGCUCUAGCUGGAAUUUUCCUAUUUGUGCAGAUAGUGAGUUUGUAAAAACCUAUAACACGAGCUUUUAUCUUUAUAUAUGAUCAACAAUCAGCCCAUGCUUAUUCACCUGACAUCUCGUAACUUAGCUUUAUAUUGAUAAUUUUUUUUUGGCUUGUACAAUAAUCAAUGGUUUAUAUCGACAAUAAUUUUCAAACCAUUGAUAAAAUUUCAUAACCAAAAUGCUUGCAUAUUUCUUUCAUAGCAUGUAACAAAUUUAUGUUUUCAUAAUGGAUAAAGUCAUUCACUUUACGCAUAACAACCUUAACUUUAUUGCAAAAUUAUCAUGUAUAUAUGAAACUAAAACUUCAUAUCUCUCAUUAACCUUAAGAUUUAUACUUUGAUCAACAAUGUUCUUUAUAAACCAAAUGAGAUUAACAUUGUAACUAUUAUAAAUCAUAAAUGAGAGACUUACAUUUAGUUCAUCUUUAUAAUUUGCAAGUGAACAUAAGAUGAUGGCCAAUACCUUAUGAGAAGUUACAAUUUUUUUUUCAUAACCUUCAUAAAACUUUUACCCCCUGAGUAACAGAAGUACUAUCAAUUUUUCGCCACAUGAGAUUUAAGCUCAAUAGAUUUAAUUGUCCCAGUGCUCAAAUCCAUCUUGUUCACGUAGAGUACUUGAUUUUGCAAGAACAAGUUAUUCAUCGACACGAAACGCUAUAUAUACAAUCAAUUAGGGAAAAAUAUAUGCAUCUCAUGCUAUGUAAUCAAAAACUUAAUUUUAAUUUAACCAAUGUUAAUUUAACAGUAAAUUCAAACCUCUUGCCGGUAGAGUUUACAAAAUGCAUUGAAAUACUAUAUCUUUACUCACAUAUGAGAUAUAUAUGAGUCUUUAAUAAUAAGACUAGCAAAUAUGGUCAUAACAUUAGAAAAUUCCGUUCUAGGAAAAUUCUCAUAAAUUGAUGCCCAAUUCGCUAUCUUAUUCCAAUUAAAUCAUUAAAAUAAUUAUAUCCCUCUGGUGCCAAAUAACUAUUUACCGAACAACUACAAACAUUUGAUGCCAUAUAUCAUUUUAUUCAUCUUUAUAUGAUAUUAUAAUAAUUAUAUACUUCAUCAAAUAUAUAUUAUCGUAUCUUGAAAUGCUAUGCGUACUUUCAAGAUACAACAAUAUUUUAAAACUUUAUUGGCAUCACAAAAAUAAUUGGUCACAAAUAAUCGGCUAGAAGUUGAUGCCAAUAUUCUCUUUAACACAACCAAACCUUUAGUGUAGAUAAAAAUAUGGAUUCCAUUUAUGUAGCGUUAAUAACAAAAUUAUAAUUCAUAAUAAUAAUAAUGUCGUUUUUUAUCUUAUGCAUGAUAUCUCAUAUCAAAAUACCUUAAGAUGCUAUGACUAUUCUCAAGAUAUAUGAUAUUUGUUUUGUCACCAAUAAAUCAAAUAAUGCACUAAUGACAUUAAAUAUUUACCAUGGUUCACUUACAGCAAACAAAACCUUAUGUUAUCAAAUGAGACAUAUACCAACAUUCAAAUCUUAUAUAUACCUCAUGCAUAAUCAUAUAUUCCAAAAGAAUCAUUCAGAUCCACAUAUUACAAACUCGAAAGCCAAAAAUGAUAUUAAUUAAUCUAGUCAGGUUUCAAUUCAAAUUAUUACUGUAAAAAUUAUAGAAUAUAAUUCAUGAUAAUGGUAAAUAAUCAAAAUAAAACUACAUGAUCAUUCUCAUCGAUUAUUGUAAGCCAUAUAAUGUAUGAACUUUAGAAACAAUUGCAAAAAAAAAAAAAAAAAAAAAAAAAACGCAACAACUACAUGGAUGAUUCGAUCAUAAUAAAAUAGAUAUAUAAAAAUUUCUCUAACUGAGUUUCUUAUUAUUAUCAUGUAUUAUAUAUCAAAUUAAAAUGCAUGUACUUAAUAAAUCCAUGAAAAUUUAUUCGUGGGUAACCUCUGUAAUCAUAAUAUCAUAUGAUGUAAUAUGUAAUUCUAUGCAUUUUUUUAUAUAUCUAUUAUAAAUGCAAUCUGUAUCAAAAACUUAACUACAAUCAAAUACACUUCAACAUGAUUUCAACAUAUAAAUAAAAUGAUAUAUAUACCGAACAACAAGAAUUGAAGGUGGCUUUGAUACCACGUGUAAAAAAAUUAGAUUAGAAGAGGAUUGUAUCUCCAAUCACAGUUGUUCAAAUUUGAAGCAUUCUCUACAUUCAUUAAAUUUUACAAAGGUGUCUUCUACCCUAUUCCAUUUUAUAGCCUUCUCUUGUGAUGGAAAACAAAUUCUUGGUAAGCAUUGAUUUAGCUUGGCUAAGGACCCUUUUAUAGUAAUAAUUCUUAACUUAAAAAGACUUUGCACUUCCUUCCAUCAGAGAAGUGAUUUAUAAUCUUUAUCACUUCCAUUAUAAAAGUGACUAAUAAACUUUAAUAACCUUUAUCACUAUCCUUUAAAACAAGUAAAUGAGUCAUUAAUAUGAGUUUAUGUAUUUACUUACUUAAACAAUGGACUUUUCAUGUGUACUAUGUAAUGAAAAUUCUUUUAAAAUAAUCAAUAAAAAGACAUGGGAUUAGCUUAUAACUUUACUAUGAAAGCCCGCGGAAUUAACUCAUAUUAAAAAAGAAAACUUAUUAAAUGUUAAGAGUUUAUUGUUAUCUUGAGUUUAUAUACUUAGUUUGGGAAUUGCAUAUAUUCUCGUCCUCGAGAAGGUAGCAGUUUUAUUUUAGCUAAUCACCGAGUUGAAAUCUCAAAAAAAAAAAAAAAAGGGAACAAAAUUAAAAUUGAUUAAGGCUUUGCCUGCACUUCUACCUUUUAAAUAGGGAAAGAAAACUAAAAUAUUGAAAAAAAAGCUAUAUAUAUAUUCUCAUAUGUUAGAUUAUUUUAUAACAUUGUUCUCUUCUUUAUUCAACUAGCAUAGCCUUUCUGUCAUAUUAUGGCAAAGAUGAAGAAUAAAGAUUUAAUCAGAUCUAAUAUUAGUGUAGAUCUAACCCCACAAUCACAUGAUUUUUGUACGGAAAAACUAAUGUAGACUAUAGCAUCGAGAAAUGUUAUUUAAGUAUGGCUAACUGAGAGUUUGACAACUAAUUAGUUACACUUGACUGUUUUGGUAUAACUCUUGAGCUGAUAUGUAAGUUACAGGUGUUUUGUAAUGGAAUUGGAGAAAUGUAUCUUAAAAAUUACACCAAUAAAGUAUUUAUUAAUUAAAUAAUUUGUUCCUGUAACUUAGAGGUUAAGUUGAUUUAAUCUCUAAUUUGUAUAAUAAAAAAUCGAUACCAUUUUUACUAUUGAAUUAUUAUUUAAAAAUCAUAUUACCACACAUAAUUUAUUUUUAUUUUUUAAUUAUAAUUUUUUUCUACGCACGACAUUUCAAUACCAAAUAGACAUUCUUUUUUUUAAAAAAAAAGAUAAUUUUCCUUAAAAAGAAGACGUAUGGUUGGUAAUUUCAUAUCUAACAAUAAUGAUCUUUAACAAUGAUAUAAUUUUUUUUAAUGGAAAAAGAAAAAUGACGGAUUGGGCAAAGGUCUAAUCAAAUUACAAUGAUUCAUCUAACAGUAAUGAUCUCUAUCAAUUCUUCUCCUGAACGAAUCUUUAUUUAGGGUCUCAAAUCCUUUAUCCUUCAGCGAUUUAUUUAUGCCUGCUCUCCAUAAUUUGUAGAAAUCCUUAAUCAAUAGUUCGGUAUUUAUGGCCCAAUUGUUUAUAUCUCUCAAUGAAUCAAUCGCAGAUCUCCAGAAUAGAUAUGCUACGAAGCAGAGCUGAUAAAUACGGGUAUAUUAGUUAUUUUCGGAGUUCAACAAACACAGAUGUUUGUAAUAAUUUGAUAAGAUUAUUGUUUGUGUCAUUUGUUUCUUCUUAUUUUAUUAACUGAAGCUAUUGUUUUCAAGUGGUAAACAACGAAGAUUCAACAAUUAAUAUUUGUUCUUAAUCCCACAAGGCUACAGUCAUAUGGUUUAUGCAAGGGAUAUAUAAUUAAUGCAGCCUAUAUUUAGUCUAAAAAUAAUAUCUAAUUAUUACGUUUAGCAAAAUUCAUUGCUAAAGAGGGGCUAUUGUGACCACAAAUUUGUUUUGUCGCAAAAAAUUUGAGUGCUAAAAAAAUUGUUGGCGCCGAAAUCUUUAUCAACCAAAAAUACACCAUAUAGCAACGGUUCCAAUCAUCACAAAUUCCAUCAAUAGCGAAGAAAGAAUUUUUGUUGCAAAAGGUGGUUUUAGCGACAAACAUCCUCGUUGUAGAAGCCCUAUGGCGAUGAAAAUAUCUUCAUUGCUAAAACUACCUUUUGCGACCAAACCGUUUCAUUCCAAAAAGGUAAUUUAAAAUAGAAUGUUGGUAUAUGUCUUAAAACCACCAAUGGUCAUCUCCCUUUUGAAAUGUGAGUGGAGUAGACGUCUCUCUAAUAUUAAAAAGGGUAAAAAUUUAGACGGUGCUUCAUAAGAAUUAAUGUAAACUAGUCUCAAUAAUAAUAUGAUUUGUAAAUAUCAGUUGUAAUAUCAUGUAAUGAGUUGUACUCUUGAGCAAUAGUCAUAUGUAAUUAAAAAAAAGAUCAAAUAACAUAAAUAUUAAUAAAUUUAAAUUCUUGGUAUCUUCUAAUAGGAUCUUUUCUAAGAUGGAUAUAUGAGAUAUGUAGUGCUAAGUUAAUGCUUUGUUUGUUCGCAAGAAGAAAACGUAAAAGGAUGAGCCAAAGCUGAAAAAAGCAAAGUUAACAGCUCUGGCUGUUCUAGAGCAAUAAAUUAUGAUGUGAAAUUUGAUUUAGGGACGUUAUUGUGGUUGCAAAUGCAGGGUAACAAUCGUGGCACUCUUUUGAUAAUAGAACCAAAGAAAAAAAUUAAUUGAUUAAUUAUUUAAAUUUUUUCUAUUUAAAUAUUUUAAAUAUAAUAUAUAAAUAUAGUAUGACUUUUAAAUAAUUUUAGAAAAAUCCUCUUUUGCAAAAGGAUAUGGCUAACAUUGUUUACGUAUAAAAAAUCAUUCACCGUCAUUCAUGGCAAAAUUAGAGAUGGCCAACGGCCUAGGCAGCAUGUGGCAUGACACGGCACAACACGAGCAUAUUUUGGUAGGGCACGUAGUACAACACGGCACACAUGCGAAUUAGAUUGGGUUGAGAAUUUUAAAUAAAUUAGGAAAUGGAACAGCACUUCGUGCGGUUUUAAAAAAAAAUUAGUAUUAUAUUUUUUUAUUAUUUUGCACUUGAUGAAACUAAUAAAAAAUAUAAAUUAUUUUUUUUAAAGAUGACGUAGCCUUAUAAAACUAAUGUUAUUUAUGAAAGUUAAUUAUUUUUUUGUUAACAUUAAAAAUAUAUAUUAAUGUGUAUAGUUAAGUGUACACAACCUUUUCAUCAAUAAAAAUUAUGUUCGCACUAAUCAACUCUUUAUUUUUCUUGGUAUUAACAAACUCCCAUAUCUUAUAAAGUCUAACCCUUAUCAUCCAACUAUCUUUAUCAUUGUUUAACUCAUGAAGAAAAGAGUACUCCAUGAAGCACACAAUAUUAAAAAUUUAAAUAAGUUAAAAAAUAAAAACACAAGAACAUUUCUAAAGAGGAUGUUGGUUAAAUAAUAAAAAAAAACCCAAACAUAACAAAUCUUAAAUGCUUAAUAUUUAUAGAGUUUGAAGAAGUCAAAAGACACUAAAUAAAAGGUUGCAUAAUUAAAUAUGGGAUUAUGACAUUAAAAUUAGGUCCUAGUGGUAUUGGUGAGGAAAGAUGAAGGAACCUUCCUUCCUAUAUUAAUUAGUUGAUGUAUUUUAAACCACUAAAGUUUAGUUGUUGGCUUAAUAAAAUAAAUGAAUGUUUCAAAACUUAUAAUUAAUUUAUUAUUAAUGGUUACAUAUUGUUGAAUUUAAAUAGAAAGAGGAAGAGACAUGUAAUUUUUUGUAAUCUAUUAAUUAUUUUCUAUUUUUAAUAUUUUGUAAUGUAAUUAUUUUUUAAUCUCAACCAAUAGAUUAGAUAAUAGAAAAUAUAAAAAGAUGAGAAAUAAUAAUGCCACAAAUCUUAACUACUUAAUAUUUAUAGAGUUUGAAGAAGCCAAAAGGCACUAAACAAAAGGUUGCAUAAUUAAAUAUGAGAUUAUAGCAUUAAAAUUAGACCCUAAUGACAUUGUUGAGGAAAGAUGAAGGAACAUUCAUUCCUAUAUUAAUUAAUUGAUAUAUUUAAGCCACUAAGUUUAAUUAUUGGCAUAAUAAAAUAAAUAAAUAUUUCAAGAUUUAUAAUUAAUUAUUAUUAAUGGUUACAUAUUAUUGAAUUUAAAUAGAAAGAGGAAGAGACAUGUAAUCUUUUAUAAUCUAAUAAUUAUUUUUUAUUUUUAAUAUUUUGUAAUGUAAUUAUUUUUUUAAUAUCAACCAAUUUAUUAGAUAAUAGAGAAUACAAGAAGAUGAGAAAUAGUGAUGCCAUAUCACCUUCUCUAGUCCCAACUUUAUAUAUAUAUAUAUAUAUAUAUAUAUAUAUUUUGUAAUUGUUUUUUAAUCUCAACCAAUAUAUUAGAUAAUAGAGAAUAAAAAAAGAUGAGAAAUAAUGAUGACACAAAUCUUAAAUAUUUAAUGUUUAUGGAGUUUGAAGAAGCCAAAAUGCACUAAACAAAAGAUUGAAUAAUUCAAUAUGGGAUUAUGACAUUAAAAUUAGGCUCUAAUGGUAUUGUUGAGAGAAGAUGAAGGAACCUUCCUUCCUAUAUUAAUUAAUUGAUGUAUUUUAAGCCACUAAAAUUUAAUUGUUGGCAUAAUAAAAUAAAUGAAUGUUUCAAGACUUAUAAUUAAUUAUUAUUAAUGGUUACAUAUUGUUGAAUUUAAAUAAAAAGAGGAAAAGACAUGUAAUCAUUUAUAAUCUAAUAAUUAUUUUCUAUUUUAAUAUUUUAUAAUGUAAUUAUUUUUUAAUUUCAACCAAUUUAUUAGAUAAUAGAGAAUAUGAAAUGAUGAGAAAUGGUGAUGCCACAUCACCUCUCGUAGUCCCAACUUUAUAUAUAUAUAUAUAUAGAUAUAUAGAUUAGUUGAUGUAUUUUAAGGCACUAAAGUUUAAUUGUUAGCAUAAUAAAAUUUGAAGAAGCCAAAAGGCACUCAACAAAAGGUUGCAUAAUUAAAUAUGAGAUUAUGAUAUUAAAAUUAGGCCCUAGUGGCAUUGUUGAGGGAAGAUGAAAGAACCUCUCUUCCUAUGUUAAUUAAUUCAUGUAUUUUAAGCCACUAAAGUUUAAUAGCUAACAUAAUAAAAUAAAUGAAUAUUUCAAAAGACUUAUAAUUAAUUAUUAUUAAUGAUUAUAUAUUGUUGGAUUUAAAUAGAAAGAGGAAGAAAUAUGUACAAAGAAUAUCCACUAAUAUUUUAGAUAUUUUAGAUAAUAGAGAAUAUAAAAAGAUGAGGUUGAGGGAAGAUGAAAGAACCUCUCUUCCUAUGUUAAUUAGGUGAUGUAUUUUAAGGCACUAAAGUUUAAUUGAUAGCAUAAUAAAUUUUGAAGAAACCAAAAGACACUCAACAAAAGGUUGCAUAAUUAAAUAUGUGAUUAUGACAUUAAAAUUAGGCCUUAGUGGCAUUGCUGAGGGAAAAUGAAAGAACCUAUCUUCCUAUGUUAAUUAAUUCAUGUAUUGUAAGCCACUAAAGUUUAAUUGCUAGCAUAAUAAAAUAAAUAAAUGUUUCAAAAGACUUAUAAUUAAUUAUUAUUAAUGAUUACAUAUUGUUGAAUUUAAAUAGAAAGAGAAAAAAAGUACAAAGAAUAUCCACCAAUAUUUUAGAUAAUAUAAAAUAUAAAAAGAUGAGGAAUGAUAUAUAUUAAUAAAGUGAUUAUUUAUUAAAUGAGUUAAAUACAAUCAAAUUAAUUAUGAGAAGAUGAAAAGCCAAAUCUAAAAAAAAAUCUCUAUUUAUUAGAUAAUAGAGAAUAUAUAAAGAAGCAAAAUGGUGAUGCCACAUCACCUCCUCAAGUCAUAGCUUUAUAAAUGAAAGAACAUAUCUUCCUAUGUUAAUUAAUUCAUGUAUUUUAAGCUACUAAAGUUUAAUUGCUAGCAUAAUAAAAUAAAUAAAUAUUUCAAAAGACUUAUAAUUAAUUAUUAUUAAUAAUUACAUAUUGUUGAAUUUAAAUAGAAAGAGAAAAAAAGUACAAAGAAUAUCCACCAAUAUUUUAGAUAUUUUAGAUAAUAGAAAAUAUAAAAAGAUGAUGAAUGAUAUUUAUUAAUAAAGUUACUAUUUAUUAAAUGAGUUAAAUACAAUCAAAUUAAUUAUGAGAAGAUAAAAAAUCAAAUCUUAAAAAAAAAUCUCUAUUUAUUAGAUAAUAGAGAAUAUACAAAGAAGCAAAAUGGUGAUGCCACAUCACCUCCUCAAGUCCUAGCUUUAUAUAUAUAUAUAGAUAGGCCUUAAAAGCAUGACGAUAUUAGAGAUGGGUUAAAGCACGGAAUGUGAAAAGGCCCGCAAUAUGCACUUUCACUUUUCAAUAAAAGAAAACUUAAAAUUUUAUGAUUUAUAAAUAACUUGAAAUUGAAUUUUAAUAUAUUUUAUUAACGUAAGUUUUUUGAAUUCAUUUAAUUCUUAGUUUAAAAAAAAUGACUCUAGUUGUUUUCUGUUUAUAAGUUAUUAAAUAAAUAAAUAAAUGAUAUGAUGAUUUUAAUAAAUAAAAUUAUAAAUAUCACAAUUUUACAUCACUUUAUGUCGCUGAAGAAUCAUGUGUUUAUUGUGGUGAAGGGCACUUAUUUUGAUAAUUGUCUUGGAAAUCCAGUCUCAAUCAACUAUGUGGGUAACUUCAACAUGCAGAACUAGAACCAUUCAUAUUUAAACAUUUACAACUCUAGAUGGAUACAGUACCCAAACUUUUAAUGGAGUCAUCAAAAUCAACAUACUGCAGCAUCCAGUGGACAAAACAGACCUGCUCAACCACCUGGAUUUCACCAGAAAAAUCAAGGGUAAAGAAACACCAGCAAUGAUCAACUUAGUUCUCUUGAAGCUUUGUUUAAAGAAUAUAUUGUGAAGAAUGAAGCAAUUGUUCAGAGCCAAGCUGUGUCUAUAAGAAACUUGGAGAAUCAGAUUGGACAGCUGGCUACAACAUUGAGUAAUAGACCUCAUAGCAGGUUUACCCAGCAAUACAGAGGAUCUAAGAAGAGAAGGAAAAAUAUAUGGCAAAGUGAUUAACUUAAGGUCUGGAAAGGAUGUCCAAAUUCCUAUUGGUGUACCAAAAAGAAGAAUAGAACUUGUUUCAACCCAAGAGAAAACUCAAAUUAAAGAAGAGUCACAACAACCCACUUACCAGCCCACUGAUGUAAAUAGCCAAGCUAUAGCAUCAACAGAAAAUAAUAAUCCAGCAAUUAUGGAAGAAGAUUUUACAGUACCAAACACAUUAGCCUGAAACAUGGCAAAGGAAAAGCAACUUGUACAACUUGCUACAACACAGUAGUUUAGACAUCCACCACCUUUCCCUUAACGAUUUCAGAAGCAAAAGCAAGACAAGCAAUUCAACAAGUUCCUGGAAGUGUUAAAGCAGCUACAUAUCAACAUUCCUUUAAUAGAAGCUCUCGAACAAAUGCCAAUUAUAUGAAGUUCUUGAAAGAUAUUUUGGUGAGGAAAAAAAGACUUUAAGAGUUUGAAAUAGUUGCUCUAACACAAAAAUACAGCCAUAUGCUUCAGAACAAAAUCCCUCAUAAGUUGAAGGAUCUAUGGAGCUUUACAAUUCUAUACUUUAGUGGAACUAAAUACAGGGGUAAGACACUUUGUGAUUUAGGAGCUAGCAUCAAUCUUAUGUCGUUAUCAGUGUUCAAGCAAUUGGGAGUUGGAGAAGUUAAGUCGACAACAGUGACUUUACAACUUGCUAAUAGAUCUCAUGUUUAUCUAUAAAUGAAGAUUGAAGACGUGUUAAUGAAGGUGAAUAAAUUUAUUUUUCCAAUAGAUUUUAUUAUGCUAGACUUUGAGGCAGACAUAGAAGUGCCAAUCAUUCUAGGAAGACAUUUCUUAGCCAUGGGAAAGACCCUAAUUGAUGUGCAAAAAGGAGAGUUAACUAUGCGGGUGAAUGACCAGCAAGUUACAUUUAAUGUGCUGGAUGCUAUGAAAAAUCUUGAUGAGGUCGAAGAUUGUAAUUUUAUCAGUGUUGUGGACUUUACUGUGGCAGAGAGGUUAAAUAAUUGCUACAGUAAGAAUGAAAUCAAUGCGGUAACAUUUAAAGAAUUUAAAGAUGAAGAUCCUGAAAUAACAAAUGUAGCAUGAUUAAAAUAGAGGGAAUCCAUGAGGGGUGACAGACACUUUGAAUCUCUAGAUCUCUCAAACAAGGAAGUAAAACCUUUUGUUUUAUCUAUUGAGUCACCUCCUGUUCUAGAAUUAAAACUUUUACCUUCACAUUUAAAAUAUGUUUAUCUUGGUGACAAUAAUACACUCCUUGUAAUCAUUUCAUUUUCUUUGAAUGCAGAUCAAGAGAACAGUUUGUGGAUGUAUUGGGGAGAUAUAAGAAGGCUAUUGCAUGGACCAUGACAGAUAUCAAAAGAAUCAAUUCUUGUGGAGACGAUCUGAAUACUCAUCAGUAUAUUACUUGUUGUGUACACUUGCACACUGACACCCAUAACAUUAUAAAUCGUACACCAAGCCCAUAAUAACGUAAACAUUAAUAUAUCACUUUUAAUUGGGCUUAACCGUAUAUGACAGUCAAUAACACAUAAUUAUUCACAUAUAAGCCGAAUGUUGGAUUAAGGAUCUAACAAUAUUGGAUUAAAAAAUCCAACACAAUGUUCUUUAGUGGUAAUACAAAAGCUGAUUAAGUGGUUACAAUUAAAGGAAUCUUUCACUUGAAUGUUGUUUCUGGACACAAAAAAUACCUAGGGCUACCAUCAGUGGUUAGAAUAAACAAAAGAAUCUUUUUUGAUGAUAUAAAGCUCAAAGUGAUAAGAAAGAUUUUAAAUUGGCAACACACGCACUUUUCUAGCGGUAGCAAGAAGGUCAUCAUCAAAGCUAUAACCCAAGUCAUUCUAGCUUAUGUUAUGAGCGUGUUCAAAAUUCAUGUAGGGUUGUAUGAUGACAUCCAGAAAGUUAUAGCUAGAUUCUGAUGGGAAUUUAAGGAUAAAAAGAAAGGCAUUCAUUGGGCUAAGUGGGAGAGAAUAAGUAAAGAAAAAUGCAGAGGUAAGAUGAGAUUCAAGGAAUUCUCAUGCUUCAGUAACUAAGCAAAAGUAGAGGAUUUUAUUGUUUCCAAAUUCAUUAGUAGCCCAAGUUUUGCAAGCAAGAUACUUCAAACAAUCUGAUUUCUUGCAGGCAAGACUAUGGUCCAAUCCUUCUUAUAUUUUGGAAAAGUAUCUUGUAGAGAAAACUUGUAAUCCAAAAAGGCAAUAAAUGGAUGAUAGGUUCAGAAAACAAAGUGCAGAUUUACAACAGCAACUGGAUACCAAGACCAAAAACAUUCAAACAGCUUUCCUGGCUAAGUACAUCCAUCCCCAACAAAUCUAUCACUAGAAAAAGAAAACAAAAAAUAAAAAAAAUUGCAACAUUACAAAACCCUAGCCUCCACCUACCACUACCACCACCUUUCUACUAGUUGUUCAUUGUUGUUUGACCCACCACCAGAAUCAUCGUCAGUUGCUAACCAAAACCCAAUCGUCCUCUACAUUUGAAACCGUUGUGUAGCCACCACGAAUUACCCUAAAACGCUACAAGCUCUCCACCAGCCGCUGUCAUGAACCAACCAUUUUUUACCAACAACCGAUGCCAUUACCACACUCCCCUCUAGCCAUACAUUCAAAACCAAUCAACAAUUGCCACAAAUAUUGGCCAUAAACCGCUAUUAACCACUAUAAGUUGCCGCCAAUUAAAGUUGGUUUUCCAACCAAACUACUGCGAAUCUAACUAAUCCUCGGCCAUUAUCAUGCUCAUCAUCACUAUAUCUUCUAGAUCUGACCAUCACCACACUAAUUCAUGGCCACCAGCCGCCAGCUACACCAACUCGAAAGUUCACCCUUAUUUACAAUUUUGCAAUCAAGUUUAUAUUUGUACUUGAAAUAUUCAAAAGGACAUUAUGCUUUGGAAGCUUGAUGGAAAUUGCAGUAUUGAAUAUUUUCUUUCAUGGUUGGACAAGGUUGAUUAGGAAUAUAUGAUUAGAUUGCUGAGGUAUGAUUGAGUACAAUUUGUAGCUGAUUUUCUAUUAAUAAGGAGUGCUUUAGAAUGAUGGGCUAGAGUGCAAAGGCAUAUAUAGCUUUUCAAAGGUCUUUUUAAAAUUACUUCAUGGACUUGUAUAAAGCGAAUGUUGAGAUCAAGAUUUAUUCCUCUAGGUUAUUGUUUGUUAUGACAAGGUAUGAAAUCAAUUUCGGAUUAUGCUUCUAAGUUCGAAUAAUUUUAUAGAUGCAAAUAUCAAAGAAACUUUAAUGAUGUGAUUAAAAGACUUAACAAAGUCCAAGAUUUAAUCAAGUAAUGGCAUGUCUCUAUGAAAGUGUCUAAAGAUGUACCAAUAAGUUCACCUAUUGUUGAGAAAAAAAGACUCGCUUAAGAUGCCAAAAGAUGAGGUACAAUUUCUUAUUGAUUUAAAGUUCUAGUCUAACAAUUUGUGCAAGAAUGUGUAUGAUGUUUCCUUGGAAGACAAGACUAGCAUUGAAGAUGAUGAGGUUUUUGAUCUAUCUAAUAUUUUUAAAAAAUAAAAAUAAACUAUUCAUGAUUUGCACAUUGAACCUAAUAGUACGUUCGAGGUUGUGUAGAAAAAUCAAGUUGAAGAAGCUGAAAUGAUUGAAAUGGUUUUGCCUAUUCGGUUGAAGAAAAUUGUGCUCGAAGAAGAUUUGAUAAAAAAGGUGAAAUUUAUUAGAGAGGGCAUUGAGCAUCAAUUGGGAAAGGGCAAGGGUUAUUUGAUCAUUGUUCGUUCUUGGAAGUCUGAAAUACAAGUUAUACAACCCAAGAGGGGGGCGAAUUAGGUUUCUUAAAAAUACGUGAUUAGUAUUAAAAAUUGUUUAAUUAUCAAGCGAUAAUAAUGUUAUUUUGUGCUUAUGUUAUAAUUUAUAUUUGUGUUUAUGCAAUAUAUUAUGAAUUAUGAAUUAUGUAUUAAAUAUAUCUAAUUUUUUGUGUUUAUUCGGUAAAAUAUUAAUUUCACGUAAUUCGAGACUCCAAACAGAUAAACGAAUGUCAAAUUUAGAUUCUGAAGGUCCAAAAACUUUAAAAUAAGUCAAGAUCGGCUUAAACUUGGGCUUGUGUAAAAAUAGUUGACUUUUCUUGUUGACCGAGCACUGAUUGGAUGAUUAAAUGAGCUUACAAUAGAUAUGAGUGCAUGUGAUAGCUGGCAAUUUUGACUAAAUCCUAACCGUUCGUGAUUUAAUGGCCAUGAUUGUGCCAGGUGGCAAUAGUUGGUGAGACAAAUUGCAGGAUCCGAAUAUUUGUAUUUGGGUCAACCCGAUUCACCCAUUAACCCGCCAAAUUUCAACCGUUCUUUCGCUAAAUCAGGCGAGUCAAAUGAUGCCACGCGUGAUGCUGACUUUUGAAGUUUGACUAGCCAUUGGAUCUUGAUCUAAUGGUUGUGAGGAGCACAUGCAUGAAGUUUAUGAUGGACCGCAAAACACUGUAUUAUAAAUCUAUUUUUCUAGAAAUAGAGCUUCAUUUUUAUGCUUUUAAUCAUCUCUCUAUAUCUCUCUUUUUCUCAAUUUCUCUCCAUCUCCCUAUAAUCUUGAUUUUCUGGUGUGUUUUGUAUAAUUAUUUUUAUAAAUAAAUUUAGUUUUAUUUUCAAUUUUAGUUGUUUUUAUUACUUUUAAUUAUAAGUAAUUUAAUUUUAAUAAUUCUUUUUAUUUCAAUUAUACUUAACUAAAUAAUAAUAGUUAGGGUAAGGUGAAACUCUUAGGAAAUAAAUAUGAUUUAAUCAAAUUCUAUUUUUAAUUUUAUAAAUUAAAUUAUUUUCUAUUUAAUUUUAUACAUAUUUUAUAUUUUGAAAUUUUGAUUUAUUGUAGACAAACAAAGGAGUUUGGCACAAUAAAUUCUUAAUAUCUUAAUAUAAGGUAUGGUAAAAUAGUAUUUUGACUUAUUGUAGACAAAUUAAAUUUUAGCACAAUAAAUACUUAAUCCAUCAUAAAAUUAAAGGGAAAAUAAUAAUAAUUUAUAUAAUUAAUCUUUUGGGCAAUAAAUCUAACAAAAAUGGCAAAAAACAUUUAUUAAGUUUUAUUUACUACUAAGAGUGGAACUACAACCCUAACUAGUUCAAUUUCAUAGUUUCAUUUAAAUUAAGUUUUUUAUAUUCAAGUUUUAUUUUUAUUUUAAAUAAAAUAAAAUAAACAAAUUAAAUAUUUUCUCUGAGGAUCGACCUCGGACUCGCCGAGUUAUAAUAUAACAAGACACUAUACUUGAGAGUUAAAAAUUACUUUUAAGUUGUGUCAAGUUUUUGGCGCCAUUGACGGGGAAAAGUUUUUAUUUUGCUUUAUUUUUCCCUUUUUUUCCUCUUUGUGUAAAGUUUCAGUUAUACCCCUUUUCCUUUUCCAAUAUUUCGUUCUGACCUCAAAAUCUUUUAGAAUCUUUACAUGCGUCCCACAUGGCUCAAUUCUAAACUCUUAAACAUUGCGAUGUGGCCAAAAAAUUAUAAAUAAUGUUCAAUAAAAUCACUGGACGAAAUUUCUCACAAUAAUCAUCUUGGACUUAUUUGGACUCAAUUUGGACUUAAUUUGGACCAAGCAAACUAACUACUAACUCUUAUUUUUUAUUUAUUUUUUUAAUUUCAGUUAUUUAAUUUUUAGUACUUAGUUUAUUUCGCAUUUAUUUAUUUAUUUUUUGCUUUAUUUUAUUUUGUUAUUUUAUAUUGGUGGGUUCAACCACCAAAAUUGUUAUUUAAUUUUUUAGUUUUUUUAUUUUGCAUUUAUUUUACAUUUUAUUUUAUAUUGUUAAUUUAUUUGGUGGGCUCAACCACCAGAAUUGUAAUUUAAUUUUAAUUUUUGUACACUUAUAUUAUUUGCAUAUUUAAUUUUUUUUUUCAUUUAGUUCUUGUGUUACUAAUUUGUUUGAAUAUUACCUUUUUGACAUAACCAUUGCAUGAGACGUUGGUCUCAAACUUCAUGUGGCAGGUUAAUUUGAAGAUCUCAAUCUCCACCACCAAUCAUGGACGAGAUCCAAGACGAAAACCUUUUGGGUGAACCUAAUCCUCAAAUUGAUCAGGGAGAACCAUUCUCAACAUGGACGUGAUCAGAAUCAACCAAGAACUCUGAGAGGUUAUAUGAAUCCAACCAGAACUGAAGCACCGUCGUGUAUAGUAUUUCCUCCAGAGACAUCUCGAUUCAACUUCAAACCAAGUAUUAUCCAACUUUUACCAACAUUUCAUGAUUUAGAAUCUAAGAAUUCAUACUUGCAUCUAAGAGAUUUUAAGGAAGUUUGUAAUACAUACACAGACCAAAAUUGUAGCAUGAACAUAAUUAGAUUAAAGCUUUUUCCUUUUUCAUUAAAAGAUGAAGUUAAAACUUGGCUACAGAACCUUAGAUCUAGAUUAAUAAGAACUUGGAAUAACAUACAAGAACAAUUUUUGAAAAAAACUCUUUCCACCUUAUAGAACAAAUUUUUUUAAAAGAUAAAUCACUUCUUUCACUCAAACAAAAUGGAGAAACAUUAUACCAAUGUUGGGAUAGGUUUAAAGAAUUGAUUAACAUAUGCCCACACCAUGGUUUUGAAACUUCGCGAUUGGUCACUUAUUUCUACAAGGGCUUAAUACCCUAAAGUAGAUAAGUUGUUGAAAUGAUGUGUAAUGGUGAAUUUAUGGAUAAAAAUCCUGAGGAUGCACUAGAUUACCUUAACCAAUUAAUUGAAAAUGCACAAUAUUGGGAUACUGUUGAAAUUUUUUAAUUGACAAAUAAAUCACAAUAAUCUCCAUCUAAUGGAGGAAUCCAUGACCUUAGGGAAGAUCGUGAUUACAAGCAAAAUUUGCAUCCCUAGUUAGGAAAGUUGAAGCUUUGGAGCAUAAAAAAAGUGAUCAAGUAAAAUCUAUUCAAGAAAUUGCAUGUAAUAUUUGUAGUUCGAAUGAUCAUUUCACUCAAGAUUGUCCCACUCUGCCUACACUUAAAGAAUGUCUAAAUGAUCAAGUAAUGCCAUUAACACUUUCAAUAAACCAAAUCCAUAUUCACAGACUUAUAAUUCUGUUUGGAGAAAUCAUCCAAAUUUCAGUUAGAGAAAUAAUAAUAAUGCACAAUCUUCACAAGCACCACCUCCACAAAUUUUUCAAAAUACUCAGCCUUAUGCACCAUAUGUUCCACCACCUUGGAAAAAUCUGGAAGACACAAUGCAUUCAUUCAUCAGAAAGUAAGAUGUUAUUAACAAUCAAAAUGCACAAACUUUUUCCGAUUUGAAAGAUACUCUUGCUAAAAUUGCUUAUGCACUCACAAUUCAAGAAAAAUGAAAAUUUCCAGCCCAACCACAACCAAAUCCUAAGAUUCAACAAAAUCCACCCACGGACCAAGUCAAGUCAAUUAUAACUCUUCGUAAUAGUAAGGUUGUUGAUAGACCUAUGCCUAAAACUUGUGAAAAUGAUAAAAAUUCAAAGGGUAAGGAAUGACUAAAUGAACUUACACCUAGUGAAGAAAUAACUAGUGUUCCACCUGAACCACCAUUUCUGCAUGCAUUGAAUAAACCAAGGAAACCAAACCACUCUUCUGAAAUUUAUGAAAUAUUUAAGCAAGUGAAAGUUAACAUUCCUCUAUUAGAUGCAAUCAAGCAGGUACCUUCAUAUGCCAAAUUUUUAAAGGACUUGUGCACUGUUAAGAGGAAAUUGAAGGUAAAAAAGAGUGCUUUCAUGGCUGAACAAGUAAGUACAAUUAUGUCUACUAAUAAUAAGUUGAAAUAUAAAGAUCCUGGUUGUCCUACCAUUUCUUGUAUUAUUGGUGAUCACAGAAUUUAGCAUGCUUUACUAGAUCUUGGUGCUAGUGUUAAUUUGCUUCCAUAUUCAGUUUAUCUUCAACUUAAUAUUGGUGAGUUAAAAUCAACUUCAACUACACUUUUGCUUGCCGAUAGAUCAGUUAAAGUACCAAAAGAAAUAGUGGAAGAUGUUUUAGUACAAGUUGAUAAAUUCAUAUAUCCUGUGGAUUUUAUUAUCUUGGAAACUGAACCUAUUGUGAAUAAUUAUAAACCAAUUCCUGUAAUUUUAGGUCGAUUAAUUUUACCAAUUGCUAAUGCUUUAAUUAAUUGUAAGAAUGGUUUAAUGAAUUUAUCCUUUGGAAACAUGACUUUGGAAUUGAAUGUUUUCAACAUGUGUAGGCAACCUAAUAAAGAAAAUGAGAAUGAAGAUGAUACUGAUGAACAAGAGGAAUUGCUUGAAUCUUAUAUUGAGGAAAAUAUUCAAAAAGGGGAUUUCUUUGAACUCUCUUAUAUUUGUUUAAUUAAUUCAAUUGAGUCAAAUAAGCAACUUGAAUUUGAUAUUUCUAAUAUAAAUUCGUUGCUUGAUUCUGUGCAAACUUCACGAAAUUAUGAUAACGAGAUAAAAUUUGAGGAGUUUGGAAUUAUUUAAAAGACAAAACAACAAGAAGCACCUAAACUGAAAUUGAAACUUUUGCCUGAAGGAUUGAAGUAUGCUUUUCUUGGAGAAGAACAAACUUAUCAUGUUGUGAUUUCUUCUACUUUAACAACCGACCAAGAAGGUAAGUUACUAACUGUUCUUAAAAGGCAUAAAAAUGCAACUGGAUGGACUUUAAAUAAUAUUAAAGGCAUUAAUCCCUUAAUUUGCACACAUAGGAUUAAUUUGGAAGAAAGUGCUAAAAUAUGUCAAUAACCUUAAAGAAGAUUGCAACCACACAUGAAAGAGGUAGUCAAAACAGAAGUCCUUAAAUUACUUGAUGUGGAAAUUAUCUACACUAUUGCUGAUAGUAAGUGAGUAAGUCCUACACAAAUAGUGCCUAAAAAAUCAGGAAUCACUGUUGUUAAAAAUAAAAAAGUGAAUUAAUUCUAACAUAAAUUACAUUUAUUUGGCGCAUGUGCAUUGAUUAUAAAAAGUUAAAUGAAGCCACCAGAAAAGAUCAUUUUCCAUUACCAUUCCUUGACCAAAUCUUAGAAAGAAUAGCUAGACAUCCAUACUACUGCUUUUUAGAUGAAUAUUCAGGUUAUUAUCAAAUUCUUAUAGCACUUGAGGACCAAGAAAAGACCACAUUUACAUGUCCCUUUAGAAUAUUUGCAUUUAAAAGAAUGCUAUUUAGGCUUUGUAAUGCUCUUGCAAUACUUCAACGAUAUAUGCAAAGCAUUUUUUGUGAUAUGGUUGAACAUUGUUUAGAGGUUUUUAUGGAUGAUUUGAUUGUAUUUGGGAAUUCUUUUGAUGAUUGCCUUGAUAAUUUGGAGAAAGUUUUAAAAAGAUGUGUUGAAAAAGAACUCGUGUUGAAUUAGGAAAAAUGUCACUAUAUGGUUACUUCUGCAAUUGUUUUAGGUUAUGUUGUAUCUAUUAAAAGAAUUAAAGUUGACAAAGAAAAAGUAGAAGUCAUAUCCAAAUUGCCAUAACAAAAAACAGUUAGAGAUGUGCGAUCUUUUUUAAGACAUGCAUGAUUUUAUAGGAGGUUUAUAAAAAAUUUUAAUGUCAUAUCUAAACCACUUUGUAACCUAUUAUUAAGAGAUGCACCAUUUGAAUGGAAUGAUGAUUGCCAAAAAUAUUUUGAGAAAAUAAUUUGUCUUUUAACAUCUGCACAUAUUAUGCAAUCUCCUGAUUGGUCUUUGCCCUUUGAAUUAAUGUGUGAUGCAAGUGAUUUUGCUGUUGGUGUGGUUUUAGGACAAAGAAUGGAUGGUAAGCCCUUUGUGAUUUAUUACGCGAGUAAGACUUUAGAUAGUGCUCAAAUGAAUUAUUCUACAACUGAAAAAGAAUUACUUGCUAUGAUAUUUGCAUUAAACAAAUUUCGUUCAUAUUUGCUUGACUCUAAAUUUGUUGUGUUUACUGACCAUGCUGCUGUGAGAUAUUUGAUGAUUAAACAGGAUGCCAAACUGAGAAUAAUUCAUUGGAUUUUGUAACUUCAAGAAUUUGACCUUACCAUCAAAGAUAAAAAGGGUGUUGAAAAUGUCAUUGCUGAUCAUCUAUCAAGACUCACAUCCGAAUUUUGCACUGAUAUAACACCCAUUAAUGAUUCUUUCCGUGAUGAAUUUUUAUUUUAUGUUACUUCAAUGCCAUGAUAUGCUAACAUUGUUAAUUUUCUUGUUACAGAUAAAAUGUCUUUGCAAUGGAAUGCUCAAGAGAAGAAGAAUUUUUUUGUUGAAGUAAAGUAAUUUUAUUGGAAUGAUCCUUACUUGUUCAAAUAUUGCCCAGAUCAAAUUUUUUGGCGAUGUAUUCUGAAUAAUGAGGUAAGUAGUUGUUAACAUAAAUAUUUCUUUAUUGAUUUUGAUGAUAACAAACUUGAUUAAGAUUGAUUAAUCUUUUAAAAGCUCAAAAUAAUUUUCAUCUAUUUUGACAAGUUUUAUAAAGUGUUUUUAUAAAGAUUUGGAGACAAACAAUUAUCUUGCAAAAUAGUUCACUGCAGCAGUUUCUGUGAAAAAUGGUGAUCCGACAAUUUUGAUAAACGGCUCGCCGAUAUCAAACAGAAUUGAAGAUUGGUCUCUGGACCUAAACGGUGAUCCGACAAAUUUGAUAAAUGGCUCGCCGAUAAUGAACAGAACUGAAGAUUAGCCUCUGAACCUAAACGGUGAUCCAACACCUAGAUAACAGCGAUAUGAGAAAUUUGAAAAUAAGCCUAAUGGUCAUAUUGACCAGUCAAACGACGAUCCGACAUCUAGUUCACGGCGAUCCGAUAGUGUGUAGAAAGUCAAUAACGGCUAGUUUUUAGCUCCAACUAUAAAUAAGCUCAUUCAAAUUCAAACAAGAUUGAUCACAACAUGACCAUUGAGCUUAUAUUCGAGAAUACAAUCUUCAUAGAGCUUUAAAAACACAUUCUUGCUUCAUCUAUUCAAACAUUGGGCAUUGAUUUGUAAUCUUAAAUAUUGUGUGAGAGAAAAAUAAUUUUUAAUGUUUUACUUUGAGUGAUUGUAAGUGUUGAGAUACACUUGGGUUAAGAGAUUGGGGAUAAUCUCUUGUUUUAAAGGUUCAUUGACACCUUAGAAGUCAAGUGUAAGCAUUUGAAGCCUUGGAGGCGUGCUUAGUGAAAUCCUCAAGCCCGGAAAGCUUGGACGCGUGGACGUAGGUGAGGUUGGCCGAACCACGUAAAAAUCUUCGUGUUUGAAUCUCUCUUCCCUUAUCUUUUUUAUAUUGUAAUUGAUUUAAGUGUUAUUCCAUUAAAUUCAUUUUAGAUAUGGUUGAUAAUUUGUUUAGAAUCAAAUAAUUUUUUAGAAUCCCAAUUCACCCCCCCUUUUGGGUUGCACACUUGUAUUUCAGUAGUGUCAUUAAUUUUUGUCAUUCUAAAGCAUGUGGAUUUUAUUGGCCUACCAUAUUCAAAGACACAUACGAAUUUUGCAAAACUUGUGAAAAAUGUCAAAAAUUGGGAUCAAUUACUAAAAGAAACAUGAUACCUUUAAAUCUCAUACUUGAGAUUGACAUAUUUGACUGUUGGGGAAUUGAUUUCAUAGGUCCGUUUCCAUCUUCUUCUGGAUUUGUGUAUAUAUUAAUUGCAGUUGAUUAUGUCUCAAAAUGGAUUGAAGCAAUUUCUUAUCGAAAUAAUGAUAGCAAAACUAUGGUUAAAUUUUUAAGAGAAAACAUUUUAAGUCGAUUUGGAAUCCCUCGAGUUAUUAUCAGUGAUGGAGGUAAGCAUUUUUGUAAUAAGUCAUCUCAGUCUUUAAUGAAGAAAUACAUAAUUACACAUAAAGUUUUUAUCCCUUAUCAUCCUAAAAAAAAUGGUCAAGUUGAAUUAGCAAAUAGGGAAAUAAAACAAAUUUUGGAAAAAACGGUUAACCCAAACAGAGAAGAUUGGUCUCUUAGACUUAAUGAUGCACUUUGGGCCUACUGUAUUGCAUUUAAAAUGUCAUUAGGAAUGUCACCCUAUCGGUUAGUUUAUGGUAAACCUUGUCAUUUACCUGUUGAACUUGAACAUAAAUCACUAGAACAUAAAUUGCAAUUGAAUGAACUUGAAGAAUUAAGGAAUGAUGCAUAUGAAAAUUCAAGAAUUAUUAAGGCAAGAACAAAAACUUUUCAUGACAAAAGAAUUUUUUGGAAAAUAUUUGAGAUUAGUAAAAAAAUAUUGCUUUAUAAUUCUUACUUUAUAAUUAUCGUCUUCAUUUAUUUUCAGGGACGUUAAAGUCAAAAUGGAGUGGCUCAUUUGUUGUAAAAAAAAUAUAUUCAAAUGGGGCCAUAAAAAUUGAGGAUCUAAAUAACAGUGUUACAUUUAAAGUUAAUAGUCAAAUAUUAAAACCAUAUCUAGAACAUCACGUAAAAAAGACACCGAAAUUAAUUUGGGUGACCCACCAAUUCUUGAUUAAGUCAUUAAUGACUGAUUCAUUUUUUUUUUGUUUUACUGUUAUUUUUCCAUUUCAUUGUUUGAUUUUUUUUCUUUCUCUCUUGAUUAAUGCACUGUACAUAAUAUUUUUUAACAUUAUAUUUCUUGUUUAAGCAUGUUUGUUUGACAAUUAUAUUUUCUCUCAUCAAUUUUCAUUAUACGUCAAGAGUACCUCAAUAAGAAAGUUCUUAUUCACACACCUUAAAAGAUUUCUGCGUAUGAAAUUUCACUUAAGAAGCCUAAUACAAAGCUAUAAAUCACAUCCACUUUAGGAUCUGCAACCACCAACAUUAGUGUUCUAUGUUGAGGAUCUAGAAAGAUAAUUCAGAGCAGUAGAGAGAGGUAUAUAUGAAUAUCAAUUCGAGCUUGAAGUUAACUCAAUAAAAGGACGAAUGUAAAUUCAUUUUUCAUUUUUCAUUUUUCUUUUCUUUAUGUGAUUUGUUUUUGUUGUUUUGUUUACUUUCAUUUUUUAUUUGAUUUUGCAGUUUUAAUUCUCUUUAUUUUGGUGUAUUUUGGUUUAUUUUUCCAUAGAAACGGCAGAGAACAGUACUCCAUGACUUCUUAAGUCGGUAUCUUCAGUUUCCCACAAUAACUGAAACCCCAAAAUCAAACAUGGAAGAAAUAUAACAUAAACUGAAUAAGCAUUUUCUCUCUCUUCCUCAGAAUGCCCUUAAGAAAAUUUCCAAAGCUCGUUGUGAACGAUUGCGUUUGUUAAUGAUCAAUGGCAUUCCUUCUAAUAUUCGUUGGUUAAUUGAAGCAAAGGUCUAAUUAGCAGGUGUGUUUUCUGAUCCAUUUGUUUAUUUCAUGUCCGAUUUUGGUAAAAGUACAUUUGCUAAAAAAAAAAAGAGUUAAACGACUUGGCUCAAAAUAUCAUAGCUGUGUACGACUUAAUUGCAAACGACCAGAUUAUAAUUCUUUAGGAAUUGUGUCUGAUACUCGUGAAGUUAAAAUUAAAUUCAUUAAAGAUGACAUGAGUAAAGAAUUGUUAGAUAAUAUCUUACGAUCUCUUGAGACGCAUCGAAGCGGAUUUGUGCAACGUGAGAUUCAUAAUUUAUGGAUACUAUUCCAAAAAAAAAGUACACAGUUUAGUCUUGGGAAUCUGACUUAAAAAGACCUUGUUUGCCAGUUUAUAAGAAAAAUGGAUGGGAAGCCUAACCUCAACCCAUAGAGGGCGUUCAAGCCGUUACUGGACGUAAAACCAAAGGAAUAUGUGAGCCACAAUCACAACUACCCACAAAUAUCUUUUUAUUUUGUUGUUCUUUUAUCAUUUGCAUUAUUGAAUUUAGUGGUGUGAUUUUGUAUUUAAUAAUAUUUAUAUUCUUUUACUGUUUGCUUUUUCUAAUCACUAUUUUCUUUUUACUAUUUGCUUUUGAAUUAUUGAGCCACGAGUUUUACUCGUCGUUUGACAAAUAUGUCAAUCCAUUUACAAUUGUUUUUCAUUAUUUCUGUCACCAAGAUCUUUAAUAUGAGCUCGUUUUUCAAACACUCACAACUUGUUUUUGAAGAUUAUUCCAAUGGUAGCAUCUUCGAGUAAACAAUUCAAAAGCAUUUGUGUGCUUGUUGGAUUUCACUAUGGAAAGUACAAAGAAUUCAUUUAGGCAGUUGCAAAUUUUGGUUGUGUCAUAGUAGAGAGGAAACUACAUCUUGUAUAUGGAGGAGGUGAACGAGGGUUAUCAAGACUUGUCUCAGAAGCGGUUUUUACUAGAGGAAGCCAAGCACUAGGCCCACCAAUUAGAGAAGAAUUAGUGGUAUCAAUUAAGCAAGAGAGAAUAUCUAAAAUGCUAAAUUACGUUGAUGCUUUUAUUUUCUUGCUAGGAGAUCUUGCAACUUUUGAGGCACUGACUACAUUUGCAUCUUGAGCCCACUUGAACAUUCAUAAAAUACCCAUCGGUUUGUUAAAUGUUAAUAUUUUUUAUGAUGGCUUGAUAAAUUUUAUUAACCAUGCAAUAAAGAAUCAUUUUGUUCCAUACUCUGAAAAAAAAGACUCUUUAUCUUUGCUUUUACUGCUAAUGAAUUACUUAAUCUUUUACAAGCUUAUACACCAGAGCCAGAUCCCAAAAUAUUUGUGCUAGAUUGGUCGACUGAUUAUGGUAGCAGUAGUAGCAAUAAGAAGUACAAAUUAGAUUUAGCUCUCCGUCUAUAAAUAUUUUCUAUUGCAAUGUUCAUAUGAUGUCUUCUAAACUCUUCCUCUUUCCUUUUAAAACAUUGAGGACAAUGUCUCUUUCAAGUUGGGGGUAAGGAAUAAUUGAUAAUUGUGGAAUGUCUUAGUCCUGGUGAUGUUUUUACAAAAACAUUUCUGUAAAAACUAACUUUGGACUAAAUUUGAGUCGAAAAUGGCUGGAUAUGGAGAGUGCAGUACCUCUAGAAACGCAUAUUCUUAAUCCUAGAGUUUUAUUAAAAAAUUUGACUUUUUCUUGUUCUUUGUUAUAUGCUUUUAGGCUUCUACAUCGAGUUCAGGUGAGAUUUCCUCCUCUUCUUCUUUUAUUAUUUUUUCUCUUUUAUUAUUUUUUAUGCAUAUCUAUAAAAUUAUAAAAUGUUAAGAUAAUGUUUAGAUUAGGUUGGGGGGUAGGGAUAGUUGAUGGAUGUUUUUAAAUAUGUGUGUUCGUUUUUCUCUUUUCUUUUCUUUUUUUUAAAAAAACCCAAUUUGUUUUGUCUAGAAUGGCUGUGUAAAGAGUCACGACUUUUGAGACGCAUCUUAAUAGUCUUGUUGUAUUAUAUUUUGAUUUUGAAAUUCAUAGUAAAUUGUUUUUGUUCCCUUUUCUUUGAAUUACUCAAAUUUUUGAACUCUCCACUUGGUUAAUAAGUCAUUUAAUUGUUUACUCAUUUAACAGGUAUUAUUGAAUCAUUCUUCACACACACACACACACACACACACACACUAUGACACAUACUAGUGGGUUGUAAGUUAAAUUUUUUACAGCAUUUAGUUCUUUUGAUUUAUUAGGAAUAAUAUCUAAGGUAGUAGAAAGUGUAUAUUGCAAAAAACAAAAAAAAAACAAAAAAAAGAAAAAAAAAGAGAAAAAAAAUGAAUGUUUUUAAUUUUGCUAUAUCUAGAACCUGAGUAAUUAAGUCCGUAGGGGUGUUUCAACACCUAAUACCCUAAGGUCAACUGGUCUGGGAGUCAUUGACCUAAAGCUCACUACAUGGGUAAUAGAUAUAUUGUUUGCUUAUUAGAAACCCGAGUAAUUAAGUCUGUAGGGGUGUUUCAACACCCAGUACCCUAAGGUCAACUGGUCUGGGAGUCACCGGCCUAAAGCUCACUAUAUGGGUUAAAAAUUUAAUAUUUUUAAUUUAUAUGUGUGAAUAAUCUACUGCCUCAAGAUAGAAUUUCUAAUGAAUUUUAAAACAAAAAUGUUAAUUUUCUUUUAAUAAAGCCCCAUAAGUAUUGUGUUAAUUAUUUGAGUACAAAAGAAGGUUUGAUAAUAUUCUAGAUAAUGAGUGAAUACUAAAGAAGUAAAGAAAUUUGGGAAAGUUUAUUUAUUUGGUAGUUUAGAGGAUAGACGAACAACUAUUAACUUGCAUGUGAAUUUUGUAAAUCUUAAUUUAAUAUAACAUUAUAAUUGCUAGGGGCUAGCAAUAAGCUGAUUGGGGGGUGUGAUUAGUAUUAAAAAUUGUUUAAUUAUCAAGCGAUACUAAUAUUAUGUUGUGUUUAAGUUAUAAUUUAUAUUUGUGUUUAUACAAUAUAUUAGGAAUUAUUAAUUAUUAAUUAUGUAUUAAAUAUAUCUAAUUUUGUAUAUUUUUGUGUGUUUAUUAGGUAAAAUAUUAAUUUCACGUAAUUAGAGGCUCCAAACAGAUAAAUGAAUGUUAAAUUUGGAUUCCGGAAGUCCGAAAAUCUUAAGAUAAGCCAAGAUCGGCUUAAAAUUGGGCUUGUGUAAAAAUUGUAGACUUUUCAUAUUGACCGAACACUGAUUGGAUAAUGAAAUGAGCUUACAAUAUAUAUGAGUGCAUGAGAUAGCUGGCAAUUUUGACUACAUCUCAACCGUUCAUGAUUCAAUGGCCGUGAUUGUGCCACAUGGCAAUGGUUAGUGAAGCAAGCUGUAGGAUCCAAAUCUUUGUAUUCGGGUCGACCUGAUUCACCCAUUAACCCGCCAAAUCUCAACCGUUCUUUGGCCAAAUCAGACGAGUCAAAUGAUGCCACGUGUGAUGCUGACUUUUGAAGUUUGACCAGCCAUUGGAUCUUGAUCUAAUGGGUUUGAGGAGCGCAUGCAUGAAGCUUAUGAUGGAGUGCAUGCAUGAAGCUUAUGAUGGACCGCAAAACACUGGAUUAUGAAUUUAUUUUUCUAUAAAUAGAGAUUCAUUUUUAUGUUUUUAAUCAUCUCUCCACAUUUCUCUUCUUCUCAAUUUCUCUGCAUCUCCCUGUAAUCUUGAUUUUCAGGUGUGUUUUAAAUAUUUUGUAUAAUUAUUUUUAUAAAUAAAUUUAGUUUUAUUUUCAAUUUUAGUUAUUUUUAUUACUUUUAAUUAUAAGUAAUUUAAUUUUAAUAAUUUUUUUUAUUUCAAUUAUGCUUAACUAAACAAUAAUAGUUAGGGUAAUGUGAAACUCUUAGUAAAUAAAUACGAUUUAAUCAAAUUCUUUUUUUAAUCUUAUAAAUUAAAUUAUUUUCUAUUUAAUUUUAUACAUAUUUUAUAUUUUGAAAUUUUGAUUUAUUGUAGAUAAACAAGGUAGUUUGGCACAAUAAAUUCUUAAUACCUUAAUAUAAGGUAUGGUAAAAAGGUAUUUUGACUUAUUGUAGACAAAUUAAAUUUUGGCACAAUAAAUACUUAAUCCAUCAUAAAAUUAAAGGGAAAAUAAUAAUAAUUUAUAUAAUUAAUCUUUUGGGCAAUAAAUCUAAAAAAAUGGCAAAAAGAAUUCUUUUAAGUCAACCGUAACUAGUUCAAUUUCAUAGUUUCAUUUAAAUUAAGUUUUUUAUAUUCAAUUUUUAUUUUUAUUUUUAGAUAAAAUAAAAUAAACAAAUUAAAUAUUUUCUCUGAUAAUUGACAUCGGACUCAUCAAGCUAUAAUAUAACAAGACACUCUUAUAAUUUAGAGUUAAAAAUUACUUUUAAGUUGUGUCAAUACGCUAAACAAUUCGUACAACAAUUUAAUCUAUUGCCUUAAUCAAAUAAAAAACAAUAAAUUCAAUAAAGUACAAUAAUAAAAGAGUAAGGGAAGAGAGAGCAAAGACAAUAAUUUUUACGUGGUUCGGCAAUCCCCGCCUACGUCCAUACCUCCAAGCCAACCAAGCUCAGGAAUUUCACUAUCCAAGCCUCCCAAGACUUCAAGUUCUUUACAAUUGACUUUCAAGGUAUCAAUAAAUCUUUACAACCAAGAGAUUAUCUCUCAAUCUUUUCACUCAAGUAUUUCUUACACUUAUACACUCACAAACUUGAUGAAAAAAUAAAGAUUACAAUAAUGAAACUCUCUUUAAGAUUGGAUGUACAAUUGACAGCUCAAUGAAAAUUUAAUCUAUGAUGAUUUUCGAAUUUGGAUGCUCAAAAUAUGUUGUUUAAACCUGUUUGUGCUUGCAAGAGUCUUAAAAUUAAAGUUUGAGUUAAGUUCUUAUAGCAAAAGUCCAAAAACUAGCCAUUAUAGGCAAAUUUCAGUAAUAAAGCAGCUAGCGCUUAAUUUAUUCGGCUCCCAGCUUUAGAACAGUAAAGUUACUGUUAAAUUUGAACUUUGCUACAGUAAUACUGCUUACAAAAUUACAUUUUUGCCCAAACUUACUGUAAUUAUACUAUGGCCUAAAACGUCAUAGAACUUUGCAAAUAUGUCUAAUUUCAGAAUUUCUAAAUAAUACUCGUUAUUCCCAAAGCUUUCUGAAAUUGUGAUAUGGCCCAAUACAUGAUAAUAUUUUUCAAAAUAAUCCUUUUCAAAAUUUAACGUAAUACUUAUAAAUUUCAAAGUUUUCAAAACUUUUUCAAUUUAAUCCAAAAUUUGAAAAUGUGAAGUUUUCCUUAGACGGCUAGCCGCUAACUCUCCGUCUACUUAUGAUAUUUACACUUAGGCCCUCAAACUGUCAUAAAUUAUAGUAUGGCUCAAAAAAUUUUAAAUGUUUGCAAAUAAGUCCAACUCUGGAAUUUAAAACAAUACUUAUUAAAAUCAAAGAUUACAAAACUUUUUCAUUUCAGUCAGCAUCUUGAAAAAUAACUAAUUUCACAAAAUACUUAGCUUAUACUUGUAAAAUUUUUGAUUUAUGAAAAAAUAAUGAUUUAUUAAACAAAAUCUUGAACUUCUCAAAUGCUAAACCAUUCAUAUAUUAAAUUAUACCAGCUUUACAAGAAUUGUCGCAGUAAUGAGUCUGUUGAGCUCUAAACUUUAUUCUUGAUUGCGCCAUUGUCCGUUGAGUGUCUUGAACUUGAUUGCUCGUGAUUCACUUCAUCGUAAAUAUUAUCCUUUAAGAACUAGUGAAAUGUGAAAUAUAAUAUUUUUCAAAUCACUUAAAACACAUGUUUGUUAUCAUAAAAUUACAUAAUAUGUAGCCCUUUAGGCUAACAAAGUCUUCAUCACCUCAAAGAAUGUAUAAACGAAGAAAUAAUUAAGUGUGGAUUCUUCAAAGUUUCGAGAAAGAUUAAUGAGAAAGACGACAAGUUCGAAUUAUAAGAUGAUUUGGUCUACAAGUUUCACCCUCCAGACUAUAUUCAAACUCAAGGAUGAGUUUCUUUUAAGUUGGAGAGAUUGAUGUAGAAUGUUAUUUUAGGGUUUAGAAUUUUUAUUAUUUUAGGAUUUUCUACUUUAAUUAGAGUCAAUUGUGGUAUAUGUUUUAGUGUUUUAUUUCCAUUAUAAUUGUGAUUUAGUUUUACUUUUUAAAUUAACCUAGGGAAAUAUAUUUAUUCUAUUAUAAGGAGAGAUGUCUCAUUCCCGUGUGUUGUUAACCUUUAGCUUUUGCUAGGGUCGCCUUUCUUUAUAAAAAUAAAAUAAAAUAAAAUAAAGAGGUCUUGUUAUUAUUUUCAUAACUUGAGAUUCAAUUAUUUAAUAAAACUGCCUUUUAUAAUUCCUCUAGAAUUAUCUAUCAAAAUCUUUCUUGUAGAGUUGUUUGGAUUACAGCAUAAUCUAAUCUCACUUCAUGCAUUAUUAAAAAUUUCAUCGAGUCAUUUGGAUUAAAAUAAGAUCUAAUCACAUUUCGAUUAGAGUGUAUGCUAAUCGCAUUAACUUGGUCCGCUACUAGAACGAUAUCUAGUGUUUUUUACCCUAAUAAUCCCACUUCUACUGCGCUCGCUUCCUCAGUCUGGUAAAAAAUUCCGUUCAAGUGAUGCCAACAUUAGCCGUACUGUUGCGUCGUAUGGUGACGGAAAUUUUACAUUCAUUUCUGGCUCUAGUUGCAAUUUUAUGUAAUUUUUGUGCGGAUGUUCGUUGCGAUUUAAAGAAUGGUUCAGUCCCUUCAAUUGAAUGUGUUUGGAAAGUCCCAUGAUGCUUCAAUGACCAUUGGAUCAUAGGCGAGUUAAUCCUCACCCUUGAUAAGUUCUUAUGGUUUUUAUAAGAUCAACAUUUUGGUCAUGACUUAUCAAGUAACGAUGUAAGUUUUUCAAUGAUAAUGAUAUCACAUAGUAAUCAUAUUCCAUUAAUCCUCCAACCACUAUUUAGUCAGUUGGCUUAGGUGAAUAAUUAUUGAUUCUUAAUGAAUCAAAUGUUUAAUUAAAAGCUUCUUAGAUCGUUAUUAAGGCUUUGGUGAUUAGCAAUGGAAAGCUUUGAGAAAACCCCUCCCCCACCCAUGGUUGAUGAUCGCUCCACCAAGAAGGCCAAGUUUAUGGCUCAAAGUGAUGUUGGUGAAACUUCUGAGCGUCUCUCCUUUCGAGACCAAUUAAUGAAGUCACAAAAGGAUACAGAGGAAGAGUUGUUUGGCAGCGACGACGAUUUAGAUUUAAAUCCGAAGGAUGUAAUUUUUAUGAAUACUGAUUCUAUGCCAUCCAUAACUUUUUCACUGAAAGUUCAUGAGCAGUUGAUCAAGCCUUGGCAGAAUACAGUUGUGGUUAAACUGUUGGGUCGCCACAUUGGAUACAGGGCUUUGUGUAACAGAUUGGAAUCGUUGUGGAAUUUGACACCGGGAUUUAACACCAUUGAUCUAGAGAAUGAUUUUUACUUGGUCCGUUUCAAGAAUGUAGGAGAUGCGGAUUAUGUUUUAACAUCUAGACCUUGGACUAUUAUGGGACAUUAUCUGACGGUACAACCAUGGUCACCUCACUUUGAUAGUUCUAAAAGAGAGAUAGAUAAAGUAGUGGCCUGGAUUCGUCUCCCGGGCAUGGCUCUGCAUUAUUACCAUAAGAAAAUACUCUGACGGCUUGGGCAAAUCAUUGGUUCGGUUAUCCGUAUCGACUAUACUACAGAAUCUGCACAGAGGGGUAAAUUCGCUCAAAUAGCAGUAGAAAUAGAUCUUAAGAGCCCUCUAAUUUCACAGUUUCAUCUGGAUGGUAAAAUACAAAGAGUGGAAUAUGAGAAUCUUCCGGUUAUUUGUUUCCACUGUGGGAAGUACGACCAUUACAAAGAAAACUAUUCAGAUAGGGAGAAUAAUGGUCCCACUGAGGACGAUGUGCCUAUCCCAGGUGGUCCGGUGGAGCAUCAGUGGAUGAGUAAGGCUAGAAACGACAGCCGAAAUGAGCCAAAAUUCGGGCCAUGGAUGGUAGUGGCUCGCAAAGGAAAGUCGAGAGUGGAGAAGGAAAGCAAUUCUAAUCAGGCAACUGACCAAGUUUUUUGGGGGCAGUAUGGGAAGGAAUCGCGAUUCAAUAUCUUAGCUAAUCUCGGGGAAGAAGAAUCAAACCAUGAGGAAAAACAGGAUGCCAUAUGGAACAGACACAUAGAGAUAGCAAUACAAUUAAUUCUAGCCCUACUUUGUCGCCAAAAAGUAAACCCACUAGAAGGACAGAUGCUCAUAAAUCAGCUAAGCCAACAGAACCGGGGCACAUGGGAACAUCUACUGGACUGCAUGCGAUAACCCAUACUAAAGAAAACACAGCUCCUCAAAGCCCUUUUCACACACAUGUCUCACGAGGUGUUACCAACCUCCAUGCAAACCAUGCAAGCCCCAAUCCUUUACUUAUGCCUGUGUACGUUCCUACUAGUUUAAACCCCCUCCAUCAUUCGGCCAUCUCUUUCUCUACUGAUUACGCCACUGCACACCUCCCUUGUGCUGAUGUCCAUCCUAAAACCUCCAAUGGCCAAAACAGUGCUGAUGGGCAUAUCACUCUGUCCGAAUUAGACGGUGACCCUCCCAAUCUCACAGGUUUAGCUGCUAACAUGGACAUGGAAGACGACACGAAUGAUAGUGAUUAUGUGGCUACAAGUGAGGAUAGGGCUGACUCUUCAGAAGGUGAUGUGUCCCUUGUUGAAGAAACGGCCAUGGACCUAACGGAAGAGGCAUCUCAGCCGCUACAGUAAGGUUCUAUUUUUCUCCAAUCUUUAUAUCAUGAAGUUACAAAUUCUUUUUUGGAAUGUACAGGGGGCGGCCUCGAAGGGUUUUCGUCGCUCUUUUAAUACCCUUAUAAAAAAUUAUGGCCCUUUCAUGGUUAUUAUAAUGGAGCCUAGAAUCAGUGGGAAGCAAGCCGAUGAUUUUAUUAAAUGUAGCGGAUUUGAGUAUUCUCAUCGUAUUGAAGCUACGGGUUUUUUUGGAGGUAUCUGGAUUCUUUGGCGGGGUUAUUUUGAUGUGGAAGUCUUAUUCAAUCAUAAGCAAUUCGUCCAUUUCAAAAUUUCAAAGAAUGAUAUUCUUGAAACUUGGAUCACAGCUGUGUAUGCGAGCCCUAAUCCUAUUUUGUGACAGCAGUUGUGGGAUCACCUUGAUUUCUUGGCUAGAACGGUUCAUGGCCCGUGGCUGGUGGGAGGCGAUUUCAAUUCCAUUCUUUGUGCUGAUGAGAAGAAAUGUGGCUCUACACAUAUUUCUGGGGUGUGUGGUCUAUUUAAGAGUUGGUUUAAUAAGAAUGGAAUGUUUGAUUUAAACUUCCAUGGUCCCCGUUUCACUUGGUCUCAUGGUUUUCUUAUGAAGAGGCUGGACAGAGCUAUGUCGAAUACAGAGUGGCUAAACAAGUAUCCAGACAAUGCAGUUUUACACUUGCCAAAAAUUGCUUCAGAUCAUAGACCUAUCUUAGUUCGGUUUAAUAAUGAUGCCAGUAGCGUUAGGGGACAAAAACCUUUCCAUUUCUUAGCUGCAUGGCUUACAGACAAUUCUUUUGAGGAGUUUGUCUCUAAUGCUUGGAUUAAUAGUUUGCCGUAUCUAAAUGCUGCUGAUAUUUUUGUAAAAAAGGCCUUGGAAUGGAAUAGAGACCAUUUUGGGAAUAUUUUUCAAAAGAAGCGACGGAUCUUAGCACGCCUGGGGGGGGAUUCAAAAGGUGUUAGAAACUAAGUCCCGACGAAGUUUGGCCAGGUUAGAGCUCAAGCUGAAGAAGGAGUUAGAGGAAAUUCUUACACAAGAGGAAAUUUUGUGGCUUCAAAAAUCUCGUAAAGAAUGGCUUCUCCAAGGGGAUAGAAAUACGGCUUAUUUUCACCAAAAAACGUUGGCCAGACGUAGAAGAAAUCGUAUCACAACUAUCCAGAAUGCUAAUGGGGAAUGGAUUGUGGAUAAUGAAAUUAUUAAGCAGCAUGCUACGGCUUUCUUCUCGACCCUUUAUAGUAGUGAGACUUUGGCUUUCCGACCAUAUCCAGUCAGGGGCUGCUUCCCUAUCCUUGAUGCAGCUCUCACUCACGGGCUCAUGGCUCCCAUCGAGGAUAAUGAAAUCCAACAGACUAUUUUUAGCAUGAAGCCACUAAAGGCACCUGGCGUGGAUGGUCUUCAUGCAAUUUUCUACCAAUCCCAAUGGCAUAUCGUUGGCCACUCCUUCUGUAAAUUUAUAAAGAAUAGUUUCAGCAGCGCCAGUAUUUUGAAGGAUAUUAACACUACGCUUCUAGUUCUCAUUCCAAAGGUUGACCAUUCGGUUAAUCUAAAAAUGUAUCGAUCGAUUAGUUUAUGCUCAGUGGCAUACAAAACCAUUUCUAAAAUUGUGGCUAACAGACUGCAAGCCCUAAUGCCGAUUCUUAUUGGUCCUCAGCAAACUAGUUUUGUGCCUGGCCGUCAUAUCACUGAUAAUAUUGUGAUUGCCCAAGAAGUUAUUCACUCCAUGCGCAAGAAAACGGGGAAGAAAGGAUUCAUGGCGAUUAAAAUGGAUCUCGAAAAGGCGUAUGAUAGACUUAACUGGGAUUUUAUUUAUGAGACGCUGCAGGAAACGGGACUGCCUAGAGAUAUGAUCCAGAUCAUUAUGGCAUGUAUUACUUCGGCUACAAUGAGAGUAUUAUGGAAUGGUGAAGCUUCUGAUGAGUUCGUUCCCUCCCGUGGUAUACGACAAGGAAACCCUCUUUCCCCGCAUAUUCUUAUUCUUGGCUGAAGCAGACAUUGAACAAGCUGGGGUGAUAAAUAUGGUCUUAAAUAAUUUUUGCCAGAGCUCGGAAGCUAAAGUUAAUAAGGCUAAAUCUCAAGUUUUCUUUUCUAAAAAUAUUUCGGCUCGGGACAUGAAAAGAAUUGGGGCUGAACUUGGUUUCUCCGUAACCAAGGACUUGGGCACGUACCUUGGGAUGCCGCUGCUGCAUACUCGUGUAUCGCAGCAUACAUAUCAGAACAUUAUUGACAAAGUGGAAAGGCGUCUGUCGAGCUGGCAUGCUUCUCUGUUGUCUUUGGCUGGCAGAAUAACCCUUACUCAGACAGUUUUACAAGCUAUCCCAGUUUACACAAUGCAAACAACUAGCCUCCCUACUGGAAUUAAUAUGAAGAUUGAUAAAGCGUGUAGGAAAUUCAUAUGGAGUGGUACCUCAAAUCAGCAGCGGAUGAGUAUGGUUAGCUGGGAUACAUUGUGCAAACCAAAAGCUUAUGGAGGCUUAGGACUUAAAGAGCUAAACGUGAUGAAUAAAGCGCUUUUAAUGAAGCUUAGUUGGGGAAUCAUCUCAGCUAAGGAUAGCUUAUGGGUUCAGGUCCUAUGUACAAAAUAUGGGGUUAAUAAUUCCAACCCCCCGCUGUCCUUGCUGACUCGCUAUGGAUCUCAUAUGUGGAAAGCUAUUGGAAGGAUUUGGAGUGAUAUGAUGUUAAGUAGGAGCUGGUCUGUUGGUGAUGGUAAAAGAAUCCGUUUUUGGUGGGAUUGUUAGGUGUAUAAGGAUAAGCCCCUUGCGAACCAGGUCACUUCUCAUAUUCCCGAUCAAAUCACUAACUUAAAUGGUUGCUGAUUGUAUGGCAGCGAAUGGGCAAUGGAACUGGGCAUUAUUUGAUCAUUUUCUCCCUCACUCGGCCAUCAUGAAGAUUGCGUCCAUACAUCCUCCCUCAGAUUUGUUAGGUCCGGAUCAAUUCUAUUGGUCGCAUUCUAAUAAAGGGAAUUUCUCAGCCUCCUCGGCUUAUAAUGUUAUCAGCUCUCUGGAUAAUUCUUUACAGGAUACUAGUUGGAAUAUGGUUUGGAAGUGGCAAGGCCCUCAGGGUGUUAAAGUUUUCAUUUGGUUAGCUCUUCAUGGCCGGUUGAAAACCAAAGCUGAAAUUGCAAGGCGCCACAUGGUGAUAAAUACUGAGUGUGAUAGAUGUGGGGCCCCGGUUGAGGAUAUCUUGCACGUUUUAAGAGAUUGCAUGGGUACGAAAGGUUUUUGGUAUCGAGUGAUUCCAGUAGCAAUGAGGCAGCAUUUUUUCCAAGCUCCUUUUAAAGAAUGGAUGAUGAAUAAUCUCCAGAAUGCAUGGCCUAUUUCUGGAGUUUGAAAUUGGGUUUGCUUUUUUGGUAUAGCGAUAUGGAGACUAUGGUUUUGAAGGAACCAAUUCUGGGUGAAUGGAUUAGCUAUGGACAGUUUAUCCAUGGUUAAUGAUGUCAAGGCUCGCACGGAGGAGGUGAUUUUAAUUCAAAGGUCUUCUUUGAGCUUGACAAAUAAAAAAGUCACCAAAUGGAUUGGUUGGUCGCCUCCGAAUUGGCCAUGGUGCAAGUUGAAUUCAGAUGGUGCAUGCAAAGUGAAUGGUGUAGCUACUGCAGGGGGCCUGAUUUGAGACCACAGUGGUCAUUGGGUUGCUGGAUUUGGGAUGAAUAUAGGGAAUUGUUCAGUGACUACGGCGGAAUUAUGGGGUCUUUACCAAGGGUUGACUCUUGCGUGGAAUAAAGGGAUCCGUUGGCUUUGUGUUGAGGUUGAUAGUCGCUGCGUUACUCAACUUGUGAAGAAUAACAUGGUGAAUCCCAAUGAGUUUUCUACCCUCAUUCGUGCUAUUCAAGAACUCAUCAGACGCAACUGGCAGGUGGAGAUUACUCAUGUUUACAGGGAGGCUAAUUUUGCUGCGGAUUAUUUGGCUACUUUAGCUUGUUCCCUCCCGCUAGGACUUCAUGUUUUGAACUCUCCUCCUAAAGGAGUGUUCCAGUUUAUGUCCCAAGAUAAUUAUGGGGUAGUCUAUCCCCGCCUUGUUAUUUCUUAGCUCUGUUAAGAGCCUCUCUUAAUCCAAAAAAAAAAAAAAGCUUCUUAGAUCAUUCAUAAUGACAUCGCAUAGUAAUCAUAGUCCAUAACUCCACAAACCAUAUCCUUUUCCUUUUCUUUUUUCUUAUUAAGAUAAAUGGAGAAUCGUGUGUGAGAUUUGAUUUUCCUCUAGUAGUUCAUAAGAUAAGAUAGCGGAAGUCCACCAGUUCAUAAAUUUGGCUAAUAUCAUAUAGAACUAACUCAAGAUGUAAUUGAGAAUUCUUAAUUUUCUAUUCUUAGUCCAUGAACUAUUCUCAACUGAGCUAUGGAAUAUUAUCAAUAAAUAAAAAGGUAUUUAUGUAUGCUAAAAGAAACAACUGUGAGAUCAAGAAAUGAAAGCAAAGAAGCAUGGAUAUACUUUUUUUCCCUUAAUUAAUGAUAUGCAAGGAGUUACGAUUUCAAUGAAAAUCACAGUUAAUUUACAAACAUCAAACUUAUUUAUGAGGAUGAAAAACUCGGUACAUAUUUUAAUAAACAGCCACAUUAUUCUUUCAAGCAAGGCUCAAUACAAUACACAAACAAAGCCUCUUAAACAUUACUGACACCAAACAUUACUAGGCUGAAUACAAUCAGACAUUACAUAAACUCAUCUUUAGCUGCUGGAACGAAAACAAGAUGAUCUGUUGGGAAGUAGUGGCAGACGGGGAUAGUUCCCGGCUUAAUACCAAGUAUCUGAAAUGAUAGAUGGUCAGGAUUCCACUGAGAGGUAUCCAGAUGACAAGCUGAAAUAGCGUCAGCUAUAUCUCCAUUGUCACCGACCAGAGAAACCCUGAAUACUUUGUUGAUGUUCUCUGUCAUAUGGCUAUGGCAGCCGUAAAUUGCAUAAGGAUAGGACAUGUAAUGACAAGCUACCAUCUUGGAAGCAGGGAUCUCUUGCACCUCUAGGAUUGUAUAAUUUUGGAAAGUAUUACUGGUAGACUUUGUGGUCACAGUUUUAAAACCUGUCUCCGAGCCAAAGAUGCUGCCAGCAAAAUCAAGCAUGGAUUCUAAAGAGGUAGCACAAGUUUUGAUUUCAUCUUUGAUGGGAUCGGUUUCACACAUCCUGAGAGUGUCUUCCAUGGCUUUGGCUUGCGGUGAGACGCGUGGGAUGGAGGUUAAUUCAAGAAUAUAAGGAAGUUGUUUCAAUGAAAAUGGAAAGGAAUCAGCUUCUUCUCUAGGCAAAAAGUGAGCAGAAUUUGAAUGAUCUUCAAUUGGAAGAUAGAGGGCCAUUUUAUUACCUACCUUUAGAUCCCUCAAGGUGAAGAAUAUCUUGACCUCGCUUGAGUUUACGUCCACAUGGGAUGAAUGAUGAGCUAUAUGCAUAUGAUGAAGUUGAACAUCCAUUUGAGGCAGAGACUCCUCUCUCAAUUCCCUGGCACCGCUUCUGUAUGCGCACUGAAAAAAGUUCAACAGUAAAUAAACAGCAUAAACUUUGAAGGGUCGUAUCAACUCAAGAAUUAAUGAACAAAUUAAAAUGAAAAACUUAUUUUGCAAAAGGAAAGUUUAACCACAGUUGAAGACUACCAGGAGGAGGAGCUGUAGAAGGAUGUUCCAAGAAGCUAAUCCCAAACCCAUCUUGCUCUGGAUAACUCGUUUGUUUUUUGGCUACUGAAUGAGGUAUAUUGUAUAACUCGAUCGAGUGUCGACAAGUUGUAAAAGAAAAAUUUUACAGAGGCUGCCUCAGUACUCAGGUGAAAUAGAUUAAAAUUCGGAACUGUGACUAUGGAAGUAAUUGUUUCUUUUUUUAUUGGGGCUAUUUUACAAUUUAAAAACACUUCGAACACUCUUUUUCCCUUUUUAAAUUGAUGGGACCCACCAAACUACUCUACAACCCGUUUUUUAAUAAUAAUUUUAAUUUCUAAAAUAUCCUUCUCGUAGUUUACUAAUAAAUACGAAAACAAUAUAACUAUAUAGAAAUAAUUUUAAACAAUUAUCACCGUUCGCCCUAUAAUGGAUUUACAUCACUAACAUUCAACAAUUUCUCUCUUAAAAAUGAUUAAAUAAAUUUAAAGUAAAAAUUACUUCGAUCUAUUUCUUUAUGAUGUCGAGUCGAAGAUCAAGAUCAAGUUUUAUGCAUGAAACCUAUUCUGGAAACAUAAUUCAUAAAAGAGAAUAUAAAAACAAAAAAUGAAUAAUUUUGAAUAAAAAAAUUCCAGUAUCCCAUUAUUUUACGCACUUCCAUCUAUUUAUCCAUUAUGUUUAGAGUUUCAAUUUCUUUUAUAGAGUUCCCUCUCCCCCAAUAAAAAAGCUCUUUUAUAACUAUUACAGUUUGACUUUUGUAGAUAAAAAUAAAAAAUAAAAAUUUGUUACUGCUCCUUGCACUAGCAGUGGAAAAGAAUGUUGUCAAAAUUAUUGUUUUUGCUAACAAAUGGUUCCAUUGGCCAGGUUGAGGAAAAGAAAAGAGAAAAAUGGGAACGAAAUCUUUGAGCGACAGUUGGUUAGCGAGAGAAAUUUCUUUCCAAGGGUACUUUUAGGCCAUGUUUGGUUUGAAAAAAGGGGAGAACAAGAAAAAAAGUGGAAUGGAGGAGAAGGAAGAAGAAAAGAGUGGAGGAGAAUAUUGAAAUUAAAUUUUAUUUUUUGCUUUGAUAUAAAAUUUGAUAAGAAAAGUAAUUAUAACUUUUUCUUUGGACAAAUUUAUCCUUCAUCUUAAAUAUUAAAUUAUCUAUAUUAGUAAUUAAAUAUAAUUUAAUAUCAAUACCAAUUUUUUUUAAUUUCAAAAAGUCCUAAAACAAUUCAUGAUUUAUUUGAACUAUAUAUAUAUAAUGGCGGUCUGGCGGAGUUCCGACAACCUUCCGAUAACGAUAGAUGGCUAUCUAGCGGAGUUCCAACGAUUGUCCGGUGGAGUUCUGGCUAUAGUCGACAGCCAUCCGGUGGUUUUCUGGCAAAGUUUCGACAACUGUCCGGCAGAGUUUCGGUGAAGCUGUGGGGAUUUACACAAAUAAUCAAAGUUAUUAUUGAGAUCUUAACUAUAAUUAUUUCUGUCGCCAUUAAUCAUAAUCAAUAAAUAUAUGGUUAAUUUUAGAUUAUUCUCUCGUUAAUUAAUUAUUUUUAAAUAAUUUUUAUACUUUCAAAAACCGCAGUUUACCCAUAUUUUUGUUAAGGCCCAAAAUAUUGAGUCCAUCUCAUUUGGGUGGCCGAAGCCCAAAGUUUAAUAAGUUUGGGCUAUUAAGUAAUUAAUAAAAACUCGAAGGGGUAAAUGAAAAUUGCCAUGCAAUUUGCCAAGGGAUAGCAAUGGAUUGGAUCUUAUCCAAGAUCCACGUGAUCCAAAUCCAAUCGGAUCGGAUUUGGAUCGGUUUAAAAUGAAUUUGGAUCGGAUUUGGAUAUCGAUGUGUGGAUCUAAGACGGAUUUGGAGCAGAUCUGGAUCUAUCUUAAUAUCUAAAUCCAUAUCCAUAUCCACUCAUCUUUUAAUUUUAUUUUAUUUUAAAAGUUUCUUAACAAUUAUGAAAUUAUAAUGAUAAUAAAUUUUAUUCAUAGCAUAUUAGUGGUAUUUACCAUGCAUUUAAACUCUUAAAACUUAAAGGUUAGUUUUGUAAAUUUAAAAGUCAGACAGCCCCAAGUAUGUACAUGCAAUAUUCAAAUUGCAAGCCAAGUAAUAUAACCUGGCAAUUUAUUUUAUUAUAUUGGCCAAAUAGUUUUUAAGGAAUAUAGUUAUUCAUAUGUAUUAGUCAAAUAUGAUCAUAAUAAAAAUAAUAAAUGACCGAUUAUAAAUUAUAUUUAAUUUAUAUGUCAUUAUCUAAUAUUGUAGGAAUGAGGGUAGGUGUGUCGUGGAUAUUAUAAUGAUGAAGGAGACAAUAGAAUAUUAAAUUGAUCUUACUUCUGCAAUUACUUUUGAAUGAUACUUUAUUAUCUUUCUUAUUUGUUGUUUUGGUGUAAAAGUAUAAGCUACAAUAUUUAUUAUAUUUUUUAGAAAAAUUAUAUAAUUUAUUUGUUAUCAAUACAUUUUAGCCUUCAAUUUUCAUUUUAAAAAAUUAUUUUUUUUUAUUACUGAAUUUUAGAAUUCAUGACGGAUCUAGAGCAGAUUUGGAUUUUAAUUUUUUUUCGAAUUUAGAGCAGAUAUACAUAUUUAUUUCUUUUUUGGAUCUGGAUAUGGAGCGAAAACUAUGGAUUCAUAACGGAUCUGGAGCAUAUACGGAUCUUCAUUUUUAUUAUGGAUUUGGAUCAGGAGCAGAGUAGAUCCAACCUAUAUCUGUCCCAUUGCCAUCCCUAAAUUUGCCUUUAAAAGCAAGCGGCCAAAAAAAAAAAAGAACGAGUGGAGAAGAAAAGGCGGCAAGAGAGAGAAAAGCUAGUGGAAGUUCCAAUUUGAGAAUAAUAAUUGUAAUCUUUGAUUGGACGAUCAGAAGUCGAUUUUAACUUUGUUUUCUCCCAAAGUUUGAGUGCAUGUUCCCAAGACAUCGCCCUCUACUGGUCUUAAUUUUUAUUUUAUCCUCUCUUUGGCUAUUAUUUGAGAUAUCCACUUGUUAGAGAGACAUUUUUUAAACUGUUACUGUAAACCAAGAAUAAUGAGAUUCUUGAUGUUAGUGGCAUUUAAUAUUAUUUAGAGAAGAAUUAGUGUUGUAAUCCCAUUAAUAUAGUGGAAGAUUUUAUCAGACUACGAUCUCAUGGUUUUUCUCGCUUUAGGUUUUUCACAUAAAUUUUUUUUGGAUGUAUUGGUUUAUUUUUCUGCCUAUUUAUUUGUGUUAUACAUCAUAUUUUUAUCGCACAAAGAGGAAAAGAGUUUUGUUUCCGCUUAAUUUACAACUGCUUGGUAGUCCCUUUCCAAACAGAGUGGUAUCAGAGCUUCAGGUUUUGUAUUUUUAUUACUCUGUGGUUGAGAUGGAGGAGUCCUCGGCAUGCACGAUUAAAUUAAAAUCAUAGAAUUAUGGUAUUUGGAAGUCUAGGAUGGAGGAUUUGUUAUAAAUGAAAGAUUUACAUGAACCCAUUGAAGGCAAAGAAUGUAACCGUUUCAUCUGGUCAAUGUUACCGUUGGGCUAAUUUUCAAAUAAACGGUUUGCCGUUUAGGGUUAACAUUUCGCCGUUAAAUUCCAGAGACCUGCAAAAUGAACAUCAGUUAUCCGUUUACAUUAAACGGUUAAGAAUUUGCAUAAAAUGACCUCUCUAGAAAUUAUCGAUUAAUCGUUUGUAAUAAACGGUUCGCCAUUUGUUUCCAGUAACCUGCAAAACAAAUUAGCCUUAUCCGGUUUUGUUAAACGGUGCCAGAUGAGUACAAUCUUCAAUUCUGGAUUUUAUCGGCUAACCGUUUAGAUAAAUGGUUCACCGUUAAAUUCCAGUAGCCUUCCCAGCUUUUUGUGUUUUUCGUUUUUCUUAAUCGGUUAGAGCUUAGGCAAAUGUUGCUCUCUGGUUUUAAUCGAUUAACCGUUUAAAAGAAAAUGGUUCACCGUUUAUUUCCAAAAUCACAUUUUAACUAGAUUUUGCAGAAAAUCAUUUUCUAAUUUGAAAGUCCAUCUUUUAUUAAUAUAAUUGGAAUUAUUAUAAGGAUUUCGUUUAUUUAAGAAAUAGCUCCAACAUUUUAUAAAAAAUCAUUUAAAGUUUGUUAUUAUCAAAAUCAAUAUUAUUAACAUAUUCAUGUUAACAAUCUCCCGCUUUUUUAUGAUGACAAAUUUUAAUCAAUAUUUUGCUCCCCUUUAAUAAAAGCUCCCCCUAAAUGUAUGGCCAAAUUAAGAAAUGUCUAAUAAAAAGAUUUUUUCUCAAGAAAACAUUUUAAAAUUCAUUUUAAAUCUCCCCAUAAUUCCAUAAUUAUCUCCCCCUUCAUCAUAAAAAAGAAAAGAGAGAAAAGAAAAUCAUAAAUCCGUUAAAGAAAGAAGUUACCCAGUUUUGGUAAGCGAAAAUUUUGGCAGAGUUUUCCCUUAAAAAGGAACAAAACCACUAAUACAAGAGGAGAUUUAAAAAACACUUCCAAAAUAUAGUAACAAUAACUCCAUCAACCAAUAUCAAAUCAGCCAAUAUCAAGUCAUCCAACAUCAAGAACAACACAAAAAUAUGUCAUCAAAAUCCAUCAAGAUCAUAUAGAGGUAGCAGUGUAUAUAAAAAUAUAAAUAGCAACACACAAACAAACAAAAUAUGAAAAUGUAUGUGCGAAAAUAGAACUCAGAAACUAUGGAGGUGGAGAAGAUGUGCUCCCAAGAUCAUAACCGAAAUAGUGGAGAAGAGUACGUUGUCCAGCGAUAAGCUCAAGCUGCUGACCAAUACUCUGCUGCUGGAAGGUCUAAAAGUCAGAACGUAACUGCUGGUGGUCACGGGAGAAAGUGUCCAAACGAUCGAUAAUCAGCUGCUGCCGCUCCGAAAUCCUAUGAACAUCAGCAACCAACUGCUGCAUAAUGUCCGAAGCAGGGGGCUGAACUGGAGCUUGAAGUGGCUUAGAAGCAGAGGGCUGCUCAGGAACAGCAGAUGGCUCAAGAGCAGGAGGCUACUUGGGAGCCAAAGGCGGCUCGGAAGAGGAGGGAAUGUCAGCAUCCAUCGCACGCUCCUCAGAGUCAGAGUCAGCUGGAGGCCGGGGGACAAAAUGGCGACGCAGAGGAUAAAGAUGAGCUCCUAAUCUAAAAUCUGGAAGCUUAUCGGGAAGAUAGACAUUAUUGAGCAUCCGAUCAUCCUCUGGAGCAAUUAAGGUAUCCCGGUUUUUGGAAUUUUUAGUCUUUAUCCACUCUCCAUUCUUCUUAGAAAAACCGAUACUAGUGUUGGCCUCUGGACCAAUCCGUCUAAUCUCCAUAUAACCGGUAUCGAGAAGAGGCACCUCAAAGUAUCGCAGUAACUUAAUAAUGAUACUGCCAUAUGGAAGCAAGCGGUGGUUAACCACGGGAGUACUCAACAUGUGCCGCACAAUAACAUAGCUGAGGUUAAUGGGACGACCUGAAAUAAGGCUAUUUAAUAGGCCAACGUCCAACCUCGUAACCUCAUCUAAGUGACCCUUCCUAGGUGUCACUAUGUGCUGUAAAAUAGUGUGAAGAAUGCGAACUUGGAGAGGUAAAAGUUGAGACCGAAAAGGUAGAUUACAAAUCUCAUUAGACAAGUCUCGACGGCGACAAAUAUUACGAACUCCAUCAACAUGACUAAAACCGUCAAAAGAAAAGGCUUUCCUAGAGGUAUAAAUUUCAUGACCCUCACUAGCGAUACCUAGAAAGCCAUUUAGAUCCUCAUCAUCAAAUUCUAUAGGCACACCGCCGACUUAAGUAACUAUCAUAUCUAGGCGAGUUGCGGAGAUUUCCAUGCUUGAAUAAAAGACUCGCACUAAAUUGGGAUAAACUCGGUCAUCAAAAUCAAUGGCAGACUCCCAAGGCUGAAGCAUAUCCCUAAUGCUUCUACCACACACAACUAAGGUACUGAAAUCAUCUGAUUCAAUAUAGAAAGAGUCAAGUACCUUUCUACCAUUGAAGCGAUCUUCGAACUGCUUGGCCAAGGAAGGCAUGGGGAAAUGAAUUCUUUCGAAUUCAGAAACUUCCCGUGGUGGUAUAGGAUUCCUUGGAGGCACAAAUUUUCUCCUGACAUUUCUUCGAAGGGGCUCAGCUAUGGUGAAGAGUAAGGAAGUUUGAAAUUUUUUAGAGAGAUAUGAAGAGAAGAAGAUGAACUGAUUAUUUGUUUACGAAUGAGUAAAGAAUAUGAUUUUGACGCUCAAUUUGGUUGAAGAAGGGCAAGAAUCAGGUUCAAAAUGAAGAAACCCGAAUGGCUGCACUAAGGGUUUGGAUUUCGGAUUUUUCAAUUUUGGGCUUAAUUUGAAGAUUUGAAUCGGUGAAAGUGUUCUAAAGGUGAUAAAAAAUGAUGCUAUAUGUUUGAUUUGGCAAGAAAAAUAAGAAAAAUUAAGGUUUGAGGGCAGAGGAAGCUUCGGCUGCGCAACAAUGCCUGAAACAGUGAAAGGGCAACUGGAGAAGGAGAAGAAAAACCUUUGAAUAGUUUUAUAUUCACGAAAACGAUAAACCGUUUAUUUAAACAGUUAAGGGGUAACUUCCAGAGGCUAAGGAAUGGGAAACGGUGAAAGGUUAAUUUCUUAAUACUAAAGAGUAACUUCAAGAGAGCUAUUUGUUUUUAAACGGUUUACCGAUUGCAUCAAACGGUAAAAUGAUUAAAAGGCAGACAUCAUAAUCUAGUUUCUAGAAUAAAACGGUACACCGUUUAUUGGAAACGGUUAGCCAUUUAUUUUAUCUAUAAUUUCGCACAUUUGAUUUAAUUUUUGGCCAGCAAAUAAUACAUUCCAAGAUCAUUUAAUUGAUCUAAAAAUGUUUUAUGAGUCAUUUUAAUAUAUAAUUCAUGAACAUAUAUUCAAGCAAUUAAUUCAUAUAAUCAAUCAAGAAUUAACAAAGCAAGCACAUCAUUUGAAUAUCAAGCUUAAGCAUUUAAAUCAUCAAAUCACCAAUAAGUCAAUCAAUUCAAUACACUCAAUAGCAUGAAUAGAGACGUUAAUGCGAAAAUUUCAUCAUACCAAAUUCAUACCGAAUCUUUGAAAAUUGUUCUUCGCCAAGAGGUUUGGUAAAAAUAUCGGCGAGUUGUUUUUCUGUAGAAAUAAACUCUAAUGCAAUAUCCCCCUUUUGAACAUGAUCUCUCAAGAAAUGAUGUCUUAUUUCUAUAUGUUUGGUUUGAGAGUGUUGAAUGAGAUUCUUUGAAAGAUUUAUAGCACUAGUAUUAUCACACUUAAUAGGAAUUUGUUCUAGGUUAAUACCAUAGUCUCUAAGUAUUUGUUUCAUCCAAAAAGCUUGUGCACAACAACUUCCUGCAGCUAUAUACUCAGCUUCGGUAGUUGAGAAUGCAACAGAAUUUUGUUUCUUGCUAAACCAUGAAACAAGUGAGUGACCUAGGAUAUGGCAAGUUCCACUAGUGCUUUUUCUAUCAACUUUAUAGCCGGCAAAAUCCGCAUCCGAAUAGCAUGUUAAAUCUAUAUGAGUUCCCCUAGGAUACCAUAGGCCAAUAUCUAUGGUUCCACUCAAAUAACGGAAAAUUCUUUUAACAGCAAGCAAAUGAGAUUCCUUGGGACAUGAUUGAAAUCUUGCGCACAAACAUACACUAAACAUGAUAUCGGGUCUACUUGCAGUUAAAUAAAGUAAAGAUCCUAUCAUAUCUCGAUACAUUUUGAUAUCUACUUCUUUGCCUUUUUCAUCUUUGUCAAGUUUAGUUGUUGUGCUCAUUGGAGUGUUUUUGGUCUUUGAGUCAUCAAUGCCGAAUCUUUUGAGUAGAUCUUUUACAUACUUGGCUUGAUUUAUGAAGAUUCCUUCCUCAUUUUGUUUUAUUUGCAACCUAAGGAAGUACUUCAACUCUCCCAUCAUACUCAUUUCAAAUUCAUUACUCAUGCAAGAUGAAAAUUCUUUAUACAACAAUUCAUUAAUAGAACCAAAAAUAAUAUCAUCAAUAUAAAUUUGAACAACAAGUAUGUAAAACCAGGGGGUUGUUUUACAUACAUUUCUUCCAUUAUAAAACCAUUCAAAAAAGCACUUUUCACAUUCAUUUGAAAUAAAAUGAAAUCUUUAUGACAUGCAAAUGCCAACAACAUUCUAAUUGAUUCUAGUCUAGCUACGGGUGCAAAUGUUUCAUCAAAAUCAAUUCCUUCUUCUUGGUAGUAACCUUGAGCCACUAAUUUAACUUUAUUUCUUACAACCACACCAGAUUCAUCCAUCUUAUUUCUAAAUAUCCAUUUAGUACUUAUGACGGAUUGAUGUUCCGGUUUAGGAACUAAUUCCCACACAUUGUUUCUUUCAAAUUGAUUUAACUCCUCUUGCAUUGUCAUAAUCCAAGAUUCAUCAUUUUCCGCAUCCACAAAGGUUUUGGGUUCAAUUUGAAAAAUAAAUGCAUUAUGCUCACAAGUAUUUCUAAGUGAUGAUCUAAUUGUAACACCUUCUGAGAGAUCUCCUAAAAUUAUAUCCUUAGGGUGAGAAGAAACAUACUUCCACUUCUUGGGGAGUGCUUGAGAAGUACUUUCAUGUUGCUCCAUAUUUGUUUGCUUUUCUUGUUCAUCCUCUUGAUUUCUUUGUAGUGCAUUCUCUUGUUUAUCCUUUGAUGAUUCUUCUUGUAACUCUCCAUCUGCAUCAUCAUAAUUUAUUCAUUUCUCCACAGAGGAGGGGUUAGACUCAUCAAAUGUAACAUGCAUAGAUUCUUCUACAACUAGUGUAUUUUUGUUAUAAACUCUAUAAGCUUUGCUUGAGUUUGAAUAUCCAAGAAAAAUACCAACAUUAGAUUUUGGAUCAAAUUUGCCAAGAUUGUCUUUUGUGUUCAAAAUAAAACAUUUGCAUCCAAAAAUUUUGAAAUAACCAAUAUUGGGUUUUCUAUGUUUCCAAAGCUCAUAUGGAGUUUUGUUAAGGUUAGGUCUAAUCAACACACGAUUUAAAACAUAACAAGCGGUGUUGACGGCCUCGGCCCAAAAAUACUUAGGCAAUGAAUUUUCAUUCAACAUAGUCCUAGCCAUUUCUUGAAUGGAUCUAUUCUUUCUCUCAACAACUCCAUUUUGUUGAGGAGUUCUAGGUGAUGAAAAUUGAUGCUCAAUGCCAAAAGCAUUACAAAAAAUCUCAAAUGCAUGAUUUUCAAACUCUCCUCAAUGAUCACUCAUAAUGCAUGCAAUACCAUACCCUUUUUCAUUUUGUAUUUUCUUACAAAGCACUUUAAAGACAUCAAGAGCAUCAUCCUUAUUGGCUAAGAAUAAUACCCAUGUAUAUCUAGAAUAAUCAUCCACUAUCACAAAUGCAUAAUAUUUGCCAUUUAGACUAACAUAUCUAGAAGACCCAAAUAAAUCUAUGUGAAGAAAUUGAAGUGGUUUUGAAGUAAAAAUAUGAUUUUUAUUUUUGAAAGAUGUUUUGAUUUGUUUUCCAAAUUGACAAGCUUCACAAAUCUUAUCUUUUUGAAAACCAAUUUUUGGAAGACCUUUAACUAAAUUAUUUUUCGAAAUUUUCGAAAUCAAAUCCAUACUUGCAUGUCCUAACCUUCUAUGCCAUAACCAACUAUCAUCAUGCAAUGCGGAAAAGCAUUUAUCAAGAGUAGAUGCACAUUCUAUGUCAAUGAUAUAAACAUUACCACAUCUAUUCCCAACAAAUAAGAUCUUGCCAUCACAUGAAUUCUCAAUAACACAACUAAAUUUAUCAAAGAUAACUUUAUAACCUUUGUCACAUAAUUGACUAAUACUAAUUAAGUUGUGUUUCAAGUUCUCAACCAAACAUACAUUCUCAAUUAGAGUUGAGGAAACUUUACCAACAUUUCAAAUUCCAAGAAUUUUUCCUUUUGAGUUGUCUCCAAAAGACACGUCUCCCCCAUUUUCAAUUUUGGUGAAACUUGAGAACCAUGCAUAGUUUCCGGUCAUGUGCCUCGAACAACCACUGUCCAAGUACCAUUUAUUUUUCUUCUUCUUCAAGCCCUACAAAGAAAAUCUCAAGUUUUAGGUACCCAAAACUUUUUGGGUCCUUGAGAGUUAGUAGUGAUUCCUUUUGGAACCCAAAUGCAUUUUAUACCAUAAUAUGCAUUUCUUUUUACUGGACAUCUAUUUUUCAUAUGACCAUCUUGAUUACAAAAAUGACAUACAAUUUGAUUGUUACUAGAUGUACUCUUCACAAAGUAGUUUUUAUAAUAUUUUUGUUUCAAGUUUGGCUUAUAACCAAUACCUCAUUUGUCAAAUACACAUUUUUGUGAAUUAAGCAUGUUAUCCAACAUCUUUUGCCCAUUUGUAAAUUUCAAAACAAUCUCAUUCAACUCAUUGCUCUUUUUUUUAAACGUUUCGUUUUCAUUUUUCAAAUCAUCUAUGUGUGAUUCUAAAUGCUCAUGUGAGAUGUUAGGUUUCUCAUUUGAUAAUGUAAUUUCAUCAUGCAAUGUUUUAUUCUCUACUUCUAGGCAUGUAAUUUUUGCAUUUGGAGAUUCAUUUUCAUUUUUAAGCUUUGUCAUUUCCUUUUUAAGACAUACAUUCUUUUUACCAAUCUUCAUCAACUCAUUAUACAAUUCUUUAAAGGCAUCAUACAAUUCAUCAUAGGUGGGAUCACUUACCUCAUUGAGAUCAUCAUCCUCUUCUAUUGACAUAAGCGCUAGGUUUAAUACUUCUUGCGAUCCUUCUUCAUCACUUGAAUCUUCCUCGCUAUCAUGCCAAGUUGUAACCAUGGCUUUCUUCUUAAGUUUGUUGAUAAGUGGGCACUUCGAUCUUAUAUGGCCAGGCUUCUUGCAUUCAUAGCAUGUGAUUACCUUUUUCUUCUCCCUUUGGUUCUUGAAGUUUCUGAAAUUUCUUUGCUCUCCGGUUUUCUUAAAGAAUUUUCUGAACCUCCUUGCUAGCAUGGCCAACUCUUCAUCAUCCGGUUCACUCUCCCCACCACUCUCAUAUUUUGAAACUUUGAGAGCAAUGCUUUUCUUCUUCUCCUCAUGCCCUUUUUCUGCUGCCAAAUCUUCUUUAUAUGAAAUGAGAGAACCAAUUAAAUCAUCAAGAGGUAAAGUAUUUAAAUCUUUGGCCUCUUCAAUAGCGGUUAUUUUGGGUCUCCAUUCUUUUGAAAGUGACCUAAUGAUUUUCUUAACUUUCUCGCUAUUUGAGAAAGUCUUUCCUAGGGCUCCUAGGGUGUUUACUAUGUCCGUAAAUCUCGUAUACAUAGAGUAUACACUCUCAUUUUAUUCCAUUUGGAACAACUCAUAUUGUCUAGUGUACCUACUAAUUUUCGACUCUUUCACUUGAUUUGUGCCUUCAUAAACUACUUCAAGUUUGUGCCAAAUUUCAUUGACACUUUCACAACUAGAUACUCGAUAAAAUUAUUUCUUAUCAAGUGCACAAAAUAAAGCAUUCAUAGCUUUGGAAUUUAGAGAAGCUUUUCUCUUUUCCAAUUCAUCCCAUUCCCUUGAAGGUUUUGGAAUAUCUUCCCCGACUUCAUUUUUAGUUAGGGGCAAAAACGGACCAUCACAUACAACUUCCCAAAUUUCAUAAUCCAGUACUUGUAAAUAAAUUCUCAUCUUAGUUUUCCAAUAUGGGUAGUCAUUUUCGUCAAAGAACGGUGGUCUAGUUGUGGACUGUCAUUCCCUAAAAGUUGAGUCAUUUUGGGUUGCCAUGGAUCUUUUACUCUAGACGGUUAAUUCCUAAUAAGAGAACCAAGCUCUGAUACCAAAUGAAAUACAAGUGUGCAACCCAAGAGGGGGGGUGAAUUGAGAUUCUAAAAAUUAUUUGAUUCUAAAACAAAUUAUCAAGCAAAUCUAAGAUGAAUUUAAUGGAAUAACAAUUAAAUCAAUUACAAUAUAAAAAGAUAAAGGAAGAGAGAUUCAAACACGAAGAUUUUUACGUAGUUCGGCCAACCUCGCCUACGUCCAGACCUCCAAGCUUUCCGGGCUUAAAAAUUUCACUAAGUAAGCCUCCAAGGCUUCAAAUGCAUACACUUGACUUCCAAGGUGUCAAUGAGCCUUUACAACAAGAGAUUAUCCCCAAUCUCUUAACCCAAGUGUAUUUCAACACUUACAAUCACUCAAAGUAAAAGAUUAAAAAUUAUUUUUCUCUCACACAAUAUUUAAAAUUACAAAUCAAUGCCCAAUGUGUGAAUAGAUGAAGCAAGAAUGUGUUUUAAAGCUCUAUGAAGAUUGUAUUCUCAAUUAUAAGCUCAAUGGUCGUGUUAUGAUCAAUCUUGUUUGAUUUUGAAUGAGUUUAUUUAUAAUUGGAGAUAAAAAAAACUAGUCAUUAUAGAUUGUCUGCUCGAAAACGGUUCGCCGUUAGACAUUAACGGUUAACCGUUUCAUUUGGUCAAUGUUACCAUUGGACUAAUUUUCAAAUAAACGGUUUGCCGUUUAGGGUUAACCUUUCGCCGUUAAAUUCCAGAGACCUGCAAGAUGAACAUCAGUUAUCUGUUUACAUUAAACGGUUAAGGAUUUGCAUGAAAUGACCUCUCUGGAAAUUAUCGAUUAACCGUUUAUAAUAAACGGUUCGCUGUAUGUUUCCAGUAACCUGCAAAACAAAUUAGCUUUAUCUGGUUUUAUUAAACGGUGCCAGAUGAGUACAAUCUUCAAUUUUGGAUUUUAUCGAUUAACCGUUUAGAUAAACGGUUCACAGUUAAAUUCCAGUAGCCUUCCCAGCUUUUUGUGUUUUCCGUUUUUCUUAAUAGGUUAGAACUUAGGCAAAUGUUGCUCUCUGGUUUUUAUCGGUUCACCGUUUAUUUCCAGAAUCACAUUUUAAACCAGAUUUUGCAGAGAAUCAUUUUCUAAUUUGAAAGUCCAUCUUUUAUGAAUAUAAUUGGAAUGAUUAUAAGGCUUUUGUUUAUUUAAGAAAUAGCUCCAACAUUUUAUAAAAAACCAUUUAAAAUUUAUUAUCAUCAAAAUCAAUAUUAUUAACAUAUUCAUGUUAACACUUGAGAGUGUUUGAUUGCAGAGCAUAUAUUCACAUCCCUAAAGAUGAGAGAUCGAAGCUUUAUGAUAAAGUCAAGGAAUGCAUUUUCUUAGGCUAUAUGCAUGAAGAAUUUGAGUACAGAUUAUGGGAUCCAGUGACAAGAAAAUUUAUCAGAAAUAGAGAUGUGUUUUUAGAAGAUCAUUUAGUUGGUGAUGCAGAGAAGAUUAAUGAGUCUCAAUCAUCUUCAGAGAUUCCUAUUAUUCUAACUUCAGUUUCGCCACCUGUAAUUCAUGAUGAUCAUAGGGGAGCUGAAAAGAAUAAUAAUAAUGGUCCAGCAGAACCAAUUGAGCAAGCACCUUUAGAACUACCAACACCACCAGUUGAGCUAGAAUUAAGGAGAUCCACCAGAGAACGACGACCUUCCACUAGAUAUCCUCCACAUGAAUAUGUGAUGCUUACAGAUGAAGGGGAGCCAAAAUGUUUUGAAGAAGCGAUGUCUCACUAGCAUAAAAGUGAGUGGGUUAAAGUCAUGCAAGAGGAGAUGAAAUCUUUGAAUGAGAACUACACUUAUGACUUAGUAAAGCUUCCUAAGGGAAAAAUGGCACUGAAUAACAAAUGGGUUUAUAGGUUGAAGACUAAAAAUAACUCACAACAAUGGUACAAGGCUAAAUUGGUUGUGAAAGGUUUUGGUCAGAAGAAAUGUGUGAUUUUGAAGAAAUAUUUUCUCUUGUGGUGAAGAUGUCUUUUAUCCGAGUUGUUCUAGGAUUAGCAGCUAGCUUGAAUUUGGAGAUUGAACAGCUUGAUGUAAAGACAACUUUCUUGCAUGGUAAUUUCGGGGAGGAAAUAUACACGGAGGAACCUGAAGGAUUCAAUGUUAAAGGCAAAGAAGAACUUGUAUGCAAGUUGAAGAAAAGUUUGUAUGGACUGAAACAUGUACCAAGACAGUGGUACAAAAAGUUUGAUUCUUUCAUGGAGAAUCAUGAUUUCAGCAAGAUUAUAUGCGACUAUUGUGUUUUUGUGAAAAAGUUUGGUGAUAAUGAUUUCAUCAUUCUUUUGCUUUAUGUUGAUGAUAUGUUGAUUGUUGGGUAGGAUGUUAGUAGGAUUGAUAAUUUGAAGAGAGAGCUUAGCAAGUCUUUUGCAAAUAAAAGACUUGGGACAUGCGAAACAGAUUCUUGGCAUGAAAAUUUCUCGUGAAAGAAAAGCUGGGAAGUUAUUGUUAUCUCAAGAAGCAUAUGUUGAAAGGGUUUUUGAAAUAUUUAACAUGAGCAAGGCAAAAUCUAUUUGUUCUCCACUUGUAGGCCAUUUCAAGCUUAGUUCUGAGCGUUGUCCUACAAGUGAGAAAGAGAAGCAAGAGAUGAAAUGAGUUUCUGGUUUGUACAAGACCAGAUAUUGCUCAUGUAGUUGGUAUAGUUAGUCGGUUUCUCUCCAAUCCGGGUAAAGAACACUAUACAACAGUGAAGUAGAUUCUCAGAUAUCUCAGAGGCACUUCCAAGGCAUGUUUAUGUUUUGAUGGUAACAAACAUGUGUUACAAGUGUACACAAAUGCAGAUAUGACGAGAGAUGUUAAUUCUAGAAAAUUCCUAUCAGGAGAUUUGAUCACCUUUGCAAGGGGAGAAGUCUCAUGGCAGUCUAGACUUCAACAGUGUGUUGCAUUGUCUACCACUAAAGCAGAGUAUAUUGCAAUCACUGAAGGUUGCAAAGAAACUUUGUGGAUGAAGAAUUUCCUACAAGAGUUGGGUGUAAAGUAAGACAAUUUUAUUGUGUACUGCGACAGUUAAAGGGCCAUUCACUUGGUAAAAAAUUCGAUAUACCAUUCGAAAUCCAAGCAUAUUGAUGUGAGGUAUCAUUGGAUAUGAGACAUGCUUAAGAAGAAACAGUUGCAGGUUAAGAAGAUACACAAAAUGGAAAAUGGGUCAAAUAUAAUGACAAAGCCAUUACCUAAAAGAACCUGAAAAGUUGUAUGUAGAAAGCAGGCUUGGUGAUGCCCCCUACAUGAUCUGGAGGGGGAGAUUUAUUGGGUCCAUCUCAUUUGGGUGGCCCAAACAUAAAGUUUAAUAAAUUUAGGUAAUUAAAUAAUUAAUAAAAACUCAAAGGGAGUCAAUGAAAAUUGCCAUGAAAUUUGCCUUUAAAACCGAGCGGCAGCACAUGUUUUCUUAUUUAAAAAAAAAAAGAACGAGUGGAGAAGAAAAAGCGGCAAGAGAGAGAGAGAAAAGCCCGUGGAAGUUUUAAUUUGAGAAUAAUAAUUAUAAUAUUUUAUUGGACGAUUAGAAGGUAAUUUUAACUUCGUUAUCUCUUAAAUUUUGAGGAUUUGUUCCUGACAUCGCCCUCUAUAAUUUUGGUAGCCUUGCUUUUUAUUUUUUUUUCUUUUUGGUUAUUAUUUGAGAUAUACACUUGUUAAAAAAAUAAUUAUUAAAUUAUUACUAUAAGCCAAGAAUAGUAAAAAUUUUUAUGUUGUUAGCCUCUAAUAUUAUAUAGAGAAGAAUUUGUACUAUAAUCUCAUUAAUAUAGUUGAAGAGGGUGGGGUUAUUUACACUCGGAAUAAAUUUUCUAUUAAACACCUAUUUAUUCAAGGCACCAAUUUCAUAAAUUUUAAAAUUUUGACUUUUUAACUCGACUUUGAACAUACAAAAAUUAUCCUCAAAUUAAAUCCCUGCCAGUAUACAUUUCUUUUUUUCAUUCUAUAUUCAUAAAAAUAAAAUUAGUUCAAGUGAUUGCUAAGCUUGUUGUUAUAAGAAUAAACGCAGAUUUUUUCUUUUUAGAAAAUAGCUAAACAUAUUUAAAUGAAUGAAUUCGUAUUUUUUUUCAGCUUAUUCCAUGUAAAUACAUAGAGCUAUUUAGUCGAAGAUUAUUUUUUUUUUUCAAUAAUGUACCCUCAUUAAUGCAUUGGCUCAAAUAUAAAGGUUGACAAUCAUAGAGCAAAAGAAAACAUUAAUAAAAUAAAACUUCAUUGAGGGUAUAAAUUUGAGUCCCAGCAAGAUAUUUCUAUUCCUAUAAAUAUUAAGGGGAAGAGUAGAGAUUUUAGACUUUACAGUAAAUUGUUUAUUAUAAAUAUCGAUAGAUUAUAUUUCUCAUCGACCAUUAUUUUAAGACUAUAUUUUAAGAGCCGUAUAAUUUCCCACGUUACCAUUGUAAUCUGGGUCGGCGGAGCUUUUAGCCUUGUUAGUCGUGCGUAUUUUGGACUUAAGAUUAAAGAUUAAAGAAAGAAAAAUCUAAGCAAAUUUUCAAGAAACCGUGUACCACAAGACCAAAACACAAAAAAUUGAGCCGCUGAUUGCACAAGGCAUCAAAUCCAGUGGUCUAUAUUUUUUUAGAAUAUUUUAUUACAUGCGACCUAUCAACAGAUCUAAUGCACGGUAGUCUUAGCCAUAAUAAUUAAUUCUAAUAUUCUAAGGCAGAUAAGAGUUUGACCAUUUGAUGUCUGAGGUGGAACGGAUAAUGCACUAUUCAACUGUCUGUAUUUUUGGAUAAUGUAACUCAAUAAUGUCCCACGGGAUUGAUAAAACUUUCUGUUUUUCCUUUUUUUUUUCUUUUUUUUUUCCAUGUUUUAACACCGUGUGAAUCUCUGCUGUAAGCCAAUAACGUGACGAUUUUAGACGAUAAAGUUUACAAUGACCUAGACUUUUGCCCUACCCUUCGUUUUUUUGGGAAACGGAAAAGUUCUUUCGUUUUCUUCCAUAAUUGAUAAUAAUGCACCUUAACGUCAUAAAAUAUUGCAAUUGAUUGAAAAAUAGUAAAAAGAAUAUGUUAACACUAUAUAAUAUUAUAAUUAAUUGAAAAAUAUGUUAAUACUACAUAAUUUUAUAUUUUUUCUGUUGCUGUUAAUCAUAAUGAAUAAAUAUAGGGUUAAUUUUGGAUCCUUUCUAGUAAGUUAAUUAUCAUUAAAUAAUUUCUUAUUCUCAAAAAUUUUAAUUUACUCUUAUUUUUAUUGAGAAGAUAAAAAAAUAAUUCAACAACUGAUCUCUAUUUUUUCUUAUUUUUGAAAAAAAAUAAAAUAAUUUAAGAUUAAGAUAAAAACAUAAUUUAAAUAUAAUUAAUUCACAAGUGGAGAUAAUUAUUAUUCUCUAUAUUUUUAUAAGCAACAAAGAGAUAUAAAAUGAGAAAGUCCAGACAACUCUUCAUAUCUCUUAAAAUAAUUCCACCCAGUUUACAAUAAUUUACAUGGUCGGUUAUAUAAGUGGUGAUGUUUUUGUCAAUCUUUAUGACUUUGAGGACCAAAUAAGUGGGUGGAAUUAUUUCAAGAGAUGUUGAGAGUUGUUUGGACUUUCUCUUUUCAUGUCGAGAGUUACUUUAUUCUAGCUAUAAUUAUUGUCCUUGUUGCCUAUAAAAGUUUUUGGGAUCCUUAAUAAGCUUGUAACUUUUCGUUUAUUAGUUAGUUCCUUAAACUUGUGGUAUAGAAUGAAUUGCUUGUGCACUAAUGAAAAAGCUUAGUUCAUAGUAAACCUGUGACAGUACCUUUAUUACUUGAAACAAUAGCAAAUAUACUUGAAAAAAAAUAGUAUUUUUUAUAACUUGUGACCUAAAAACUAAUAACUAAAAAAAAAAGUCAUACAUACUAAGAAAGUUGUGAUUCCAACAAAAGCUUACAUGCCUGCAAAAAAUGAAAUUUUUAACAAACUUGUGAUGUAAAAUCAUCCACUUGGAACAUUGCGUAGUGGAAGAGUUGAGACUGCAACCGAGUAAUUAUUUAAUUAUCAAAAAGUAAUGGCCACUUGUCAAUUGAUUUAUGAUUGCAUGGCAAAUCUAAGCAAAGCAUAUAUGCACCGGUUCCAUCAAAGGAAGAGCAAUUUACUUCAAUCUUAUAAUAAUUUAUAUGGUGGGUCAUAUAAGUUGUAAUGUUUUCUUUCUUGUUGUCCAUCUUAUGAUUUUGAGGAUUUAAUAAAGGGGUGGAAUAAUUUUAAGAGAUAUUGACAGUUGUUUGGAGUUUCUCUUUUUAUGUCGAGAGUUUCUUUUUUCUAAGAAUUAUUAUUGUCCCUGUUGCUUAUAAAAGUUUUUAGGAUCCUUAACAAACUUGCAACCUUUAUUACUUGAAACAGUAGCAAGUAUACUUGAAAACAAAUAGUGUUUUUUAUAACUUGUGACACAAAAAACUAAUAACUAGAAGAAAAAAAAUAGCAUACAUACUAAGAAAGUUGUGAUUGAAACAAAAGCUUACAUACUUUAAAAAAAAGGGAAUUUUGUACAAACUUCUUACUUAAAAUCAUCAACUUGAAACAUAGCGUAGUGGAAGAGUUGAGACUACAACUGAGUAAUCAUUUAGUUAUCGAAAAGUAAUGACAACUUGUCAAUUGAUUUAUGGCUACAUGACAAAUCUAAGUAAAGCAUAUAUGCAUCGGUUCCAUCAAAGGUAGAGCCAUUUACUUCAAUCUUACAAUAAUUUACAUGGUAGAUGAUAUAAGUUGUAAUGUUUUUUUUCUGUUGUCCAUCUUAUGAUUUUGAGGACCUAAUAAGUGGUUGGAAUUAUUUAAAGAGAUUUUGAGAGUUUUUUUUUUAAAGUAAGGGGGUGGGCAAAGUCUAAAUAGGUUUUUAUUUUUUUCUCCCUUACUAUCCCCAAGACUUAAACUCAGGCAUCAACUACUACAAGUUUGAUGCUGUUACCAACCCGAUCACUCCCUUGGGGGCUAAGAAAUUUUUUAGAGUUGUUUGGACUGUCUUUUUUCAUGUUGAGAGUUGCUUUAUGAUAAGAAUAAUUAUUGUCCUUGUUUCUUAUAAAAGUUUUUGGGAUCCUUAAUAAACUUAUGACAUUUUGUUUAUUAGUUAGUUCCUUGUAACAUAGAAUGAAUUGCUUCUGCACUAAUGAAAAAGCUUAGCUCAUAAUAAACUUGUGACAUUACCUUUAUUACUUGAAACAGUAGCAAAUAUACUUGAAAAAAAUAAUAUUUUUUAUGACUUGUGACCUAAAAAACUAAUAAUUAAAAAAAAAAGGCACACAUACUAAGAAAGUUGUGAUUCCAACAAAAGCUAGCGCAUCUGAAAAAAAAAAUGAAAUUUUGUACAAACUUGUGACUUUUUUUUUUUUAUUACAUGAGACUAUUGCUCAAACUAAAACUCAUAUUACAUGGUACAAUAUCUGAUAUUUACAAAUCAGACUAUUAUUGGGACCAACUUACAUCAAUGCUUAUGGAGCUCUACCUAGAUUUUAACCCUCACAAAUAUUCGAGGGAUGUCUACUCCAUUCACACUUAGGUAAGAGAGACGAUUAUCUUCACUCAAUUAUACAAUAUAAUUAAGAAAGGAAAUACCUCCAUAUUGCGCUUGUGGGGGUUUGAACUACUACCCUCCAAAUUGGAGGGCAGCAGCCCUAACCACUCGGGUAGGGAUGGCAAUGGGCACCGCCCGCAGUGGGUUUGUCAUUACCAAAUUCAAACCCACACAAAUUUUAAAUUACUAAACUCACCCGUAACCCGCAUCAGAUUUUAAUUUUUUUUAAGAAAACCCACCUGUUGCGGGUCUUGAUAAUUAUCAAACCCGCAAUGGUAUCCAGCGAAUUUUUUGCGGGUUUGUACAUUUAAAAUCACAAAUGUUCAAUAUAUAAAUUUACAAUAAUAACCUCAAAUUCCACAUAACAUACUCAAUUUAAAAUUUAACCAAUGUAAAUAAAAAAAAUUAAAAUUUCAACAUCAAUCCAAUAUAAAUUCUCAAAUUUAAGUAUAAAAUAUACAAAUUCAUUAAAAAAAACCACAAACUAGUAUAUAAACAUAACAAUUACAUUUCAUAUUAUCGUUCAACACAAGCUCCAAGAGAAGAUUUCAUUUCAUUCACCAUCAUUAGCACCCAUCCAACAUGAUGCCUACAAUAAUGAUUAAGAUUAAUAUUUUUCAAAGAAUAAUAUUAGAAAAUCUGAAAAAAAUUAUAAUAAUGAAAUAAUUCAUGCAUUAAGUUAAAGAAAAAUAGUCCGUACAAAAACACUUUGAUUAUUUGGCACUUUUCAAGUAAAUAUUUCAAAAAACAUUGCGGGUUUAGCGGAUAUCCAUGCAAGUAUCUAUCGGAUAUUUAGUUAAUACCAAACUCAUCCGCAUCCAAGUGCGGAUUCCAAUUUAUAAUACCAAACCCACCCAUAACCCGCAAAAUUAUCCACAACGGGUGGGUUUUGGCGGAUUUGUGGGUUUGUUGGUACAAUUGUCAUCCCUACACUCAGCCAAAGGCCGAGUGGCAUGUACAAACUUGUGACUUAAAAUCAUCAACUUGGAACAUAGCGUAGUGGAAGAGUUGAGACUUCAACGAGGUAAUUGUUUAGUUAUCCAAAGGUAAUAACCACUUCUCAAUUGAUUCAUGGCUGCAUGGAAAAUCUAAGUAAAGCAUAUAUGCACCGAUUCCAUCAAAGGCAAAGCUGUUUACUUCAAUCUUACAAUAAUUUACAUGGUGGGUCAUAUAAGUUGUAACGUGUAACGUUUUGUUUCUACUGUCCAUCUUUAUGAUCUUGAGGACUUAAUAAGUGGGUGGAAUUAUUUUAAGAGAUGUUGAGAGUUGUUUGGACUUUCUCUUUUCAUGUCGAGAGUUCCUUUACUCUAGGUAUAAUUAUUGUCCUUGUUGCUUAUAGAAGUUUUUGCGAUCCUUAAUAAACUUGUGACUUUUAGUUUAUUAAUUAGUUCUUUAAACUUGUGACAUAGAAUGAAUUUCUUGCGCAUUAAUAAAAAAGCUUAGCUCAUAGUAAACUUGUGACAUUACCUUUAUUACUUGAAACAUUAGCAAAUAUACUUGAAAAAAAAUAGUAUUUUUUAUAACUUGUGACCUAAUAAACUAAUAACUAUAAAAAAAAAAAAAUUAGCAUACAUACUAAGAAAGUGUGAUUCUAACAAAAGUUUACGUACUUGAAAAGAAUGGAAUUUUGUACAAACUUGUGGCUUAAAAUCACCACCUUGGAGCAUAGCGUAAUGGAAGAGUUGAGACUUCAGCUAAGUAAUCGUUUAGUUAUCAAAAAAUAAUGACCACUUGUCAAUUGAUUUAUGACUACAUGGCAAAUCUAAAUAAAACAUAUAUGCACCAGUUCCAUCGAAGGCAGAGCCGUUUACUCAAUCUUACAAUAUUUUACAUGGUGAGUCAUAUAAGUUGUGAUGUGUAACGUUUUGUUUCUGUUGUCCAUCUUUAUGAUCUUAAAGACUUGGUAAGUGGGUGGAAUUAUUUCUAAGAGAUGUUGAGAGUUGUUUGGACUUUCUCUUUUCAUGUCGAGAGUUACUUUAUUCUAGCUAUAAUUAUUGUCCUUGUUGCCUAUAAAAGUUUUUGGGAUCCUUAAUAAACUGGUAACUUUUCCUUUAUUAGUUAGUUCCUUAAACUCAGUGACAUAGAAUGAAUUGCUUGUGCACUAAUGAAAAAGCUUAGUUCAUAGUAAACUUGUGACAUUACCUUUAUUACUUGAAAUAAUAGCAAAUAUACUUGAAAAAGAUAGUAAUUUUUAUAACUUGUGACCUAAAAAACCAAUAACUAGAAAAAAAAAAAUGGCAUACAAUCCAAGAAAGUUGUGAUUCCAACAAAAGCUAACGUACUUGAAAAAAAAUAGAAUUUUGUAUAAACUUGUGACUUGAAAUCAUCAACUUAGAACAUAGUGUAGUGGAAGCGUUGAACUUUAAAAAAAUAGAAUUUUGUAUGAACUUGUGACUUGAAAUCAUCAACUUAGAACAUAGUAUAGUAGAAGAGUUGAGACUUCAACCAAGUAAUAGUUUAGUUAUCGAAAAGUAAUGACCACUUGUCAUUGAUUUAUAGCUGCAUAGCAAAACUAAGUAAAUCAUAUAUGCACCAAUCCCAUCAAAAGCAGAGUUGUUUACUUUAAUCUUACAAUAAUUUACGUGGUGGGUCAUAUAAGUUGUAUGUUUUGUUUCUGCUGUCCAUUUUUAUGCCUUUGAGGACUUAAUAAGUGGGUGAAAUUAGUUCUAGAGAUGUUGAGAGUUAUUGGACUUUCUCUUUUCAUGUCGAGAGUUGCUUUACUCUAGGAAUAAUUAUUGUCUCUAUUCCUUAUAAAAGAAAAGGGAAUAAUUAUUGUCUCCACUUCUGAAUUGAUUAUAUUUAAAUGAUUUUUUUAAUUUUAAUCUUAAAUUACUUUAUUUUUAUUCAAAAAAUAAGAAAAAAUAAAGGUAGGUUGAUGAAUUAAUUUUUUAUGUUCUCAAUAAAAAUAAGAGUAAAUUAAGAUUUUUAAAAAUAAGAAACUAUUUAAAAAUAAUCAAUUCAUGAUAAGUGACAGCAAAAGAAAUAAUCAUAAAAUUAUAUAGUAUUUAACAUAUUUUUUCAAUUAAUUAUAAUAUUAUAUAGUGCUAACCUAUUCUUUUAUUAUUUUUUCAAUUAAUUGUAAUAUUAUAUGAUGUUAGUAUGCAUUAUUAUCAAGGCAAUGGUUUUGUUAGAGAUACUCUCCUGUGGCGUACUUCUUCAUAAGUACACAAUUAAAUAAUAUAGAAUAAAAACCACGAUAUAAUUUUAACCGGACCGUAUUAUCAAUUAUGAAAGAAAACAAAAGAACCUUUCCUAUUUUCCAAAAUCGAAGGGAUAAGGCAAAAAUCUAGUCCUUGUAGACUUUGCGGUCUAAAAUCAUCACGUUAUUUGCUUACAGCAAAGACUCAGAUGGUCUCAAAGAAGUAAAAACACAAAACAGAAUUUUCUACCAUGCAUUAUGUUAGGUCGCGUGUAAUAAAAUAUUUUAAAAAGAUACAGACCGCUGGAUUUGAUGCCUCAUACAAUCAGCGGCUUGAAGUUGUCUUGAAAUAUAAUUGGGAGUUUGCGGGCAACCGAUAGCAACAAUAUACCUAAAAAAACGAGAAAGUCAAUGUACUGCUCUUAGAAAUUGGUGACUAUUGUUUCUCUUUCUUUUUCGGGUCUGCCUCAAUGGAACCGAUGCAUAUACUUAGAUUUGACGUGCAGCCAUAAAUCAAUUAAUACGUGGUCAUUACUUUUUGAUAAACGAUUAUUCGGUUAAAGUCUCAUCUCUUCUGCUACUUUAUCUAAGCACCUUCACUAAUAUUUGAAAUAUAUCAGUUUUACUCACAUUUCAUAAAAAAAUUAUUUAUCCAUAAUUUCUUUCAGGAUUCAAAAGCAGCUCUAACCAUUUGGUUAAAGGCCAAAUGACUUAACUUUUGAUGGAAUCACAACUUUCUUAAUAUAUAUGUCUUUUUUUUUAAGUUAUUAAUUUUAGAUCACAAGCUAUAAAAAAAAUAUUUUUUUUUAAAGUAUGUUUGUUAUUGUUUCAAGUAAUAAAGGUAAGUAACAAAUUUACUAUGAGUUAAGGUUUUUCGCUAGUACACGAGCAAUUCAUUCUACGUCACAAGUAUAAAUAAACUAACUAAUGAAUAAAAAGUCACAAUUUGACAAUUUUAUGAAGGAGCCCACUCAAUAUUUGCAGAAGAUUUUUUUUUUUUCAUUUACAAUAACUCAAGAUUAUUAUAACAUCAAAUAGUGAUCAAUGUAUGAAAUAUAUUUUUAAUUAGAAACAAUGACGAUUAUAUUGUACAGUCAAUUAGGGAUUAAUUUAAUUAUUUAAUGACUAAAUUAUUUAACAGCUAUUUCUGAAAGUCUGUUCGUCUAUUUUCCGAGUAGUAUAUAUGAAGUCACAGCUUACACUAAUAAUGGUAAUUCCUCUUGCUAGUGAGACUGUAAAAAAAAAAAUUGAGAAUUUUUUUUUGGUUUCCUUUUUUGUUUCAUCCUUGUUGUCCCAACUCUUUAUGUGCUUCUCACAACUAUAUUAUUCAAUGAUCCAAUUUCUUAUAUAUCUAUCCCACUAAAACUUAUUGUUCACAGAUCUCUCUAUUAAAACCCAAGUUCCAAAGUUUGUUUCAUUUUUAUAUCAAUUAAAAGUUGUAUGUAUCACAGGUUAUAAAAGGAACAAAUUUUCCGAAGUUUGUCUCUCAUUGUUUCAAAUAGAAAAUUUUAUGUCACUAAGUUAUCAAAACAGGAUCAAGUUUUUUAUCACUUAGUUUCGUAUUAAAACCUAAUAUUAGGCGGGCAUUAUGCCGCUAUUUUACAGCAUAAACUUUAGGCGGCUAUUAUGCAAAACUUAUAAAUAUGAGGUGAUCAUUUUGCCGCUAUUAUACAACUCCUAUGGAGGUAUAAUUUCUUUUUUUUUUCUUUUUAGUUUUUUUCUGUGUUAGGCUUCCCAGGCUUAUUUUUAUCGGGAUUUAGUUGAAUAUUUAUGUGGGUUUAUAUGUAAAUUGUGUCAUAUAUAAUAUUUAAUUAUUAGUGUCUUUUUGUAAUUGAGUUAAAAAUAAUGGAAAAAAAGUUCCAAUUGCUAUGAAUAGAGAGAUGACAAACUAAGAAGCACUACUUUUUUUUUCUUCUGACGUAUCGCGAAUAGAGGGUUUCAGUUCUCAUAAAAUCAUAAAUGAAUUUUGAUUUAUAAGAAUUUAUCGUUAAUCCAUAGCAAUUUAGAAUGUAAAUGAACAGCUAAUAAAAUUUAUUUCUUUCCGAAAAAAAUUGAAGAUAAGUGUUAAAGUAGUCAAUGAAGAAAGAGGGAGAAGAUAUGAUUCAUCACGAAAAUGGAGUGGGAAAAUACCUUUUAUUUUUUAAUUAAAUUCUAUUGUCCUUGCACGCAGUUGUGUUUAAGGAUAAAUUAUUAAUUAAAAAAUUUAUUAAAUAAUUGGUUGACAGGGUAAAGUCAUAGCUUCAAAUAACUCCUUCCUUAAAACAAAUUGUAAUUAUAAUUGAUAUUCUAAUUAUUGUUACAAUUACAAUUUUACUAUUGCUAUUGUUACAGUAAUCUUAAUUAAAUAUUAUUAUUAUAACAAUUGUAACUGUUGAUGGAAUUAAGAUUAAAUUUGUUAUUACGAUAAUUCUUAUAGUAAUUACGGUUAUAGUUGUAAUUAAAAUUGUAAUUGUAACUAUAAUCAUAUUGUAAUCGGAAUUACAAUUGAAAUAAAAGUUGUAAUCGUUGUUCUAAUUGAAUUUGGAAUUAAUAUAAAAAAAAUUAAUAUUGGAAUUAUUGUUGUAGGAUACAUAAUUGUAAUUGCAAUUGCAAUUGUAAUUUUAAUUGCAGCUGCAAUUGAAAUUUAUAUUGCAACUCAAAUUAUAAAUUGUAAAUAUAAUUAGAAUUGUUCAACAAACAAUUGCUCGAAAAAGGUGUCCGCGCCAUUUUUCAUCUAUGAAAAAGAAAGAGAAACAACAGUAACCAAUUUCUGAGAGCAGUACAUUGACUUUCUUGUUUCUUCGGUAUGUUGUUGCUGCCGGUUUCCCGCAAACUCUCAAUUAUAUUUCAAAACAACUUCAACCGCUGAUUGAAUAAGGCAUGAGAUUAGGGAUGGCAAAAAUCCCCACGGGGACGGGUACCCUCGGAGAUUUUUCCCAUUCGGAGAGAGUAUGGGGAUAAUUUCAUACCCAAUUUCUUAUUCGAGGAGGGGACGGGGAAAUUUUUUUACCCAAUUUCUUAUUCGGGGAGGGGACGGGGAUGACUUGGAAUCCCCAUCCCCUACCCAUUUCCCCAUUUUAAUUUUUAAUUUUAUUUUAAUUUUUUAAAAUUACUAGUAAAUAAAUAAUAAAAUUUAAAUUAUAAAAUUAUAAAUAUUGGUAAAAAUAAAAAAUAUCAAAAUAUUUAUAUUAUUAAACUUUUAGGCCUAAUUAACUAAUUAAAAUCCUAAAUUUUAUUUAGGACAUUAAAAAGACCGAGUAGAUUCUAUUAGCCAAACGUUUUUUUUUAAAUUUUAAUAUUCUUUAAAUAUUUUAAACUUAAAUCUAUUUUUUAUUUAUUUUUAGAUGUUAUAAUUGCCCACAGUGAAUCACAAUUUUAAUAUCUAAUCUAAUCUAAUAUUUGCUUUUGAUUUGCUUCGAUUUAACUAUUGUGUUGUAAAGGGAAUAAUCCACAUUUAUAAAGUGCCCACGCCACCAUUGAAAAGUUAAUUUUGAAUCUAAAUUCGAUUUUAUUUGUAACAAUUUUGUAUUAGACUAUUAAUUUGUUCAUGAUAGUUUGUAAAAGAAGUUUGUAUCUCUUGCAUAUUGCGUUACUUACUAAUUUAAUGUAUAUGACUUUUGUAAUAGAUAUUAAUGUAAGAUAUAUUUCAAACUUUACUUUUAUUUGAAUUUUUUAUUUUAAUAUGAUUAACUCAAAAUAAAAAAAAUGUAUUAGUUAUUCGGGGAUCGGGGACCCUCGGGGAUCCUCUGUUAUUAUUCGGGGAGGGGAUGAGGAUUCUCUCAAGUAAUUCUGACGGGGACGGGGAGGGGACGGGGACAUACGUAAAAUAUCGGGGAUAGGUACGGGGAGAUCAGUCCCCUCCCCUCCCCUCCCCUCCCCAUUGCCAUCCCUACAUGAGAUCCAGCGUUCUAUAUUUUUUUAAAAUAUUUUAUUACAUGCGACCGCACGGUAGAAAUUUCUGUUUUUCUGUUUUUUCUUUUUUAAAGCCAUCUGAGUCUUUGGAGUAAGCCAUUGACGUGAUGGUUUUAAACUGCAAUGUCUACAAUGACAUAGACUCUUGCCUUAUCCCAUCGUUAACAGGAAAGGCUCUUUCUUUUUCCUUCAUAAUUGAUAACAAUGCAUGUUAACAUCAAAGAAAAUUACAAUUAAUUGAAAAAAUAGUAAAAGAAUAUGUAAACACUAUAAAAUAUUAUAAUUAAUCGAAAAAAUAUGUUAAUACUAUAUAAUUUUAUGAUUAUUUCUAUUACUCUUAAUCCUUAUGAAUAAAUAUAAGGUUAAAUUCGAAUUUAAAUUCUCGUGUAAAUUGUCCAUCUUAAAACAAUUUCUUAUUUUUAAAAAUCUUAAUUUACUUUCAUUUUUAUUAAGAAAACAAAAAAAAUAAUAAUUCAUUAACCUACCUUUAUUUUUUCUUUAUCUUUUUAUUUUUUAAAUAAAAAUAAAAAUAUUUUGAGAUUUUUAAAAGUAAAAGACCAAUUUAAAUGUAGUCAAUUAAAAAAAAUUAAUCUAAAAUUUAUCCAUAAAUAUAUAUUUCGUUUUAUAAAUGCAUGGGUUCCAAAGUAUGACCGGAGAGAAAGUCACGGGCAUUGAUCUUCCUCCGGUUCCACGGAUCCUUGAAAAUAUUAUAUUGCCUAAUAUAUCCCCGAGCUAUUAUUAGUUGAAUGUUUAUAUUCAAAAAGAGUAUUUUAUUCUCUAUCUAACGAUGAGUUAUUAUUAAUAAUGAUAAUAAUGGGGCACUUUUUUUAUAUUAAAUUAUUUGGUAUUUAAAGACUCCAUUGAGCCCUACUAAUUCAAAUUCAAAUCAAAUAAGACUAUUAGAGCGACAAAACUUUUCGAAUAAAUAUUGAGUGAAGCCAUUGGCACCCUCUUAUUAAACUUUUAAAACCCAUAUUUCUACAAUUACAUUUAAGGAUAAAUAUAAAUCUACUAUAUUUUCUCUUUAUAAAGUACAAACAUACAAUUUUUCACUGUUUACAAUUUCUUGGCAUUCAUCAUCAAUUCCAUUCCAAAUAUCAAUGAAUUGUUUGAAUCUCAGGCAUCCAAAAAACUAAAACAAAGUGUUAUAGACCCAACAAUCUUUUGUUUGAAAAAUCUCAUGAUUAUCCAAUGGCUUAGCAUAAAGGAGUGGGACUAAAAGAAUUUAUAAAACGGCAAAAUUACAAGAGAAAAAGAAUUCAAGAGAUGGACGGGAAAUUACAUGAAUGACGAGACCAAAAGCAUAACAUGAGAUAGUGGCAUAAAUAUUUCUGAUAUUUAUUGUUGGGUAUUGCAAAGAAAAUCAAAUGUAGAAGAAGGGCAGUUUUGGAAUUAAAGUGGGUGCUAAUAAUAACGAUAAAUUUUAUAUCAUUGUUUAAUGCGGUGUACUUAUAAUAGGGGUUUUAAAAAGAUAUUAGAGGGGUGCCAAUAGCCUCACUCUAAAUAUUUAACGUAGAUGCAUUCUCAAGAUUUAAACCAAGGACUUUCAUUAAGUUAGAACAACUUUAUGUUAACUUAUCUACGCACUUGUUGGUAAAGAGACUUCAGUCAAAUAAAUGGGUGGGAAUUAGUUUAAUGUUAGAUAUUACUAUCAUUAUUAUUAAUACUAGAGAUGAGCCAAUCAAUUUUCACUAUUACAAUCGACUAUUGUUAAUGCCUAAAAUAUUGUUACCAUCGAUGUGUCAAUCUUCUAAUUUAACUAAUAUUAAAUAUAUCAUUUAAUUAAAUGCAAGGAAAGAUUAAUAAUUCCUUUUUCAUUAAUACAAGCAUCUUUAAUUAAUAAGAUUAUUUUUCUAAUUAUUCUUUUGUUAAGAAAAAAAAAAGGUUGGACGUGGAUGAAAAAUGUUUGUUCAUUAAACACUAAUUCUUGUUCCUUAUUAUUACUUUAAACCAUAUAACUAUCGGUGCAGAGCGCAAUCACGACUAUCUGAGCAAAGCCUAUGGCACUAUUAUGAUUGAUAAAGCAAGGGAUAGGUUAUUCAUCUUUCAAUAUUGAAUCAUCAACUAUUAAUAAAACACUUACGUGGUCUAAUAUGUCUCACACAUAAUUAAAUAUAAUUGAUAGUAGUAAUAAAAAUAGUUAUAAAUUAUGAUUCUACUUUACAUCGACUGAAAAUAAAUAUUAGGUUAAAUAUCAUGUUCUCCAUGUGUGGGUCUCACUUCGAUAUUAUAUAAAAAUCCACUAAUUUACUCAUAUUUAAAAGCUAACUCAAGUUUAAGGGUUGCUUCAAAUUUAUAUUAUUAGCCCAAUAAUUAUUAUCAUCAGUUGGAUAUUAUCCUCAAUAUUAACAUACAACUCUAUUGAUUACCAUAUUAAUUAGAUACAAAAUUUCAGAUCGAUUGUUCGGAAAAAUGCUUGGCACGUAUGUGCCGAUGUUAUUGAUUCUUUGACUCUAUACGGAGAAAUAACACUAUCCACUUUGUAAUUAAACUUUGUAUGCCAUAUAUAACGGUCAAAAUUUUUUAUUACCUGUCACAUUAUUUUUCACAGUACCUAAAUAAUCUUUUGUUAUAUUUAUAAAUUUAUACAUCAAAAUUAGAGUGUACACUGAAUGUGACAAACAAUCUAAUAAAACGAACAAAAAAAUUUGUAACUAGCGCACCGUGGCAGGCGGCUAUAAGGGGUAUUGGUGCCUUGUGCGAAAUUUUUUUAGGUCUUUUUUAAAAUUGAAAUAAGAUAAAAUUUAUAAAGUUAUAAAAAAAGCUAAAAAAAUAAAUCUUAAAUUCAUAUUUUUUAAAAGGUGAGACUACUUAAACUGUGAAAAAUAUUCUGGAUAAUUUUUUACUUUAAACACUCAUCUGUUAAAUUUUUAAAAUAAUUUUUUACUAACACACUUUGAAAAAUGACAAAAUAGCCCUAAAUCUCUUUCAUUAGUCGGACAAUUUUAUUCUCUCUACAACCCCAUCAAGGCAGGCAUUCACAAUCAAACUGGGGUUAUAUCUUCUUGUUCAACAAAAAACUCAUCAAUAAUCUAGAAUCAAAUCUAAGCCAUUAUGCAAGUCUUGCGUUGUAUCCAACGGUGAGUUUGAAAAAGACAAAAAAUGGGACACCAAACCCCAGAGGCAACGUAGCUGGACCCUUAUCAUGAACCAGACGCUGAAAAGAAAAUUGUUGGAAAUUUUGUUUCCAUAAAUAUCAACGAAAGUUGAACAAAAUUCAAAGACUGCUAAGAAUUCUUGUUUUUGAAUAUUCAGUAUACACCUUAAGUUAAACAAUAAUAAAAAAUAAAAAAUCUUGUCAGGGAAAAAUCAAGCCGCAGGAUUUCUUAAAAUCGAUUUUAAGAAGAUUACAAAUAAAGUGAAGUAACAAACCCGCUCUUCUUUAUCAGUAGAUAAAAAAUAAUAAUAAUAAUAAUAGUUAAUUUGUAUAUCUCACGUAGUCUUAUUGUUAUUGCUGUACGAUUAAUGAAUUGAAGUAUAAAAAUUAUGGAGAUGUAGAUAUAUAAAAUUCAAGUGUAAAAUAAUGAUCAAGAUGUAGAUAGAUAAAAUUGUAAUGGGUGUUAAAAGCCAUAUAAUUUGUUUGGUUUUACAAAAUUGUCCUUUAUAAUAAAUUAAAUGGUGGCUAUUUCAGGAAUACAAGAUUUGAUUAAAAUUUAAGUGUUCAAGAUAUUUUUUGAUGGACAAACAGUCACACUUUUUUUAAAUUAAAAAAAAAAUCAUAUCUUUCUACGGUUUGUUUGUAGACUUUUCAUACCUAGAUUUUCUUUGUAGACAUAAUAGUAAACGACGAACAAAUAAUACCAUAAUAUUUUAGGAAAUGAAAAUAAAAUAUAAAAACAUAAUAAUUUCUAAUUGACUGUAACUCCAUAUGGUAUUAUCAUGUUUUUAUCAUUAUAUUUUUCAAUUUACGGUAACUCCAUAUAGUAUUAACAUGUAUUUUAUUGUUACUGUGAAAAAUUUUCUGAAUUUUGAUAUUUUUGAGGACCCAAGCAUCAUGAUAAAUAAACUUGCACUGUUAAUCCAGUACACUUUAUCUUCGUGUAUAUAAAAGAGUAGCAAAUAUAAGCCUUGUCAUACAACUCAAUAUCUCACAAAGGUUAUCUCUGAGGAAUCUUGGUUUUAUUGACAACAUGAGACCACUCUUUGUUCUCUGCACACUUUCGGUGCUUCUCUUGGUAUGAUUUUUAAGUUGAAUGUUAUUAUUCAUUUAGAAGUUAAUUUCUGCAGAAAUAUUAGAACUGGCAAUUUCUAAUCUUUUUAUUAGUUUUUGCAUUAAUAUAGUGAUUGGUCUAAUUGCUAUCUUUGUUUUUCUUUUCGUAUUUCAGCUUGCAAGCACAAUUGAUGCAAGGAAAAACCUGGAGGAAUAUUGGAGAAUUGUCAUGAAAGGACAGCCUAUGCCUGAAUCAGUCCAAGACCUACUUGCCGUGGAUCGUGCCGCUUCUACCACCGAUGAGAAUGCUGAUCAAAAGUCAAAUCCUUUAAUUGUAUCCUAUAAUGUUCAGCCGUCCGAGGUGGAAUCCUUGGCCAAGAAUUUUAACCCGAGGCCGAAUAUUUUUUUCUACGGUUUCCACAACAGUCAUAACGACCAGCCAUCCGAGGUGGAAUCCUUGGCCAAGAAUUUUAACCCGAGGCCGAAUAUUUUUUUCUACGGUUUCCACAACAGUCAUAACGACCAGCCAUCCGAGGUGAAAUCCUUUGAUAAAGACGUAUUGAAACCUGAUAAUAAAGUUGACGCUAAUGCUUAAAUGAAAAUCAUGUUUUCAUCAACGGAGAGAAUUAGCCCCUAAUGAUGUUAAGCAACUGGUCUACUCUCGUCUGUCGUCAUAAUAAGCGUUUGUAUUAGGUUUUUCAAUUAAAUAAGUGGCCGGCGGCCUAGUGCUCUGGCUAUGUUAUUGUGUGUGCGGGUCGUUACUUUUGCUGUACAUGGUAAUGCGAAAGAGGUAUGCAAAUAAGUUGAUGCAGUUGAAGGAUGUGAUCAGUGUAAAAUAUUAUUGGAUAAAAGCGUAUGUUUAAGUUCUUCUUCUCUUUAUUUAUUUUUGUAAAUGGGCCCAAUUGAAUUUUCUUACUGAUGAAUGACAUACAUAACCCUUAUCAGCGCAAUGGGAAAAUUAGCAAAAGCAAUGAAAUUAAACUAGCAAAAGAUUUAAAAAUUUUGAUGACAUUUUUGUUUAUUAUAGAGAUGGUAAAUUGAUUGAUGAGCACCGACCCUCCAUUUAUAUAGAGAUUCAUAACAUACAAAAGGAAAUAAUGAUACAACUAUAAUUUUGAGAAUUUAAUUUAUUGAUAGUGGUUGAGUCAAUUAUGGGCUUAACUCUGUGCCUUGGCUAUUGGCAAUAGCCCACCCCAAAGCAGUCGUCCUGUGAUCUCUAAAAUUAAAUCCCAAAACUCAUUAUAUAUAAACCACUCAAGUCUUAGCUUCCUUUCACAUAUGAUAUCAGUUAUUUUUCUUUAUUUUUCCAACUCUAGGAGAGUAUUUUGAGUGUCAAUUUAUUCUUUACUCUAAAGUGUAAAUAUUCAUUUAGUCUUUAUAUUUUAAUUUAAUUGUCCGUUUAGUUCUUAUAUUUUAAAAAACGUCUCCAAACACUGGUGCUGUUAAAUAUAUUAUCUCAUACCCUUACUUUUUCUUUUCUUUUAUAAUAAUAUUAUUGUAACCAUUUUUUUUUUCCUUCUUGAGGAUAUUAAUGUAAAGAAAAAAUGUUAAUUUAACAAAUUAGCUUGUAAGUAACAUAAAAAUUUCCACAAAAUGUUAUUGUUUUACUUUUAGGAUUAAUUUGGUAAAUUAAUUUUUUAUAAAAUAAAUAUUAAUAAAAUUGUAACAAGGAUAUUGAACAUUUCUUUAAGUUGGCUAAUAAUAAUUAAUUUAUAAAUAAAUUAUUAACAAGAUUAUUUCACAGGUACAAAAAAUACUAAUUUUUUAUAUUGAUAUUUAUUGGUUAAUUUUCUAAUAAAUAGUUAUUGGUCAAUUUGCUAAUUAAAUUUUUAUAGACAAAUUAAUUAAUGUUAAGAAUAUUAUUGUAAGGGUAUUAUUUUAAAAGUAAAUAACACUUAAAAGCAAGAAUGUAACAUAUUUAACUAUAACAGUAACUUUAAGGCAUUUUUUUAAAAUAUAAAAAGUAAAUGAACACUUAACUCAAAUAUAUAUGAAUUAAACGAAAAAUUGCUCCCAAAACAUCAUUUUGAGCAUGCAAAUAUAUCAUUUCAAAAAGUUCUUAUAGAGAUAACUCAUAAUCUUUCGCUUAUAACGAGGACCACCCUGAUAGUUUGAAAUAAUUUCAUUUGAAUAACAUGUUUUAUUUGCAAAUGACUUUUCAACCUCCUUUAAAUUUGUUGUAUUGUUAUUUUUUCUUAACAUAAAUCUUUAAGAAUCUAUUUCUAAUAGACUAGAUAUGAUAUCUAAUAGACUAUCUAAAACAAAUUAAAUAAAUAAGUUGUAAUUUAUUAAAAAAUUAUUGCUUUUAUGAUGGUAAUUAAUGGUGACAAUAAAAAAAAAUUCAACUCAAUAAUAAGAAAAUUCUAUGAUGGAGUGACUAAAAUUACAAUAUCCAUGACGAGAUAAACAUAAAUUUUACAAAUUAUACAUAAGACUAGUAAAUAUAAUAAGUAAAUUAAUAUAACAGUGGUAAAUUGGUGUUUUAAAAUCACAAACAAAACAAACACUUAGUAAAAGUAAUACAAAACUUGUAAAUCAACAAUAAACUUUAAUUAAGUAAAAACAGUUUAUCCAUUUAAUUUAAUUAAACAAAAAAUUAACUCAUCAAUUGGAAACAAAAAAAAAAUUGUAUUGAAAACAAUUGGAAUAAGUUUUAUUGAAUUGGUAUACAAGUUAAUUACGUGAAAUUAUUUUUCUUAAUGUGGAUCAAGCCAAAACAAAAUAAAAAGAUAUUCUUAUAUUACUAGACAUAGGUGAUAUAUCAAUAAAAUUGGAUCUAAUUUUCAGUUUAACACAUAUUUUAUGUAGUUUUAACUUUGAAACUCCACUUCUUAAUUGUACUUAAAGAUCAUUCAGGUUUUCUGUCAAUAGGGUUUAGAAUAAUACAAAAUCACCUUAUCUUACAAAUAGCUAGCUUUCAAAAACAUGAAAAGAGUAGUUUUUUAAAAUUUGACUUUGAGAAUUAAUUUUAUCUUAAAUAGAAUUUUACAUAUAUUAUUACAUAUAUUACAUAAAUCCAAGACUAUCAUUUUUUUGUUUAAAACGAAAACCAGUAAAUAUAUAAGGUAAUUAUUAUUAUAAAGUUACACAUUUUGACAUUUGUAGUAAGAACAUGAGAGGAUACCUGGAGUGUAUUGGGAUUUGGGCUGAAGAGAAAGGAGCCCUUGGACUUGGGAAACAAAUGAAAUUAUCUGCAUGGUCCUUGUACUCAUGGAGGGACUGUAACUUCUGAACCAACAAUGCUGAAAAUGCAGGGUCAAAAAUCAACAUUAACUUGAUGAAUAAUUGUUUGAAAAAAAAAAGGAAGAAAACUUGAUUAAUAUAAAAGAGAGCAAAGGAGCACAACCAUACAGAAGUUGUACAAAGGAAUAUUAAUCAAGCUUGAUUAAUAUUCUUCUUCUAUCCAACACCACAACAUGAAACCCAGUAUUCCUGUUGCAGUAUGGUGAGAACUGUGAAGUGCAGGAAGUAGUUUCCUAAGAGAGAUGAUUGAAUGCUCUUAAUUUUUUUUUUUUUCAGAAAAUCAUUUUAUUUUAAUAAAAGUUUAUUUUUUCUUAAUAAAAAAUUUCAUUUGUUUUUAUUAAGUUGUGUCUCAUAUUCACUAAUAAAAGAAAGUUAUUUGGAUAUAUAAGUAGGAUACCUCAUCUAAUAUGCUAGUAGGAUAAAUCUCUCAUCUAAUAUGCUAGUAUUUUGAGUUAAAUACCCAUAAAUUUUAAGCCGAGUCCACAACAGUCCCCAGAUAACUGAUUUAAGUCCUAGCUACACCAGUAGAUUGAAUAGAAGUGCAAAUAAGUUGAACUCUUUUGUCAUUCAUUUUAGUCCUUUUUUUUUGUCACAUACAUUGAAAAAGGAUAACUCUGUCGUGAUUGUCAUGGCAGAGCCUAUUUCAAACGGUGGUGUAUGCUAAAGGAAAUUAUCAUGAGAUGAGUGAUAAACCAUACAGUCAGUAGCUAAAGCCCAUCAUUAAUCAGCCACAUGGCCACAAAUAUUAUUGGCGGCAAAUAUCUCAACAAAAUCACAAUAAAGAUGAGCAUCCUCGAAGAUUUGUCAUCAACGAUCCCUUAUUCUAGACACCAUCUUUAUUUUGAGCAAGUAUCCUUCAUAUUCCUUAUGUACAAAUGAUUCCAUUCCUUAAUGUAAAUAGGACAGCCUGUCUAGCCAUUACUCUUAAGAGAUUUGGCUGGCUUUGACACUUGUAUAUAAGCUUGUAACCCUCUCGUUCUUUACAAGAAAUAAGAUAAUAUUUUCAGCAUAAUAUUUCUUUUCAAUGAGAUCAAAGAAAUGAAAAGAGAUAUAGUCUAUUAGGUUCGCAAAUCUACUGAAACAAUAUUGUUUCCAAUCAACUCCGAAAUACAACCAACUGAACAACGUUCGGAAAUCGAAAAUCAUUUAUUACCAGUAAGAUUUAUUAUUAUACGCUAGACAUAUGGCUUUAACAGUCACAUUACCACUACAUUUUUAAUCAUGGUAGGUAGGUGCUGGAAUGUAUACAAUAUUAUCAGCCUGGAAGAAAUGGCAGACAUGGGAGCUCCCUGGCUCGAUCCCAAGCACACGAAACGAUGCAUGAUCUGGACUCCAAUGAGACGUAUCCAUGUGGCAAACUGCUACAGCUUCCACUCUAUCUCCAUUAUCACCACCUAAUGAAACACCGAAUAACUUGUUCUCAGUCAUUUGGCUGUGGCAGUAGAAGAUUGCAUAAGGGUAAGGCAUGAUAUGACAUGCCACCAUCUUGGGAGCAAACAUUGGUUUAGGCACUUGUAAAAUAGUGUAAUUUUGGAAAAUGGUAGUUGAUUUUGUGAGAAAUUUUGUGCUUAGAACUUGGAAUUUGGUCUCCAAUCCGAAAGUUCCGUGUACAAAAUCAAGCAUGGAUUCCAAAGAGGUCGCACAAAUUUUGGUUUCUCCUUCGAUGGGAGGAACUUCGCAAUGAUUCAGGGUCCCUUCCAUGGCUUUGGCUAGGGAUGAAUCAUCUGAGAACGAGAAGAAUUGAAGAAGGUAAGGCAGUUGUUUCAAUGAAAAUGGAAUGGAAUCUGCUUCUUCUCUAGGCAAAGCCUGAGGAUAAGCUGAAGGAUCUCUCUUGCGAAAAUAAAUCGGCAUCGUUUCGCCAAUCUUUAGAUCCUUCAAGGCCAUCGUUGAAGGGUCCAUGUGAUUCAUGUGGGAUGGUAUUGAAUGAGAAUCAUGAAGAUUCUCCGAAAGCACCUGAGCACACUGUAAAACAGUUGAGCAAUUCAAUAUCACAACAUAGAUGAAAAAUCAACAACACAAGUUCUAUAAAGUGUAAAACUGAAGGAGCAAAAUAUAUCUUUUUGAGUUAUUGCUUUAAGACAACACUUAUGUACAUGUAUUGCAAAGUAAGCCACUUAAUUAGCACACAUUGAGGAUUAUUACCAGAAAGAGUAGAGAAAGAAGGAGGUUCCAAGCUGAAAAUCGUAACCCCAUCUCUUUUCUAUUAUCGAAGUUUGUUAUAUAUUUUAGUAAUCUUUUUUUUUUCAGGGAGAAGAAACACAGAUAACAAGUGAAGCAGAAAGAGAAGAGAUUGUGUGACUGUAUAUGUCAACAACCAAAUGAUGUGUGUUGAUUUUCAAGUGGACAUUUAUAGCCUGCAUAAGCUGAACUUGUUCUACUGUGCUGAUUAAUUGAAUCACAACACAGUUUGAAUAAUGACCUUAAUAGUCCAAUCCAGCAAAGAAUUCAGCACUCCAAUCAUUUGGGGACACACGUAUUGCACCUUCAUCAGGUCUGCGGAUUUUAAUAGUUUUGACUGAGUGAAUGAUUACUUCAAUUGAUAACAUUGCAUAUUAGAUUACCAGACCUAAAAUUGAUUUCUUAUUAAAAAAUUUACUUGCAAUUUGGAAACUCUCUUUGACACAUUAAUUACAGACUCGAAAUCUGUAUCAAUAUUCCCCAUACAUAGACAGAACUGAGCAUAAAAAGUGGGAAGGCAGAUCGUAAACAAAUUCGACAUGGUAGUUUCCAAGGAUGAAUAGCAUUUUUUUCAUUCAAAAAUGGGAUAAUAUAUCCUUCAGUCACGUAAUGUACACUAAGGCGGCGUUUGGUUGGGAGGAGAGAACAAAGAAGAGGAAAGUAAUUUAAAUUUUCUUUUUAUUUUCAUUGUUUGGUUUGAUAAAAUAUAUAAGAAUUUAAUUUCCAUUAGAAUUUAAUAUCCAUCAUAAUUUGAAUUCCACACCAAGUAGUGAAGAAUUUAAAUUCCUCUUAUGUUAGAAACUAAAGUUUCCAAAAUUACCCUUCAACUUGUUUAAUGUCAUUAAUAAUUAUUAUUUAAUAUUAUAAAUGGAUCACCGCCGGAAAGUCGCCGGACUACCGCCGGAAAGUCACUGGAAAGUUACCGGGCCACCUCGGAAUGUUGCCGGAAAGUCACCAGACCACUGCCGAAAGUUGCCGGACGUCGCCAAAAUCCUGCCGAACGUUGCCAUAAGGUAGUUUCCAAGGAUGAAUAGCAUUUUUUUUUCAUUCGAGAAUGGGAUAAUUUAUCCUUCAGUCACGUAAUGUACACUAAAGCUCUUCUCAACCUAGUGUGCGUCGGAUAUGUGAGCGUCGGGGCUCCAAUCUCCCGUACAAUCUUUAAAAUUUUGUUUGGUCAAAUUAACAGGCUGCACUCACUGUAUUUCCAUGGAUCACACUACUUCAACUAAAAGAUAAGAUAAUAAGUAUCUUUAGGAUUUUACUGAAUGAUUUUUAAGUAGUUUUUAUUAAUUAAUUAUUCAAAUUCGAAUUAAAAAAAGACUAAAAAAUUCAUCUGAAUUUUUCUCACUCCCAAUCUUUAAAAAUAAAACAAAUAAUAAGUCAUAUAAACAAUAUUUUAAAUGCAAUUUUCACUUCAAACAUAUUUCAUUUGAAGUUUAAUUAUAUUCUCCGAUGGAACCUGGAUAAGUUGAAAAAAAAUUUAUUAAUAAAAAAAAUGUACAUCUAAUUGUCUAACGAUGGGUCAAGAACAAAAGGUUAAAAGAUAAUAUACGUGGACAUGAUAAUGCAGAAACCGAAAAUCAAAAGGGCACGAGUUUCAAAUGCUAGACAAAUGAAAGAGACGUGUGAUUGCAGGUCGAUUUUCUUCUCAUCACUAGCCACUAGUGUUGUGCGCGGAAUGCGGAAUCAAGCGCACCAAAUAAUUAUUGAAAAAUAAAGGACACAAGAAUUUACGUGGUUCGGUAAUUAAACCUACAUCCACGGAGACAAGAAAGAAUAAUUGUUUAUUUAACAAUUAAUAGAAUACAAUAUUUGAGUAACGAAUCUCACUUCCCAGAAAACCCAAAUAUACCCAGUACUCUCACACUCUGCAAGAAAGAUAAAUUCCCCAGACACACUUCUCUCACUUCUCUCAAAAGCUUAGAAACUUAUAAGCUUGACAAUUUUGGGAUGAUUUCAAAUGAAUGAAAUCCUUAGCUAUUUAUAGACUUGAAGCUAGUAUUAUUCCACCUAACCCAAGUACUAUUUCACCUAACCCAAGCACUAUUCCACCUAACCCAUGCAAAUAUGUCAAUGGUGUCCAUUUGGCAAAUUUGACAAAUUUGCCAACUUUCCAUUUUUUCUUCAAAUGUUUGGUAGCUCUUUGAAAAAUUGCCACAUGCAUGACUUUUCAACAAUUCUCCACCUCGGCGAAAAUUUGUCCAAAUCUGAGCCGACUACCAACGAACCCUCAUCCCCAAAGUGAUCCUUCAAUAAGGAUCCAGAAUGACUGUGUCGAUUCGACUGUCUACGUACCCAAAAUUUGGGAUCAAGCCAACCGUAGUUCAAAAAUUCUCCAAACUCAACGCAUUCGAAGAAUUAGUUUCAAUCCGUAUAAAGAUUUACUCAAUCUGCACACACGAUUUUCCUUUCCAGCAACUCUGAAACCACAAGGCUGAAUCAUAUAGAUUUUCUCCUCUAAAUCUCCAUGUAAGAACGCCGUCUUAACAUCCAACUGAGCUAACUCUAACUCAUAUUCUGCAACUAAGGCAAGUAGGAUACGAAUGGAAGUAUGUUUUACAAUUGGAGAGAAAACUUCAUUGUAGUUCAUACCUUCCUUUUGAGCAAAACCUUUUGCCACGAGCCUUGCCUUGUAUCGAGGAGUUGUUUGAUUCGGAGAUCCUUGCUUUUUGGUGUAGACCCAUUUAUUGCCAAUAGCCCUUUUCCCCUUUGGUAACUUUACAAGUUCCCAAGUCUGGUUUUGAUGGAGAGAUUUCAUCUCUUCCUCCAUGGCUAGCUUCCACUGAUCACUUUCAUUGCUGCGUAAUGCUUCACCGAAAGUAUUGGGGAUGUCAUCAUCAAUAACUGAAAGUGCAUAGGCUACCACCAUAUCUUUAGUAAGCCAUCCGGGUUUUUUUAUCUCUCUUUUUGGCCUCCUUGUUGCUAUAAAAUCAUCAUCAUCUACAUCAUCAAUUGUUUUUUCAUUUUGUGGGACAUCAGAAGAAACAACCUCUUCUUCAACUUUAGGUGUCACCUCCAUAGUUGAACCAUUCUUUGAUGUAGAACUAACUUGUACAUAUGGAGUUGCAUCAAACUCCACCCGCUGCAAUACCUCUGUGGUCUUGUUCUCCACCUGCUGAGAACUUGAAGCUUUUAUCAUUGAAGCUUCAUCAAAUGUGACAUCUCCGCUACACACAAACUUUUUGUCUUCGAGAUCCCAAAGCUUGAAGCCCUUUACUCCACCUUUGAAUCCCACAAAGAUAGAUUUUUUAGCACGAGGAUCCAGUUUACCAUCUUUGACAUGAUAAUAAGCUGGACACCCGAAUACACGAAGGGAAUCAUAGUCUUGUGCAUGCUUUCCAGACCCCAUUUCCAUAUGAGUUUUACCUCCAAUUGCAGCAGAAGGCAACCGAUUUACCAAGUGACUUGCGUAGCUCACAGUUUCAGCCCAAAACUUUUUAUCUAAACCAGCAUUAGAUAACAUACAUCGUACCUUCUCCAGUAAAGUACGAUUCAUACGCUCAGCCACACCGUUCUGUUGCGGAGUAUGUCUCACCGUGAAAUGUCUUUUAAUACCCUCGUUCUGGCAUACUUGCAAGAAUGGAUCAGAAGUAUAUUCACCCCCAUUAUCAGAUCGUAAUACUUUGAUCUUUCUGCCAGUUUGAGUCUCCACCAAUUUCUUCCACUUCACGAAAAUCUUUAGAACCUCAUCCUUUGCUCGCAUGGUGUACACCCAUACACGUCUAGAGAAAUCAUCAACAAAUAUAACAAAAUAAUGGCUUCCACCAAUUGAUGCAGUCUUGGUUGGUCCCCAUACAUCACUAUGAACAUAUUCAAGGAUCUCACGAGUAUCGUGAUUAGCUGUACCAAACUUGACCCUUGUUUUCUUGCCUACUACACAAUGCUCACAGAAAUUUAAUUUACAGGUUUUGGUACCUUUUAAGAGUCCAUGCCUCAUCAGAGUUUGCAAAGACUUCUCUCCUGCAUGUCCCAGUCGUACAUGCCAUAGCUUGGUGGUGUCACUGUGCGCCUCAACAACAUUUGCUUCAUCAGUUGUACCUCUCUUCAAAUAGUACAAAUUGUGACGCCGAACCCCUUGCAGAAUCAUCAUAGCCCCAUGUGUAAACUUCAUUGUGCCAUCUUCAAUGGUAACUUUGUAACCUUUAGCUUCCAAAGCACCCACAGAAAUUAGAUUUUUCUUUAUCUCUGGAACAAAUCUAACCUAUUUGAGUUCUCUGACCAUUCCAUCAAACAUUUUGAGCCGAAUUGUUUCUAUCCCCAUUGUGCGACAAGGUUGAUUAUUCCCCAUCAUAACUGCACCGGAUUCCAGAUUACGAAAAUCCGUAAACCAUUCCUUAAUAGGACACAAAUGAUAGGUUGCUCCAGUAUCAAGUGUCCACUCACUCGAACUAGCCACGUAUGCUGCAGGAGUAAUACUUAGUGAAUAAUCAGAGUUCUCAUCUUUCCGUGCCAUGUUUGCUGCUGCUGGUUUCUUCCCAUCUCUCUUUUGAGCCUUUGGACAAUCUUUUCUCCAAUGACCCUUUUCAUGAAAAAAGGCACACUCAUCUCGAGCUAUAUUUCUGCUUCUUGAUUUGGAUCAAGAAUUCAUUCCACCACGGUUCUUCUGUUUCUCCAUCGCCCAAUCUCUGCUCACCAAAGCUUCAGACGAUGCUCGUUCAGAAUUUUUAUCAUUAUUCUGAAUCUCCAAACUAGUCAAUGCUGUGCAAACAUCUUUAAAGACGAUCACACUCUUCCCAUAUAUCAAAGUAGUCACAAAAUGGCUAUAUUCCUCUGGUAGUGAGUGUAACAGAAUCAUAGCCUUAACUUCAUCUUUAAUAUCUUCAUCAAGAUUCUUCAAAUCAGCAAGUAACUUUUCAAAUCUUGAAACAUGAUCGUGCAUUGACACCCCAGGCUUCAUUCGAAAACCAUAUACUUGGCUCAUUACAUGAAGGCGAUUUUCAGGACUUUUCACCAGGUACUUCUCCUCCAAUGUACGCCACAAAGUCACCGCACACUCCUCAUCUUUCACCAAGUAUUUCACCUCCUUGGUCAAACAAGAUCUGAUAUGACCACAAGUUUUUUCGUUCAUACGAUCCCAAAUUUCUUCAUCAUACAAGUGCCUUUUAUUUUUUAGAACAACAUCGAGAUCGAUUUGAAUAAGGGCAUCCAUAACUUCGCGCCUCCACAUGCCGAAGUUGAUUUUCCCAUCAAACUUUUCAACAUCGAUCUUUUGGCCUCCUAUAACAUGUGCUGAAUAGCGAUUUGAUAAAUCUCGCCUCCCACCUGAAGUGUCUCCUGAAAUAGUCUCGGUAGAUAUCUCCCUAAUUCUGGAAGUUUCACCUUCUACCAUUUUCUCAACGAACUAUUUCCACUUAAAAAACAGUCUCUAUGAUGUUAAUUUCGCGUGAAUAAAUGCACCAGGAAAGUUCCCAGGAAACUGGACGGGAACUCGGUCCCAAUUAAAAACCAGAAUCCUUAGACUCUUAUCGCCUUUUUUGACAGAACUUUCCUAGACAUGCAAAAAUACACACUACUUACAAUAGACUGUCUCCCAAGUACAAAUGGCCGUCUCCACCGUAUUCGUAAAUAGUGCCGUAUAUGUGAACAGUACCGUAUACGUGAACAAUACCGUAUACGUGAACAGUACUGUAUCCCCCAAGUACGAACCGUCGGCUCUGAUACCACUUGUUGUGCGCGGAAUGCGGAAUCAAGCGCACCAAAUAAUUACUGAAAAAUAAAGGACACAAGAAUUUACGUGGUUCGGUAAUUAAACCUACAUCCACGGAGGCAAGAAAGAAUAAUUGUUUAUUUAACAAUUAAUAGAAUACAAUAUUUGAGUAACGAAUCUCACUUCCCAGAAAACCCAAAUAUAUCCAGUACUCUCACACUCUGCAGGAAAGAUAAAUUCCCCAGACACACUUCUCUCAAAAGCUUAGAAACUUAUAAGCUUAACAAUUUUGGGAUGAUUUCAAAUGAAUGAAAUCCUUAGCUAUUUAUAGACUUGAAGCUAGUACUAUUCCACCUAACCCAAGUACUAUUUCACCUAACCCAAGCACUAUUCCACCUAACCCAUGCAAAUAUGUCAAUGGUGUCCAUUUGGUAAAUUUAACAAAUUUACCAACUUUCCAUUUUUUCUUCAAAUGUUUGAUAGCUCUUUGAAAAAUUGCCACAUGCAUGACUUUUCAACAACUAGCACACAUCCCCUUAAUCAAAAUCUUUUUCAAUAUUGUUUAUUAUAUAAAUGGAUAUUGGUAGUGGUUGAACUUCUAUUAUUUAAUUAUGUUGUCAUUUUCCAUCACUACAACAACAGAUGAUUCAAGUAGGAUCGAUCAAUAAUUGUCGCCCAAUGUUUUGUCUUUUUCAUAAUUUAGUUAUUUUUGUUCAUAUGUCUGACGAAGAAGUUUUAAUUUUGCAAGAGGAAUUCAAGUUGAUAAGACCUUGUCGACUUGUCUUCUGCUGAAGAAUCUUGAAUAAUCAUGCCAAAUUCAAAAAGUGGCAAAAGCAAAAGGCUAAGUUCUUAAUGAAUUCAAUAUUAUUACGAAUUUGGUGCUAGCUCAAUCUUGAAAAUGAUCCAAAAAUUAAAAAGUAAACAUAUAAUAAUCACAUCUACAAAUGUACAUUAUUAGUGAGUCAUUGAUGAUAUCCCAUCACGAAUUCAUUAGCUGACUAAUUAAAGAUACCACGAAAAUAUUAUAUCAUUAGCUGGUCUAAAAAAGUAGUCAAUAAGAAAAUGAAAGGUAAAUUCAUAAAUUUCAGCCGGAAUUUUUUUUUUUUUUUUUAAAAGGACCAAUAAUUGUAGGAAAUGGCUAGCUUCUUAUCCUCUUCACAAAAGAUUAAAUCCUCUUGAAAAGGUUUGUUACUGAAAUACAUAUCAUAUUACACCAACACUCUCUAUUACCAUAUGAAUUUAGAUCUUCCCCUAACUUAAUAUUUCAUAUAAUAUUGUAGGAAUAAUCUUCAUCACCGGAGAUUAGGAUCUUCUCCUAACUUAAUAUCUCAUAAGUGUUGUAUGAGAUUAUUUAGCUCAUGUCAUUAUAUUUUUCUAAAGCUAGGAUUUAAUUUACUUUAUACUUUCCUUAUUAAACAUUAAAACCAAUAAUUUUCUAGGCUAAGUAAAACCAUGAAAUUCAAGUGUGCCGCUUUCUAACCAAACUGCUGCUUCUUUCUCUACCGUUUUUUUUUUUUUUUUUGGUCACAAACUUUAAACUGUGGUAUAUAUAAACUUGAGCAAAGAAGCAUUAUUGGUAGGAUUGGCAAUGAGACGGGAUGGGAUGAGAUUUACCAAUCCCACUCCCGUCCCGCAUAUAUAAUUGAGAUAAAAAAAUGUCUCACUCCCAUCCUUCAAUUUUUUUAUGGGACCAAAAUAUAUCCCAAUCCUGUCCCAAAUUGCCAUCCCUAAUUAUUGGCAAUUCAUUCUUUUAAGAAUUGUUUAUGUAAUGGAAUCAGACCAGAACAGAAUGCAUUAUUGUUCGAUAUACGUAGUCUACAAUAACAAUUGAAGACACCUGAAGAUAAUAUCAAUUAUAGACAAUUGUUAUUGCAAUAUAUUCAAUGCAUUGUUGCUAUCGCUUGUCUGCAAUUAAUUUUAUAUAAAUUAAGCUGAUAUAUCUCAUUUCAGUGUACUAAUAAUUAAGUUGAACGUUGAUGCAGCUACUGCUAUUUCCAGGAACACAGCUUUCUAGGAGCCAUUAUUCGUAAUGUGAGAAGGGAGAUUAAUUAUGGCAGUAGCUAUCUAAAGUAAAAUUUUGGAGAUCUUGAAUUCGCAGAAGCAGAAGCAAUGAGAUUUGGGAUCGAAAUAUGCAAACGGCACAGGUCUAUUUCCAUUCAUUAUUGAAUCAGAUACUAAGAAUGUUGUCAAUCUUGCUGCAGCACUUGAAAGUACUAGAAAAGAGAUUCUUUGAGUGAUAUAUCUCUGAUAUUUAAUUGUUGGCUAGACAACUGGCAAUUUCAAAUUUGUAUUCAUUCCUAGAAUAUGUAACGUGGAAGUUCAUAGAUUAGCUAAACUUGCAGUUAGCGAUCAGAAAGCCGUAUUGUUUGGAUUGAGAAUAUUCCUAUAGAUGUAAAAUCUUAUCAUUUUUGAAGAAUUUUUUACUUUGAAAAUAAAAUAAUUAAGGGCCAUCUCUAUCGUUGCGAAUUGUAACUCGUAGACUUUGCGGUCCACAUUAUGAAUUUAAAAUUCUUGCAUGAUUAAUCACCCACAUGAGCAUGCUCCCCCAACCUGCCACAUCAUGUUACCACUUCUUCCAAUCUGUGUAUACACACACACACACACACACACCAGUAUGGCCUCCAUGCAAAUCACAAACGCAGUAUCUAAUAUUGUUUGUCACUGGCAAGAAACAUGAAUAUUAAAGCCUUCUUUGUUCUCUCCACAGUGCUCUCAUUGCUUCUCUUGUUAUGUAUCAUUUGAUCAGUAAUAAUGUUAGGUUAAUCACAAAUUCAUUAUAUAAAAUAUUUUGUACAAAAUUGAUAACACAUAAUGUACAGUAUCGAUGUGAUAAGAACACCACACAACCCGAUCAUUAUUUUAUAUUUCCAUUCAACCAAUACUAUUUUAUCACAUCAGCUUUAAGAGUAGCUUAAUUAUAGCUAGCUCUAGCAUUACUCGUUUUGAUUCAAAUGAUUUUCGAAUUUUUAUCAUUUGCAUGGUCAAUAUAUAGUUCCUCUCUCUUUUUUUUAUUUUUUAUUAAUUGUUUUCCUUGUGUGCAGUUUGCCAACAUGAUAGAUGCAAGAAAAUACCAUGGAGACGAUUGGAGUAUUGUCGUGAAAAAUCAAGACAUGCCUUGGGAAUCAACUCAAGGUCUCAUUCCCGAAGUUCAAGGCCCGACCAUCUCUAAAACCAAAGCCUAUUGCCAUACACAUGAUGAUUCUGAGCACACCAUGGAGAAGCCUUUUGUCAAUAAGAACUUUGAGCUGAUGCCUGAUGUUUCAAUCUAUGACAACGGUAUUAAGCCAACCAAACAAAAGGCUUUUGCCAAGCACUUCGAGUUCUUGCCUGAUGUUUCAAUUUACGACAACGGUAUUAAGCCAACCAAACAAAAGUUCUUCGCCAAGGACUUCGAGCUCAUGCCUGAUGUUUCUAUUUAUGACAAUGGUGUAAAGCUAGCCAAACAAAGGUUCUCCGCCAAGGACUUCGAACUCAUACCUGAUAUUUCAAUUUAUAACAAUGGUGUAGAGCUAGCCAAACAGAAGGCAUUCGCCAAAGGCUUCGAGCUCAUGCCUGAUGUUUCAAUUUAUGACAAUGAUAUUAAACCAACGAAGAAGAGUUCAUAUGCCAAGGACUUUGAGCUGAAGGCUGAUAUUUCAAUUCAUGAACCGACCGAACAAAAAUAGGUAAUUAGCAUUACGGAUCUGCAGCCAGAUGCUACAAUUUAUCAUAAUUAAAUAGAUGAUCAUGCUUGUAAUCAGGCGCAGGAUGGAGUCUCUUACCAUAUUUAAUGUUCUAGAAGAGUAGCCACAUACGUGCAAUAACGCUUUCCUUGUUUGUGUGUGUUGUCAAAAGCGCUGUUUCUAAAGUAAUGUAAUAAGUGCUGAAAUAACCCAUGCAAUAAAAUCAUGUCAUGCGUCUUUAAUUUUUUUUUUCUCUCUCUCUUAAACAAUCUUAUGAUAGAUUAUUUACAAGUUAUAAUUUAUAAAGAGAGAAACUAUAUUAAAAUAAUGCUUUUUACAUAAAUAUUCUAUCCAUUAAUCUCGUAUAGCUAAUUAAGUUUGUUUUUUUUUUUUUUAUUUACAACGACAUCCUUAGAUGUUUAAAUUGUUUUUUUUUUAAAGGUAAAAGGGUUGGGUCAAUCAAAAUUAAUUUUUUCACCCUGAUCUCUUUGAGAUUCGAACUUAGGUGGCUAGCUAACUAAGAUUAUUUGAAACCAUUCGGUUGGGUUUCUAGGGGCCUUGGAUGUUUAAAAUUUGUAUUUUGAAUUGUUAUUCAGAUGGAACAAUAUAAUUAACUUUAAUUUCAAAGUCAAUUUGACCCUAUUUAAUUUUGAGAUGCUGUUACUUUUAAACUAGCUACUUGGGAAAAAAAAAAGUCGUAACCUUAAAAUAAAAAGUGAUACUGUGUGGAAAAUAUGAUUUUAAAUAAUAAUUUUGACAAAAUAGCAAAGAAAUAUUAUUUAAAUUAUUAUUACCAGCCAAACAAAAAUAGGUUUUUUAUUAUACAAAUGCAAGAUCAAAUCAACUUAAUUUUUGAGUUACAACAACUACUACUUACUAAACACUUUGAUGUCAAUACCAAAUAGGCCUCUUUUUUCCUCUCCCUCUCUAAUUUGUAAGACUACCCAACCAUAUAUUGUAUAAUAUUCAAUUAUUAUAUUAACUAGUUUUAUUUUCUUAUGAUCACAUGAUAUCUUUUUUUUUUCAAGAAUCUGAACAGAUAAUGGUUUUAAAGCUCAGAAGUAGAUCUGAUUCUAAAUAUUUGGAAAUUGAAAAAAAAAAAAAACUAAUUCACAUUUGCAGAAGAAGGUAUGUACUUGAUAACUUGAACGCCAUGAUGGUAUAUAAUUAAAUUUAACUAUUGUUAUAUUUUUAUUUAUUAAUCACUAAUUAUUCACGAUGAAUUUUAUUUGAAUAAGUUCAUAUCAUGAUAGAAUCUUAAUUCAAAUACAUAUGAAAAAAAAAAUCUAUGACUGCACUAAUAAGAUAUUUCAUUUAAUCAUGUGAUAUUAAAAUGAAAAUUAUGAUAGAUAAACUUAAAUUUUCCAUUUUCCCCCCUUUAUCAUCUCACAUGGGCCACUUCAAUUCGCUGAAAUCCUGAUGCUUCGGCCUCCAGAUGUAAAAGAACAUGAGUCACAUAUAGUAUUGGUAGAUGCGUGAAUGGAUCACAUCUCACUCAACCAACAAAUUGCAUGUCAUCUGGAAAAUGAUUUAAAUAAAUGAACAAAUACUCAGUCCUCUAUUUUAAGUUAAGUAUUUGUUUAUUCCUUAUAUUUUAAAAAUAUCUCAAAAUAAGUUGUAGUUAAAUAUAUUACAUUCUUAAUCUUGUUUUUGCUUUGCUUUUAUAAUAAUGCCCUUAUAAUAAUAUUCUUGACAUUAAUUAAUUUAUCUAUAAAAUUUUAAUUAGAAAAUUAACCAAUAAUUAUUUAGUAAUAAAUUAACCAAUAAAUAUUAGUACAAAAGAACUAAUAUUUUUUGUACAUGUGCGACAAUCGUGCUAAUAAUUUAUUUAUAAAUAAAAUUAAUAUUAGUCAACUUAAAGUAAUGCUUAUCAUCCUUGCAAUAAUUUUACUAAUAAUUAUUUUAUAAAAAAUUAAUUUACCAAAUUAAUCCUAAAAGUAAAAUAAUAACAUAAAAAAAAAUUACUGUAAAAAUUUUUAUGCUACUUUGAAGGCUAAUUUGAUAAAGAAUGGAACUACUAGCACUCCUUCAAAAUCUUUUUAAGACCCCUUUUUAAAUACACCCAAUCAAAUAAAUGAAAAAUUAUAUCACUUCUAAAAACAACCAUCUUUAUUCCACAAUUGUCCUUCAAUCUUAUCUCUCAUAAAAUGAUAAAAUUACAAAAAUAAAAAUCUUUUUGUGGAUACUAUUGCAAUAAUGAUCAUUAGCAUUCUUCACAAAUUUGAUUAACAAGUAUGGAAUGGUAUGUAACUUUAGAUUUCUAAAUUUUAACUUUUCUUUAUGUUUUGCAACAAAUAUACCUUCUAUUUUAAUAUAUGAUACCUAUUAAUUUAAUUUUUUUCAAAUAACAAAACUCACUUGUUCAAACAAACAAUGAGACCAAAAAAAGCAAGGGAAAAAAAGUGAACAAAUAAAAGGUAGAACUACUUGACACAUAAAAACUUUAAAAAAAAAUGAAAAAGAAGAGAUCUAGUAAAAGAAGUAUGAGUAUAAAAUAAGCCAGGCAAUGAAAGAAUCAUAGCUUUUCGACAAAUUCCAUGUCAAUGUCCUUUUGGAAUAAAUUUUUAAUGUUAUCUAUUUGAAUAAUGAUGGUGGUUGAGUUUCCACUUUCCAUUAUGCUCUCGAAUGUAAGCUUCUGAUGCGUCUUCUAAAAUAAUUCUAGAUAUUUUAUUUUAAAUUUAUUUGAAUUUGUAAGUUACCCUUUUAAUUGCGGUUAUCAUGUAAACAAUUGUUGCCAAAUCAUAAACAAAAUCCUGAGUAGGGACGAUAAUGGGACGGUUUUGAUCGAUGAUCCACUUAAUCUAAAUCUAAAUUUAUCAUAUUUGGAUCAGUAUAAAAUGAAUUUGGAGUGGGUACAUAUGAAUCUAGAUGAGUAAAUUCAAAACAAAUUUAAAGCACGUAUACAAAUCUAACUUAAAAUUCGGAUCCGUAUCCAUAUCUAAUUAGAAAUCUUUUAAUUUUAUUUUAUUUUUAAAAGUAUUAAACUAUCGAUGGUUUAAUACUUUUACAAUCAAAUUAAACUUAUACCUAGCUUACUGAAAUCAAUACCACAUUUAUGAGAUGCAAUAUAUUAUCAGUUUUAUAUGAAAUUCAAAGUAUUAUUUUUAAUUUUAUUUAAGAUGAAUUAUGUGUUUUAGUUGAUAGUAAGACGUUUUUUUCUCAAAUAUUUUUGUGCUCUUAUUAUUCUUAUGAGGCUUGAAAGUUUAAUAAGAUAAAUUUAUUAAUAUUCUAUUAUAAUAUAUAAAAUUUUAAAAUUAAAAUUGAUAAAUCCAAGAUAGAUUUGGAGCAAAUCCGAACCUUUAUUUUAAAUUUGAACUUAAAUAUACAGUAAAAAUCAUAAAUCUAUAAUGAAUUUAGAGUAAAUACAAAUCUCAAUUUUUAUUAUUAAUCAAGAAUUAGAACAGAAUAGAUCCAGCUGAUAUAUAUGUCCCAUUGUCAUCCCUGUGACUGAUGAAAAGAUAUAGGAAAAUAAACAGGAGUUUAAUAAGCUAGACAAUAAAAGAAUCAUAUAUAGCAAUGAUUGAUUCUUUCUUCCUAUCCUUAUGAAAUCUUUCUCAAUGUCUUUUCUACGAAAUCUUUUUUAAUGUCCUUUUCGAAAAUAUCACCCUUCAGCCAAUGACUUUGAGCUGAAGGCUGGUAUUUCAAUUCAUGAACCAACCGAACAAAAAUCGUUUGUCAACAAUAUGGAUCAGCAGCCAGAAGCUACAAUUUAUCAUUAUUAAAUAGGUGAUCAUGCUUGCAACCAGGCGCAGGACAGAGUCUCUGACCAUAUUUAAAUGUUGUAGAAGCGUAGCCAUAUAUAUGAAACGUUUCACUUUGUUUUCGUAUGUUAUCAAAGGCUCAGUUUUAAAAGUAAUAUUGUAAUAAGUAUUGAAGUGUCCCAUGCAAUAAAAUCGAAGUGUCCCAUGCAACAAAAUCAUGUCAUGCGUCUUAAAUUUAUUUUGCCCUCUUAUUUAUCCUAGAUGGUAAAUACUGUUAUGAUAGAUUAUUCAAAAGGUUAUAAGGGGAGAAGAUAAGUUUAUUUUUUUUUGGGGAAAAACAUUUCCUUGCUGAAAAAAGCAAAAAUUUACAUAAGUACUGCAAUGUCUGUGGGCGGCUCUUCCAACUGAAUAAGAUCGUUAAUCAAAGAGAGUGCUAAUUUUGCUAACUGAUAAGAAACUGUAUUACAAUUUCUAAUUUCUGAAAUGAUCCAUUCAAUCUCCUUUCUACUUGAUAAAACGCCCGUAAUUAGAUGGACAAGAUUUACUGAAUCAAAUUCCACAAUAAAAAGAGUUAAGCAUAAAUCUAUCGCCGGCUUGAUGCCUUCUAGGAUAGCUUCAGCCUCUGCAAACUCGAUGUCGCUAAGAAAAGAUUUCUUGUGGCUGAGCCAGCUAUAAAAUCUCCCUUGAAAUUUCCUAUAAUUGCACCCAAACCUGUAAUUCCAUUGGAGAUGUCAAUCGGUGCAUCAACGUUCAAGUUGUACCAAUGAUUAUCCGGUGGAAUCCAACUAACACCCUUCUUGGUUGGAGGGACUAGAAACUCUUGAAUUGGAGAGCCUUGAGCAGCAGUGUACGAAUUCAAAACAGCUUCAGCCUUGCAAAGAACACUCUUUGGGUCCAUCUUUUGAUUCUGAUAGAGCGCUAUGUUCCUAGAAUGCCAAAUAGACCAUGUAAUCAUCCCAAACGAUGGGUAGUCCUCUUUUGACAGCCAAGAUUCCAAAUUCUUUGCAAAGAGAGCAAAAUCCAUAUGAGGGUUAUUCGUUACAUAAGCAGCCAAAGUUGACAACUUCCACACCUUGAUCGCAAACUUAUAGCCAACUAACUCAUGAAAGGUACCCUCAAUAGCACUAAAACAUCGAUGACAAUUUGGAGAAUCCACUACUUUUCAUUUCAAAAGAUUAUUUGAUGUAGAGAGUAUAUUACGUAGAGCUCUCCAAAAAAAAGAUCGACUUUAGAUGGAAUGGAUAAAAGCCAAGCGGGAUACCCCAAUUAGCAUAGCCAAAUGAACUUAGAGGGGGAAUUAGGAUAAGUAAGACUAAGGGCCACUUGUAACCACUCUUAAAAGUUUACAAAUUUAUUUUGUACAAACUGAUUUGACAUUAACUUAUUGAUUAAAUAAAAAUACAACAACAUGUUUUUAUAUUUAAAAUAUAUAUAUUCACAUAUACGAAGGUAUAUACUUGAACAAUAUGAGUAAUACAUGUGAAUUAAAAUCAUCUCCUAAUCUAAGCUCCAUUAAUUAAUUUUAAAAAAAACUUGUCACAUGUUUUUAGUAUAGUGUAUAAUUAUUGUUAUGUUUUUAUUUAUUAAUUUCCAAUUACCUGCUAUAUAUCUUACUCAACAAUGUUUUGAUCAUGAGAGAAUUUUAAUUCAAAUACAUAUGAAAAAAAAAAGAAGAAGAAAUCUGAGACCAUACUAAUAAGAGAUUUCCUUUCAUGUGAUUUUAAGAUCAAAAUUAUGAUAGUAUGCAAACUUGGUUGCGUUUAGUAUUGUUCUUUAAACGAUGUUUUUGUAUUUAUUUUAUAAUAUAGAUAUGAUUAAUAUUUGAUGAAUUUGAAAUUUUGUUUGGUAUAUAGUAUAUAGUAUGAAUUUGACCACUAAAUACUUAAUAAUUAUAUUUAUAUACAAAAUUAAAAAAAAAUAAGGAUUUCUCUACCUUACGUUUAAUGUAAGGUACAUCCCCUUACAAAUUGAGCUAUAAGUCCCACUUGAGCCCACAGCCAAUAGAGAGGUUGUACCUUACAUUAAAUGUAAGUAGAGAUGGCCAAUGGGUCGGGCGGCACAAGGCACAGCACGUGUCCGUACAACAUGGCACGACACGAGCACGUUUCGGUAGGGCACGAAGCACGGCACGGCACGCAAAAAGGCACGUAAUAAGCACGCUUCAUUGAUAGGCUAAGCACGUAGCCCGUGGGCCAAAGUAUAUCAAAAUAAAAAAUUUUAAUGAAAAAUAAAUAUAAAAUAUCAUGAUUUUAUAAAUAUCUUGAAAUUAAAUUUUUUAAUAUAUUUUUUUAGCAUAGGUUUUUUAAAAUUAAUUUAAGUCCUAGUUUAAAUAAAUAUUCUAAUUUUUUAUGUUUAUAAUUUAUUAAAUGGAUAAAUAAAUAUCAUGAUUUUAUAAAUGAUAAAUGAAAAAUUUUACGACAUUAAUAUUUCAUUUAUGAAAUCAUAACUUAGUUAAUAGUUAAUGGAGAUAUGUUUCAUUUGUGAAUGAAAUAUUUUUCAUAUUUAUGCACAAAAAAAUAAAAUUAUGAACAAAAUAUUUUUAUGAUAAAUUAAAAAUUACAUUUUCAUUCAAUGGAGUUUAUGUGCAAUUAUAAUAUUAGUAGCUCAAAUAAAAUUAGAUGUAAUUGUUAUUCUAGAAUUGUAAUUUUAUUUUCAUUAAUUAUUACUAUGAUCUAUGAAAUUAUUAUUAUUAUUGUCGUUGUUGUUGUUGUUAUUAUUAUUAUUAUUAGGCUGGUAGGGUUAAAAAAGCACGCCAGGCACGUGGACUUUUUUAGGCAUACUGGACAUGUGGACAAAGAAAAAAGGUUGGUGGGCUUUUUUUGGGCACGGCCCACGGCACGAGUUUGGACAUGUGGACAAAAAAAAAGUUGGUAUGGGUUUUUUUUAGCACGAACCACGGCACGGUACGGCACGAGUGGGCUCGUGCCGUGGGCCGUGCCGGCUCACGAGCCCGCGUGGGCUGACAUUUUGUGGGCCGUGCCGUGCUGGCCAUCAUUAAAUGUAAGGUAACAGCUCCCAAAAAAUAAAUGAAAGAGAGAGGCAACAUAGCAUAAUACGGGGCCGGACCCACAUCUUCAUAAAACUAUGUCAUAAAAGCAGUGGUAGUUCCUAUGAACAAAGUGAAGAAUAAAGAUUUGAUGCUGUCUAAUUAUCUUCGUUAACAUUGUAAAAUAGAUAUGGUUUGCUUUCAUAAUAAUAAAAAAUGUUACUGUUACUGAGGCUUAUCAAACAUUUUUUUUCUAUUCUUAUAAAAUAGAAAAUGAGUGAUGAAAAACAAUACCAUACAGCCCAAAUUUUUUUCCAUUUUUACCCCUUUAAUCAUAGCCUAUCGGCCUCUCCAAUUAGUUGAAAUCUUGAUGAUUCGACCACAAGUUGUAAGAGAAAUUCUAGAAUAUAUCUAUUGUAUUAUAACUAAUUAAUGCAUGCACGACAUGCGUAAUUGAGUUUAAUACAACCACCACUUGCAUGAUAGUUUACAAAAUAAAUGCACACAUGUCAUGAUAUUAUUUGCUUGUUGUAUGGGUGACAUAGUACAACAGAUGUAUUCUAGAAUUUCUCCAAGUUGUAAAAUACCAUUUGAGUCACAUAUAUUAUUGGUAGAUGAGUAGAUCGCAUCUCCCUCAACCAACGAAUUGCAUGUCAAUGUGAAAAUUGAUUUAACUGUUUAGUCUGUUUUUCAAUGAGACGUAUUUCGUUCAAACUUUUACCUUCAAUCAAUGGGACCGAAGAAAGUAGGAAAAAAAAAAUUAAACAAAUAAAAGGUAGAACUAGUUGACAGACAAAAUUUUAUCAACAUUUUGAAACAACCAACAUUAAAAAGAAAUAAAAAAAUAAAAGAAGAGAUCUAGUAAAAGAAACAUGAGUUUAAUAAUUAAGCUAGAAAAGGAAAGAAUCUUAGUAAGCUUUUCAACAAGAUCCUUUUCAAUGUCCUUUUCGACAAAAUCUUUAUUGUCAAUAUAUUGAAAAAUGAUGGUGGUUGAGUUGUCACUAUGUAUCUCGAAUUUAAGCUUCUGAUACGGUCUUUUAAAAAUAAUUCUGGAUAUUUUAUUUUAAAUGGUAACUUUUAAUAGUGGUUAACUUGUAAACAAUUGUUGCCAAAUCAUAAACAAAAUCUUAUUGUCUCACGGAAAGAUACUGGAAAAUAAUCAUGAGUUUAAUAAGCUAGACAAUGAAAGAAUAAUAUAUACAUGUUAUAUAGUAACGAUUGAUUAUUUCUUCUUACCGCUAAGAAAUCUUUUUCUAUGCCUUUUUCGACAAAAUCUUUAAUGUUAUAUAUUGAAUAAUGAUGGUGAUUAAGUUUCCAUUAUGCAUCUCUCAUGUAAGCCUCAGUCCCUAGAAUUAACUAGCUCUCAGGAUUCCUGCAUCAGUUAACUACAGCUUCCAGGUUUAUCAAUAAUUAUGGUACACCAUCCUCCAAUAUCUGUGCAUAUAUAAUUUUUUAAACAGGAAUUUUGGAGUUUGGAUCAUAUUAAAAUAAAGGAUAAAUUAAAAAAUAAGACAAACACAUACUCUAACAUAUUUUAUUUUAUCAUGUAAUAUAUUGAAUUUCAUAUUUUUCUGUCUUUUUAGCUUGUUAUAACGAUCCUUUAUAAGAAAUUAAAUGUAUCUUGAUUCUCUCCCACACUAACUUUAGAAGAGAAAAUUAUUUAAUUUGCUUUAUUCUUUUACUACUACUGCGUCAAAAUAACCAACAAUUGACGACAACAAUUAUUGAAUAUGUAACAAAUUUACAUACAUUUUGACGACAUCUUUACUUGUUUGUGUUGGCAUCCUUAUUGGCAAAUUACAACAUCGUUCAGUCUUCUUAUAAUUAAGCAAUUGUCUAUGUAACAUAAAUUAUGUAUUAAGAACAUCAAUAUGGCGUGGAGCAUUGCGCAUAGAAGAGAAGAAGUAAAGUCUUAGGCGUCUACUCCAUGUGGGAAACAUGGGAUUAUCACAAAGAGAGAUUUAAAGAUUAUAACAAAAGAGAGAUUUUAACUAACUUGUUAUGGAGGGAUGAGAUAACGAUCAAGUUGGCAUAAUCUGUAGAGAUAACGACGAGUUUGGAAUAAUCAUGUGGUGAUAAUAUUAUGAUAUUCUGCCUUUUGAUCAACUGAGCACGCUCCCUCUCACAACACAACUCUCUUCAUAAGAAUUGGCCAACAUGGAUUGUCACUUUUCAUGUUAAUUUGAUAUUACCUUGAAUGGCAUAUUAAUUUGAUUUGAAAAAAUGGAACGAGAGUAGAGGAAAAAAGGAGAAUGAAAAGAAAUAAGAAAAAAAAUGAUGAAUUUCAUAUAAAAUCAAAUAAUGAAAUAAUAAAAUUGAGGUCGAUUCUCUUUUUUUUCUCUUUUUUCUCUAAUAAAAAUAUAUCAGAUUAAUGACAAAGUAUUGAUAUUUGAUCCCCUCAGUUUCUCUUAUUAUCUCCCACUUCUCUCAUUUUAAUUUGAAAAGUCAAAAAUACCUACCAAAAUAAUUUUAAGUUUUAAAUUUUACCCUUUCUUCUUUCUCUCCUCUCUCUUAUUCUCCCGACUUCCCUUCAUCUUCGUUUUCUUUAAAAAUUGAAGAUUAGUACACUUUCCUUCAUUUUUUGAUCUUUCUGUAUCGAUGAGAGCAAUAAUUGACAUCAUCAAACAAUCCUUUUCUACCCAAAUCAUGAUUAUAAACAAAAGUAAAAAAUAGCAAUAUCAUGAUAUGGAAUCUUGAUCAUAUCUCAUGAUCCCUCUUCAGCUUCUAUGUUAAUCAAAAAGAAAAAAAUAUAAUCGAUUAAAGAUUAAAUUUAAAUUUUAAAAUGUUGUCCUUUUUUUGGGGGGGGGGGGGGGGGGGGAUAAAAAAGAGUUUGAGAUCAAGAUGACAGUGUUGCAUAAAUAAUUAUUAUUAUAAUAAUUAAAGAAACGGCUUGCAUGUCCACUUAUUGCUAAGAAGAGAAGUGGUUCGCGCCGGCCAGUUCCAAGAAGACAAGUGGUGGGUGUCAGUGCAUGGUUAGUAAUUAUUGGGGACUAGAACUGAUUGCCAAGAGUGAGGGUGCAUUUAAUAUUGAGGUUGAGUAACUUUUAAGAUACUGUACUAAAGUGUUUGGUAAACACUAAUUACGGUAGCUUGGAAACUAUGGUGGUAUUUGUUUUUUAACUUAAUGACUUAAAGUGACUUAACUUAAUUAAUUAAGUUAAUUAGAGGUGUUUGUUUUUAUAACUUAAUGAGACUUUUUAGAUAAUUUUGACUUAAUAAAAUAAGCUAAUUUUUUUGGCUUUUUACUUAAUGGAGAAAUCUGAAUUAAGUUAAUUACUUGCUAAUGUCAAAAAUAUCUCUGUUUUAUAAUUUAUUUUUUAUGUCUAUCCCAAAACUCACCCAUAAAUAUUUACCCCACAUAAAAAUAUCCCUGUUUUUUCUUUCUUAUAUUAUAUACGAUAAAAUUUGAAAUUUAUGGUAUUUUAUAUAUUAAAAUUCUAAAAUAAUUAUGUAUUCACUUGAAUAUAGUUUUGCUUAUAAAUGUUAAAAUAUUAUGGUAUUUAAUAUAUUAUUUAUUUGACAUUCAAAUUUAAUAAGGCUACAAAUGUAAAAGUACAUAUUUUCAGCUUUUUAAGUUGAAAAAAACAAACAGCUUAAUACUUAUUUUCCGAGAUUCAUACGAAAAAACAAACAUAUUAUUCAGAUUCAGACAUUCAGAUCUAUUAAGAAUUCAGACUAAUUCAGGUUUAUUCAGAUUUUAGAUAAAAAAAACAAACGCCACCUAUGUUAAUAUGAUUUUUUUCUUAUAUAAUAAAAAAUUUAUUAUAUCUUUAAUAAUUUUGUCAAAAUUAUUAUUUAAAAUUUAUAUAUACUAUAUAUUAUUAAUUUUUGUUUCAUAUUUACAGUUUUUUUUCCAUAGCAGUUAUAACUUAAAAGGUAUAGCACCUCAAUUUCAAACAGGACCUGAAUCUUGUUCAACAAGCAACAGAUUUAGCACCGAUGAGAGAAGAACAAAUAUUAAUUUUAUUUUUUUUAAUGAGGGCAAUUCUGAAUAUAAUUAUAACUAGUAAAAUGGGAGCUAACGAGAUAAAUUGAGAGGUUUAAUAUCUUUACUCUUAAUGAUAAAAAUAACCACAUCGAAGUGCACUGUUAAAUAAAUAAGUGCCAUCACUAUUUAUGCAAUUUACAUGAUAUUAUGAUUAAUCUUGCAUAUGAUUAUUUAUUAAUAAAAAAUAUGUAACAUGUGCUAGCACAUACUAUUUUCCUCUAAAUUUCUUAUACCACAUUUUUUCCUAUAAAUAGAAAGAGGCACACGUCUUCCACGCAAAUCACACAAGUAAGACUUAGUAUAAUUAGAAACAUGAAUCUCAAAGCUUUCUUUGUUCUCUCCGCAGUGCUCUCUUUGCUUCUCUUGGUAUAUAUGCAUCUCUUUUUUAGGAAAAUUUAACAUAAAGGAUACCUAAUUAAGUUAGUUUUGAUGAGAUUCUCUUUAUCAUUUGUUUGAUCUAAUUUUUUUUUUUUCCUCUUGUUCAGUUUGCUAACAGAACAGAGGCCAGAAAAGAUCAGGGAGAAUAUUGGAGAGGCUUCGUCAAAGAUAGCGACGUGCCAGAAUCAAUUCAAAUUCAUGUUCGCCAGGAUCCUGUCUCAACUGCCUCUGAUGCCAAAGCCCACUGCAAAGAACCUGAAGAUUUAGAGCACAAGAGAGAAAAGACUUAUGUCAAGGAUUCUGACGCAACGAUUGAUAUCUUAGUUUAUCACAACAGUAUUAAACCAACUGAACAAAAGUUAUUUGGCAACCACUUCGAAAGCCCGGAUGCUACAAUUUACCACAAUGACAUUAAACCAACAGAACAGAAGUUAUUUGGCAACCACUUCGAGUCAAGCCCGGAUGCUACAAUUUACCACAAUGACAUUAAACCAACAGAACAGAAGUUAUUUACCAACCACUUCGAGUCAAGCCCGGAUGCUACAAUUUACCACAAUGAUAUUAAACCAACAGUACAGAAGUUAUUUGCCAACCACUUCGUGUCAAGCCCGGAUGCUACAAUUUACCACAACGAUAUUAAACCAAUUGAAAUGAUUAAAUCUUUUGUUAGCAAAUUCUUGUCAAACCCUGAUGCUACAAUUUAUCAUGAGUAACCAGACUCUGCUUUCAAUCGUGUGGAGAGAGCCCGUUAUCCAUCUGUAAUAUUUGUGCGUACGUGUGAUGCUCUCUUUCUAUAAAUAAGUUAUGAGGAGUGCGGUUGUUUAAUGCUCUAAGGCACAAGCUUUGUAAGAAAGUGUGUUUUUAUUGUAAAAUUGAAUAAAAAUUUGUGCCAAGUUAAUUAAUUAUCCCUUUUCUAGUGAUUUUUUUUUUUCUAAUGCUUUGAUUAUUUCCACAAAAUCUUUUCGUAAGGAAAGGGCCUAGCUACUUGAAUCAAUUUUCUCCAUUUCAACGUUAUUAGUAUAAUAAUAAUACAAAAAAUCAUUAAUCUCAGUAAUUGAUAAACAAUAUUCUUUGCUAUUAUAUUGAGAAUUAAUUCCUAAUCUGAGAAAAUAAAUUAACAAUUAAAAAAUAAUAAAAGAUCGUGAACUACUUAGAUUUAUGGCCCUCUCACAUGUCGAUGGUACUUUACAUAAUUAGAAGCCUUUUUAUUAAUUUUAACAGACACCAUUCAAUCAACUUUGGUGACAUACUGAUAAUUGAUGCAAAAUUCUAUUUGGGGAAAAAAAAGUAAAAGAAAGAACUCCUAUUUUAGCUCUUAAAUCUUAAUUUUUCAAAUUUUAGAAGGAUUAAUGAUCAACAUUAUUUAGCCUAUUUUAUUUAAUUUAUAACUAUAGAAAUCCUAAAGCUGAUGGAGUAUACUUAAUACCUUAUUUUCCCCAAUCACAACCGUCUAAAUUCCUGAAACAUUUCAUUUCUUAAAUUUCAACGGUACAGAUUAAUUCUCUUACGAAAACUCAGCGACUUAUCCUGGACCGCCGCUACUAAAAUACAUAAGAGUAAAAUACUAUAGUAUUCCGGGACAAAUUUAUUUCUUCCACGACGCAAUAAAAUGCUGCGUCCAAUAACAUUCUGUUUCCUAAAGCUUACCCAAAUCGCAGAUAGGAACAUGGUUUGCAAUAAUUUUUCUAACAGAUCCUGCCAUCAAAUUCGUUAAAAACUGGUUUAAUUUUUAUUAAAUAAUUUUAAGUAAAUUGAAUAAGAUAAAAAAUUUAAAAAGUUAUUAUUUUAUAAUGAAAAAGCUAGAUCAUCCAUACGUAAUAAAAAAUAGUACGCAUUCACAACUUAAUGCAAUAUAAUCUAGACAACCAAAUAUAUUUUAUGUAUUUUUUACAAAUUGCUUUUAGUAUAAGCAAAUAAGGUGGUUGUCUAAACAUUCAUAUUUUUGGAAGGUCUCAAUUUUUAAUAUUUUCUUAAUAAUUUUCUAAUUAAUAAAGAUAUUUUUUUAACUUAUGUAUUGUAGAAAAACCUAUUAGACAUUUUUAUUAUUAACAACUAUACUACAAUUAAGAGUCUUUUUUGUAUAGAAAAUCAAUAUUUGUAACCUUAUUGAUAAAGAGAAAUGAUUAAUAAUAUUUUUAACCAUUAAUUCAUUCAUUAUUAGUUUUCUCAAGAAAAAAAGUUAAAUUCUUUACCUUUUCAUUUUCCUAAAAAAAACUUGAUUAUUUAACAUUGAAAUCUUUGACUUUUAUUAUUCCUUUAGUUUCUAUUAGAACCUUAUAAUAUAAAAAAUCAAUAGAUAAAAAAAAUUUGUUCCUCCUUUCUUUACGAAGAAAAUUAUUAUAUUUAUUGGUUAAUUUAAAAAAGAAAAAUUAGUUUCUUGAAGUAUGAAGACCAUAUCUAUUAUCUGAUAAUCAAUUCAUGAUCUCGACUUUCUAGCUAUAUUCUGUCAUUCUAAAUAUUUUAUUUGAAAAUAAUAUUGUUUUUAUUUAUUUGUUUGUUUGCUUUUUAAGAGUUCUGAUGGAAGUAAAAAAAACAAAUCUUUUUUACUAAUUUUUUAGGUUUUUUUUAAAAGAUUUUUUAAGAUAUUUUUUUAUUACUGUUAAAAUUUAAGAAUUAAAGAUAGAAUGAAUUUUUGAGUCUUUUCAUAUUUCUUUGAGUAUUGAAAUUACAAAAUAAAAUAUGGCCUUACAAAAAAAAAAUUCGCCUAAGACCCCAUAUACUCUAAUGCCGACUCUGGGUGAAAUUAUUGAUUUUAUUAAUAAUAAUAUGAUGUAUACUAACCAAUGUACAAAACAGUAGUGGGUGACAUAAAUUAGAAUUGUGUUGCAAAAACAAGAGGUUUGAGUGAAAAAGAAUUUACAAACUCACAUUACAAUGUUAUAUAGUUGCCAUAUGUCUCACAUUUUCAAAUGAACAAAAUAUAAUAAAUACAGUAUAAUCUUUAUAACUGAAUAUUCAAUAGAUUAAUAAUCUCUACUGUGUAAUAAUUUUUUAUGGUCAUGACUUAGGCCAAUAGGUUAAAUUAAUAAUUGCAAUAAAUUAAUAAGAUGAUAUUUUUUAUGAAAACCCUUAUAUAACUAUGUGGCUCCAUUCAUAUCAAAAUUAAUAAUUUUUUAAAAUUAUAAAUAUAAUUGACAAUAAUUUUUUAUUUAUUAAAAUGUGAGUCGAUUAUUAUCUUGUUCCCUUAUUACUUCUUUUCCUUGAAAUAUAAAUCUAUUUGAAUCUCGUAUCUAAUUUUUCUUAUUACAUCUAAAAGUUUUGGGAUUGAAUUCUUGAAUUAUAAUAAAAAAAAAUUAUGAAGUGCUUUCGUACACAUAACUGGCUCCAAAGCAAUUGUAUCAUUCUCAACUUUUAUCAUCGACAUGAUUUUAAGUGAUGUCAGCAGUGGUUUAAUUUAUUCUAAACUUAAAAUCUCUCAACUUACAUCAUUUUUAUUAUGAUAAUCCAAGAGGUAAUUAAGUAGAUAAAUACAAUACAGUUAUUGUUUUGGUUUAUCUAAUAUCUAUUUAGUAGAUUAAUUCAUAUUCAAUAAAUUAGAUUAGUAAAAUAUAACGAAAUUUUAGUUAAUUAAAUGUACGUUUAUUGAACUAUAAAUGAACUCUAGAAAUUAAUAAAUUAUUAAUUUACUAAUUACAUAAUAAUUCUUUUAAUUAAUAAAAUUUAAAUAGUCCCAAUGUUAUUAAUUCAUAGAAGUUAUAUGAAAUAUGUGUCAACUAUAUAAUAUCGUAGUUUGUAAACAAAACAUAACUCUUUUGUUAAUUGAAUACUAACGUAAUGCUAUAGAAAUAACAUAUGUGACCAAUUUGCAUAAAUGUAUACUCUCUGUAUCUUAUUACAAAUGCUUUAUAAAUCAGUGACUCAGAUGUUAUUAUCUAAACUCGUGGAAGCAUUACUUUUGUCCCUGCCAAUAUCAUUCAGAUAAAUAGUUGUUGUGCGUUCAGAUUCACCAGGAAUGCUUACGCAAAACAUAGACUGAACCCAAGAGCUUCGAAACUCGAAACUGAACCAAAUCAUUCUAAUGGAAGAGAAACGCCGGGAAGCCAGAGCGCAACCGGCGGCUACGAGCUCGGCCGCAGCUGGAGCCGAGUCAGCGGCAUCCGAGCCGGCUUCGCUCGGCGCCGAGCCGGAGCGCACAAAAGGAAAGCCUCGGCGCUCUCAGCGACUAACGCUUCAUCCACGCCGUCGAAGCGCAUGACUCGCGAGAAGAAUUUAGUUGCUCACACUCCGAUCUACAACCAUAACGUUACAUCUUGACAUUUGUAGUAAGAACGUGAGAGGAUACCUGGAGUGUAUUGGGAUUUGGGCGGAAGAGAAAGGAGCCCUUGGAAUUGGGAAACAAAUGAAAUUAUCUGCAUGGUCCUUGUACUCGUGGAGGGACUGUAACUUCUGAACCAACAAUGCUGAAAAUGCAGGGUCAAAAAUCAACAUUAACUUGAUGAAUAAUUGUUUGAAAAAAAAAAAAAGCAAGAAAACUUGAUUAAUAUAAAAGAGAGCAAAGGAGCACAACCAUACAGAAGUUGUAUAAAGGAAUAUUAAUCAAGCUUGAUUAAUAUUCUUCUUCUAUCCAACACCACAAGAUGAAACACAGUAUUCCUGUUGCAGUAUAUGGUGAGAACUGUGAAGUGCAGGAAGUAGUUUCCUAAGAGAGAUGAUUGAAUGCUCUUAAUUUUUUUUUUCAGAAAAUCAUUUUAUUUUUAAUAAAAGUUUAAUUUUUUUUAAUAAAAAUUUUUAUUUAUUUUUUAUUAAGUUGUGUCUCAUAUUUACUAAUAAAGGAAGUUAUUUGGGUAUAUAAGUAGGAUGUCUCAUCUAACAUGCUAGUAGGAUAAAUCUCUCAUCUAAUAUGCUAGUAUUUUGGGUUAAAUACCUAUAAAUUCUAAGCCGAGUCCACAACAGUCCCCAAAAUAACUGGAUUUAAGUCCUAGCUACACCAGUAGAUUGAAUAGAAGUGCAAAUAAGUUUAACUUUUUUGUCAUUCAUUUUAGUCUUUUUUUUUUUUUUUUUUCACAUACAUUGAAAAAGGAUAACUCUGUCGUGAUUGCCAUGGCAGAGCCUAUUUCAAACGAUGGUGUAUGCUAAAGGAAAUUAUCAUGAGAUGAGUGAUAAACCAUACAAUCAGUAGCUACAGCCCACGAUUAAUCAGCCACAUGGCCACAAAUAUUAUUGGCGGCAAAUAUAUCAACAAAAUCACAAUAAAGAUGAGCAUCCUCGAUUCCAUUCCUUAAUGUAAAUAGGACAGCCUGUCUAGCCAUUACUUUAAGAGAUUUGGCUGGCUUUGACACUUGUAUAUAAGCUUGUAACCCUCUCAUUCUUUACAAGAAAUAAGAUAAUAUUUUCAGCUUAAUAAUUCUUUUCAGUGAGAUCAAAGAAAUGUAAAGAGAUAUAGUCACUACUACAAAAAUGUAAAACAAUGACCCAUAUGUUAUGACGGUUCUUCUAAACAACCGUCAUUAAAGAUAUUUAAUGACGGUUAUUAUGUGAACAGUCAUAAUAUAUACCACUUAUAAUGACGGUUAUGUAAUAAAACCGUCAUUAAAUGUCAAAUAAAAUUUACACUUAGUUUUAAUGACGGUUCAUUUAUAAAAACCGUCAUUAAAAGUCACUAUUUUUAAUGACGGUUCUUAUAUACAACGGUCAUUAUAUGUGUAGUUAAAAAUAAUAUUACUUUUAAUGACGGUUUUUUAAUAACCGUCAUUAAAAAUAAUAAUUUUUAAUCACGGUUUUUACAUAUAACGGUCAUUAUAUGUGUAAUUAAAAUAGUACUACCUUUAAUGACGGUUUUAAAAAAACCGUCAUUAAUAAUUUUUAAUGACGAUUUUUACAUUAAACGGUCAUUAUAUGUGUAAUUAAAAUAAUACUACCUUUAAUGACGGUUUUGUUAAGAACCGUCAUUAAAAAUAAAUUUAUUUUUAAUGACGGUUCUUAACAAAACCGUCAUUAAAAAUCAUACUUUUUAAUGACCGUUAUAUAUUAUAACGGUCAUUAUAUAUAUAAUUAAAAUGCUUUUAAUUUUAAUGACGGUUCUUUAAGAACCGUCAUUAAAAAUUGACAUUUUUAGUGACAGUUGUAUAAAACAACCGUCAUCGUAUAUAUUGAUAUAGUUAUAAAAAAAAAAAAAAAAUUGGCCUUAUACUGAACACCAAAUCCCUAAAAUUACAGAUAAUUUGUAAACAUUAAAAGUAAUGGCGCAAGCACGCACGCCGCCGGUACACUUAGCCCAUGCAGCAGCAACCGAGCACGGUAGCAACAGGCCACCAGCAGUCGCUCUCUCUCUCACGCACACGCAGCAGCAAGCCAACACCAAUAGCCCCUCUUUCUCAUGCUCACUCUCUACUAUGCCCUCUUACGUACUCAAGAAAACUCUAACCCAUAUCCAAACCCUCGCCGUCGAAGAAAACCCAAUCCUUAAUGGCUUGAAAUUAAAGCCUCCACCGUCAAUCACCAUCGAACCAAAUAAACUCUAGCCUUACCAUCACUCUUCGUUUGACUCGCUGAAGAAAGCACUCUAUUAGGUGAGUCUCUGUUGUUUGAUAAUAUAUCUGCACUCUUUGUUGGCCGAAGCUUUUAGACAAUUGCUUUGAUUCAAUUGCUUCGAUUGGUUAGUUCUCUGUGAUUAAUUAGUUAGUUACUUUUAAUUUCAUAUUUUCAUCUCUAACAGUGAAUUUGGGAGUCGAUUUCUCUGUCGGAUUUGUAAUUUUUGCUACAGAUCAAAAACAUCUUGAAGGUGUUUUCAUAUCUAACAACUUGAACUAUCAUUUAUUUUGUCUUGUUAAUGUUCAAUUUUUUUUUCUUUUUUUAUUAGUAUGACAAUUAGUCGAAUGUGCUUGCACAUAAAACAAUCUUUUAACUUGGCGUUGGAAUAUUUGUUUUGAGUUGUGUCCCCUUAAUCAAUGACCAUACAAAAGUUCCCCAUGAUAAAGUGUUUAGCCCUAUUAAUGCCAUAAAGUCUUGCUCUCAAUUUUUCUGAUUAUGCCUAUGGAUUGAUUACCUAUUUCAUUUACAAAUUCAAUUGGCAAAUGUACAAUGCCUGCAUGACACUCACAUUUGGGUUAUGAUGGUAGUCAUUAUGAGGAAGAAUGUUAGAAUAACAUCAGGGGAAACAUCUGGGAGAAGGUAUGUACUGUCAAGCUCUUUGUUAGAAUCAUCACGAAAUUUAUAUUGGAUCUUGGCUGUUCUAUGUGAUGCAUUUUGGAUUUGCUCUUACUAGACAUGCAAAAACCUGUAAAAUGUAUUUUUUUUUUCCAUUUUAGAUUUACUAUCUAGUAUCUUGUAGGUUUAAUCUAAAAUAGAAACCAUUGAGGAUACUGGACACAAUUCUAAUGAAGAGAAAAGAUGUUAGACUUUAGUAUUCAACCUUUUUUUUUUAGCCAUAUUUCUAGACCCCAAGUUUAUGUCAUGAUAAUUGUGUGAUUGAUAAGAUAUUUUGGUUUUGGACUUUAUCUCAUGGAUUUAGAGUUCGAUUAUAUUUGGAAGUGGAAUAAUGCAUUCAUUUACAUAUGAUGUUUGAUGAAGUUCCCAUAAAAUUAAUUCAAUUAUAUAUGUUUAUGGUUCUAAGGAAGCGGGGCAAAAAUUUUAUCAGUGGGUUGAUUUCACUAGUUUAAGUUAGUAAAGCAAAGAAAUUGUCUUUAUGCACUUUAACUUUCCUCCAUUUAAGGUGAAAAAAUUAUUGAAGCUUUUAGAAGUGAAUUGUUCAUUUUGUUUGUGCACUUAUGCAGAUGGAUUUACUUUUGGCUGCUUAACCCUUCCUCACUUAUAUUUUUUCAGUUUAAAUUGCAGUGUUUUGCUGCUGUGCAACAGCACAAGAGGCUGUUUUAUUGUUGUUUCUGUAAAAACACAGCACCAGGAAGCGUCCAGGUAAUGUUUCGCUGCUGUUAUGCAGUAAAAACAACACCUGAAAGUUUCUAGGUGCUAUUUUUACUGCUGUUUACGCAGAAACACAGCACCUAAAAGUGUCUCUAGGUUCUGUUUAGCUGCUAUUAUGCAGCAAAAACAGCACCUGGAAACUUCCAAGUGCUGUUUUUAUUGCAUUUUAUGCAGAAACAAAGCACCUAGAAGCAUUCAAGGGUUGCUUUACUGUUGUUUUGUAUUUAAAAUUGCUGUUAGAAAUUUUGGGUGCUAUUUCUCUGAAAUUUUGCUAUUAACAGUGCAGCUUAAUAAUUUCAUAUGUCGUUUUGAACCUUCUUCAGUUCUUUUCUCUUAUGUCUAUACUUAAUCUUUUCCCCCCUGGUAAUAAGCAGGUACAAUUUUUGCAAGGUAAUAUCUAAGCAUGCUGUUAAUUCUUUGGUUGAGACGUAGUAUUCUAAACUUCAGGCCUUAAUUUUUUUAUUUCCAAGUGUAUAAUGGGUAGGUACUGGAUCUCUUAUGGAUGAUGUAGUUAAUGCUUUUUUAUUGUCUCUAUUUUGGCAAAUGUGUUGUCAUUUAUUAUCUGAACACAUGGUUGAUUAACUUACUUGAGGUAAGUCUAUUAAUUAAUAGUGAUAUGAUACUUUAAAGUCUUGUUUUACAACUUAAGUCACUAAAAUGAUUUAAUAUUUAUGAUUUAUAAUAUAUGAAUAUAUCUUAAUUUCUCUUUAUUCUUUGUAAGAAUGAUGUAGAUUGCUGAAGCUGGUGAGAUUCAUUUGCAAUUGAAGACUUGAUGAGAAAUUAGAUGUACUCACACAUGCCAAUCUUGUUGGUUGCUAGUGCAUUCACUAGUAGAAGUUUAAUGAUUGUUGGAGAUUUUUGUAGAGCUAUCUCUUUGUAAAUGAAACAUUUGCAUCAUUUUGAAUAUGAAACAUUUGUGAAAAAUAAUUGUAAAGAAUUUAAUAUGAAAUUAGAAUUAAAAUAGGGGCUUGAAAUAGCCUUAAAUUUGCCAAAUUUAUUUUUUUAAUAAUAAAUAACAAAGAUGACGGUUAUUUCAAAAGAACCGUCAUCAAAUGUAGUGUUCUAUAACAAAUAUGACGGUUUUCUUCUAAAACCGUCAUUAAAUGUUGUUUCAAUAUUUAAUGACGGUUCUUACAAUAAACCGUCAUUAAAAUGACACAUUUAAUGACGAUUAUUUAGAUAAACCGUCAUUAAAGAUAGAUAUUUAAUGACGGUUCUUACAAUAAACCGUCAUUAAAAUGACACAUUUAAUGACGGUUAUUUAAAUAACCGUAAUUAAAAAUAUACAUUUAAUGACGGUUAGUGAACCGUCAUAAAAAACAUACCCUCUUUAAUGUCGGUGCCUAAGAUGACGGUUUUAAAACCGUCAUCUUAUGUCGUUUAAAACCGUCAUAAAAGACCAAUUUUGUAGUAGUGAGUCUAUUAGGUUGGCAAAUCUACUGAAACAAUAUUGUUUCCUAUCAACUCCGAAAUACAACCAAUUGAACAACGUUCAGAAAUCGAAAAUCAUUUAUUACCAGUAAGAUUUAUUAUUAUACGCUAUACAUAUGGCUUUAACAGUCACAUUACCAAUACAUUUUUAAUCAUGGUAGGUAGGUGCUGGAAUGUAUACAAUAUUAUCAGCCUGGAAGAAAUGGCAGACAUGGGAGCUCCCUGGCUCGAUCCCAAGCACACGAAACGAUGCAUGAUCUCGACUCCAAUGAGACGUAUCCAUGUGGCAAACUGCUACAGCUUCCACUCUAUCUCCAUUAUCACCACCUAAUGAAACACCGAAUAACUUGUUCUCAGUCAUUUGGCUGUGGCAGUAGAAGAUUGCAUAAGGGUAAGGCAUGAUAUGACAUGCCACCAUCUUGGGAGCAACCAUUGGUUUAGGCACUUGUAAAAUAGUGUAAUUUUGGAAAAUGGUAGCUGAUUUUGUGAGAAAUUUUGUGCUUAGAACUUCGAAUUUGGUCUCCAAUCCGAAAGUUCCGUGUACAAAAUCAAGCAUGGAUUCCAAAGAGGUAGCACAAAUUUUGGUUUCUCCUUCGAUGGGAGGAACUUCGCAAUGAUUCAGGGUCCCUUCCAUGGCUUUGGCUAGGGGUGAGUCAUCUGAGAACGAGAAGAAUUGAAGAAGGUAAGGCAGUUGUUUCAAUGAAAAUGGAAUGGAAUCUGCUUCUUCUCUAGGCAAAGCCUGAGGAUAAGCUGAAGGAUCUCUCUUGCGAAAAAUAAAUCGGCAUCGUUUCGCCAAUCUUUAGAUCCUUCAAGGUGAAGAACACCAUCGUUGAAGGGUCCAUGUGAUUCAUGUGGGAUGGUAUUGAAUGAGAAUCAUGAAGAUUCUCCGAAAGCACCUGAGCACACUGUAAAACAGUUGAGCAAUUCAAU